rnacentral:lncRNA from 1 species
ACAAUCAUAUUUCCAAUUAUCCAGCUGGUAUUUUACAAGUAUCCGUUCUUGAAUACUCGGUUCAAUAAAUAAGUUGUUCACACUUCACAGCCAUCCAUGUGCAUAUACAGUAAGUUAAUAACACAAAAUCCGAGUAAAUUUAUGCCACAACAAGGUUUAUUAUUGUUAUUUCAAAUAACUGAUGCGACAACAAAUAAUAUUAAUCACGGACAUCAUAUGAUAUUAGUAAGGCGUUGUUGAGGAUGAGAAGCAUGUACAACUCCUCGUUUUCUUUGAUGAGCGCCUCCGCACCAGGCAUAUCUGGAAGCUCUAACCAACACAUGAUGAUAGGGUUGUAAUUAAUAUCCACACAGUCGAGCAGAUGCAAGAACUGUUGCCCACUCUUGUCACCUUGGUAGUCCUUGAUCAGGCCGUGGCACACGUUGAGGCGUCUCACCACACCUUCAUACUCCAUCUCACAAUAACUAAGAACGUGCAUUGCCACUGUUCCCUUCUUGGCAUCUUGCAGCUUUUGCUUGAUCUUACCACUAGCGGCAGUGACACGGCUCUUAAAGAUGUCGACAGUGACAAGCACUAAGUCAUGGAGGUCCUUAGCCUCGGCACUUCGAUUGUCCGACUGAAGGGUGGACAAACAGAAUUCUUGCGUGAUAGAUUUGUUGCAGGGGUUGUUGAUCGAGGCCUUCUUGCAUGCUUCCACCAUGAGCUUGGUCGCCUUGGGCUUGCCAGUGUCAGAGCCACUAGCAUGAGUGGAAAAAAGGAAGAAUAUGAUGGUGGAGAGGACGAUGGUAGUCCUUGGCAUUGCUACCAUUACUACAGGGCUAGCUAGAAGCCUUGAAGUACUGAAGCGCUGAGAGGGAGGUGGAGAAAAAUAGACAGAGAAGGAUGUGUAUUGCAGAGAUGGAUGGGUGGAUGGAGGUGAUGUACAUGAGGCUGAGAAUUCUUUAUAAUGCCUGCAAUGGGGUAUCAUAAAUGCAGUAUGCAGCUUUGGUCCAGAAUAUGUGUACUAUCGGUGUCCAGUAAAUGUUGAAUGCCCAUUUUGGAUCUCUACAUAUUAAUGCUCUCUCUAUGUUCACAAAUACACAGAUGCUCACUAUAGAUCUUGUUGUAGUAACACAUAUCUUACUUAUAUGAAUCCAUUAAUGCAACGUAGCUUGAUCAAGGAUAUCCCAAAUGAUUAGUGUGCACCGAAUGCCCAUAGAUAUGUUGAUGCUCAUUUUGGUACGUCUUAUUUGCAUUGGUGUUUUCUAAACAUCAUUUUGUAUAACUGAUUUGUUACUUCUACCUCCCUUUGGGGGACGAAUAUAUUUUCCCUCAUCAAGUCUAUAAUUGCUCAUUUUUUCUUUGCAAUUUUCGAGUAGUUACAAAUAAUUCUCAGGGAGCAGGCACUUAGUUAACUUGGUGACACAAUAAAUAUUUUUGUUAAAAUAUCAAAAUUUUAUAUCAUAAUUUUUUUUAUUUCCAAGUCGAUUAUUGUCUGAUGGAUUGACUUUUACAACAGUUGUAUUCCCCCAGUUAAAAAUCACAACUUAUUUUAGGGAUUAAAUGAUGCCAGCCGGACUAACAUAUCAUUCGUAGGCACUGUCAAAAAAUAAGCAUGUUUACUGCCCACCGCCUAAGAAAAUCAAAAAAAAAUUACCAAUACCAACACGUCACUGUAUGGGUUUAUUUGGUUUCGAUUCUCGUUACUAUGUAGUAGGAAGGAAAAAAAAAGAGCUAUCGAUCAUAAGGAGGUAACCUGUAUCAUAGGUACAUGAUGCGCACGUACACGCCGGUAUCUUAUAUUUUAUAUUUUAUAUCUUAUAUUUACUAAUUGGAAGCACCUUUCAAGCCUUCUCAUUAAUCAACAUUAUAAAAAUUAAUUACACCGUUGUAUUAUAGAAUUUACGUCUAAGAUGAAAGGAGAACUUACGUAACAUAAACUUGGAAGGGAAAAAGAUAUAGGGAAAGGAGAAUAAAAAUAGAAGUAAAACAAAGAAAAUAAUUUAGAUGGGCCAGCCCAUUAUUGUUUGCCUUGUGCGAAAUUCUGACUAUUUAUGGCGCUGUGCGGAAAAUAGAGUUUUUGCAGCUGCAUGGGCAGAAAAAUAACUGGGCUGGCUUUGCUGGGCCACCGCGCGUGGCCCACGUACAACAAUUCUUUUUCUAGCAAACAAACGCAUAAGACCUUUGUACCACCUCGGGUAGAAAGAUUGUUUUUUCGACGGUGAACAGAUGAAAAUAUAGGCAAAACGCACCUUGCUUCAUUAGUAGUAGCACAUAUGCCCGUGCAUUGCAACGGGAGAGAUGUUUCUUUGGAGAAGCAAUAGGAGAGAUAAUUGAUGUCUCCACCAAAAAUGAUCUUCAUAGCGGUGUGAUAGAGAGAGGAGUUGUGGUCUUCUAGCGGGUCAUGUUUCUCCCGCCAGAUAUUGAUAGUGGUGCGGUUAGUCGGCAUAGCGGCAACCAUACAACUCGUGCAUUUUUUUCCUUUGUGUCAGUCUCUGUCUCGGGGUUGUGUCUGCCUCUACGUUUGGUAGCUAUGCGGCGACCUUCAGAGCACGGUUGCUUCGACCACUCUCUCUUACGAUGGCGUAACCGGAUGAAUUACUAAUUGUAGCGCUUAAAUCCUGUUUCAUUAGCAUAUAUAUUUAGCGCAUAACCAGAUAUCAAUGUCCCUUCUUUAUUAGGGUUUAUUUUCUUUGAUUAUUUUAGCGCUCACGUGCCCACAACUAUUUUAUUCGAGCCAAACCAACAUAUUCUCUUUUAUUGGACCAAGAAAAAAUUGCUCCCUCAGACGACCCAGUAGGGAGUGUGGUUGAGGCCCAAUACAGCCUAUAUGACGCUAGUUGCGUAAAAUAAUGUGUGAGAUGCACAUCAGUUCGUGUAUGGACCAACACACUGGUAGGCGCCAAGACGACCUAUGUUAGGAAGGCACGGAAAAAUCCAAAAAAUAAUGAGUUGAAGGAUCAAAAUCAUGUCCUGAAAGAGCCGACUACGUGCUCAUUGCCACUCGAAGAAACGAGUCCUACCAACCAAUGGCCAGCUCAAACCUUUAAGAUCAUACUCCAAUGUGAGAUUGGAUACAAUUUUUUUAACUGUUUAAAAAAUAUAAAUUGCUGAAUAUUCCUGAAAACAUGAAUAAUUUUUAAAAUCACAAACACUUUUUGAAAUUCUUUACAUUUUCAGAAAUACACAAAAAAAUUGGAAACCCUUAAAAUUCACAAAUUUAUUUGAAAUCAUAAACCUUUUAUAAUAACAUGAACACGUUUUGAAAAUGCGAUUUUGUUUGAAAAAGAAACAUAUUUUGAACAUUCAAAACAUUUUUUGAAAAUGUGUUUCUAUAAACUUGGACAUUACUUUGAAUUUGCGAACAUUUCACUAAAACAAAAAUAUUUUUCAUAUUUGGAACAUUUUCUAAAUGCAUUUUUUUUGGGAAUAUCUCAAACAACUUUGGAAAACACAAAGAAAAAAUGGAACAUUUUUUGAAACCUGAACGAAUUUUGGAAUGAGAACAAAGCACUAUUGGGAAAAGGCUAAUUAGUGGCGCACAUAUUUUUGCUAUUAAUGGCGCACUCUUGGUGCGCCAGUAUUAUCACGCCACUAGUAACAAAUAGUAAUGGCGCACCUAUAGUGCGCCAUUACUAUGCCUAGAAGGUGCGCCAUUACUAUCUGACUUAGUAAUGGCGCACCACAUAGAAGUGCGCCAUUACUAACAAUUUUUUUUAAAAAAAAUAUCCAAAAUUUUUCAAAUAUUUUUCCCUUUUUUUCUUAAUCUCAGGUCAAUAUGCUUAAUCUCAAGUCAAAUCGAUCCUAUUAAACCUUAUUGAUGUCUAGGACUUUGUUUAUGUUCAUGAGUGUGAUGAAAUUUCAAACUUCCCGGUCAUAUUACGUAUCAUAUUUUUUUUUCUGUUACUAGUGGCGCACCUAGCAAAUGGUGCGCCACUAGCAAGUUUGAUUUUUUUUGUUUUCCCCUCUCUAGAUCCUAAAAGCCCCGUAUCUUUCAUUCUGUUAGGUUUUUGGGGAUUCUGAAAAUCUUGUAACUUUUCGAGUAGAUGCUUUUUCAUAUAUAAAACUUUUUAAUCCGAGUUCGUAUAUAAAAGUUAUGUCCAUUUUACUAAAUUCCAGAGAGAUUUUGCAAAUAAAGUCGAAAUUCAUAUUUGUAAAUUUUCCCAACAACUAGACCACAUAUCACAUGGGAAACUUAUUUUCUUUUAUUUUUUUGACAUUUCCAUCAUUUUCUUUUAUUUUUUCUAAAACUGAAAAGACGGUCCAGGGGGGUGGGGGUGCAAAGAAAGUUAGUAAUGACGCACCUUCACAAAGUGCACCAUUAUUAUGUGUAUGACUUGGUCAAAUCUUGGUCAAAGUUAGUAAUGACGCACUUUGUGUAGGUGCAUCAUUACUAAGUUUGACAUACUAAUGGCGCACCUAUGCAAAAAUGCGUCAUUACUAAGUUUGAUCAAGGUUUGACCCAGUCAUACACAUAGUAAUGAUGCACUUUGUACAGGUGCGCCAUUACUAUGUCAACUAGUAAUGACGCACUAUCCUCUAGUGCGCCACUGCCAACAAUUUUUUUUAUUUUUACUUCAAAACUAGUACUAGCGCACCACACACCAGGUGCACCACUAGUAAUAUGUCAAUAAUGUCGCACCUGUAUCUAGUGCGCCACUGCAUACAUGGUGCGCCAUUAAUGUCCACAUUAGCUAUAGCCCUUUUCCUAAUAGUGAAGAUUUAAUGUUCUGAACAUUUUUCGAAAAGGAAUAUUUAUUAACAUCCCAAACAUUUUUAAAAAACGGAUUUCUGUGAUAUUAUGAGUUUUAUUGAAAAUUUUGGUUUUACGAAAAAAGGGGAGAUAAAGAAAUAAACUUGAAAGGAAAAAAGAAAAAAGGAAAGGAAAGAAAAUAGAAACCAAUGGAGAAAGAAAAAUAGAAACAUAACACAGAACAAAAAAACGGUUCGACCGAGCUCGAGCGCCCGAUGCGAAUUUGUGACUAUUUUGGAAUGAGAACAAAUAUUUAUAUUAUAAACUUUUUCAAAAAGAAAUAUAUUUAAAGUUCUGAACAUUUUUUAAAAAAUUGAUUCUUAUGAUAUUAUGAAUUUUUUGAAAAUUUUGAAUUUACAAAAAAAAGGGAGAAAAAUAAACUUGAAAGGAGAAAACACCAAAGAAAAAGUGAAAGAAAUGGAAAAAAAUAGAAACAUAUUUUAAAGUUCUGAGCAUUUAAGAAAAUCGAAUUUUUAUGAUAUUAUGUAGUUUUUUGACAAUUUUGAAUUUAAGAAAAAAGGAGAAAAAGGUAAACUUGAAAGGGAAAAAGACCAAACAAAAGGAGAAAGAAACGGAAAAAGAAAAACAGAAACAUAACACAAAACAAAACAAAAGAAUAUAUUUCAGCCCAGCUUGGGCGCCCAGUGCGAAUUUACGACUAUGUAACGCUAAUUGCGAUAAAUAGGAUUUUUCCACCUGCAUGUACACGAAAAUAACUGGGCUGGAUUUCCUGGGCCAAUACUGUGGGCGGCCCAUGUACGAGAUCUGGCGUUUUUCUUUUCUAAUAGACAAACGGACAAAAAAAUUGUACCACCUCGAAUAGAAAAAAAAUCUUUUCGUUGGUGAACGGAUGAAAAAAUCAGAGAAACACACCUUGCUUUAUUAGUAGGUAUAGAGGUAUAGAUAUAGAUAUAGAUAUAGAUAUAGAUAGUAUUGAUAGAAAAAUGAAAUUUUCCAUCCAUGCUAAUCUUAACAUAAAUUGUUUAAGAAUUCGUUGGUACACAUAAAAACAUCUAAUGUGAAUAAUCUAUGGUUCUUAUAGUAUUUGUUAGGAUAUCAUGUAUGUUAAAGGAAAGUCAUGCAUGCAUGUGUCCAUUAUUGUGUAUAGAAACAAAGUAUUUAUAAUUCUACCAUUCUUCCGUGGCAAAAACAAGCAUGUAUUCCUUCUUUUAGGUUAACUAAGAAAGGCUACAAUAGAACACUCGACCUUUAUGCCUUCUAGAAACUUCUAGAUCACGAGUGCAUGAUGCACACAAUAACUUUUGCGUUUGUAACUAUGUUUUCUACCAACAUAAAAAAUAUACCCUUAUAUAACUUUCAUAAAGUAGCACAUUGUUAUUUCCACAUAUCUUCUAUAAAUUUGACAUGAUUUUCCAUCACACAGCGAUAUUUUUAUACUUUCGUCACAAAAUUGGACAUAAACAAUCAAUCACAAAAUAGUCAAAGAAUUGUAACUUCAUUGGAUCCAAUGUGCAUGUGUAAUAAUAAUAACCUAUAUCCAAAUGAUUGUUUGAUAUUUAUAAUUUGUCAAAAAUAUGUUAUAUCUGAUAUUACAAUUGCUAGCCCGUGCAGGUGCACGGAUUGACGACUAGUGAUAUGUAGAUAGAAUUAAUUAUGAUUACCACUCAAUAAUUUUUCUUUAUGGAUAUCCAAAUUUAUGUUUAGAAUCAACAUUUCUACUUCAAUUUUUUCCGGGGAUUUUUUUACUUAGUAAACAUAUGGAUAUUUAGAAAUUUUUUGUGCUAAUUGUGUGCUCUCCUUAGCCUAUGUUACAAUGCAUGGUUUUCUCGGUUAUUUUAGAAAAUGCAUGUAUUUCUCUAUUGCCAACUUCUCACAGAUGCAGUUAAGUUUCGUAAAAGUUUAGAAUGGCAGCCAACAUGAAAAAGGAUAAAAGUAUCAUCAUUUGCACAUUUUUUUCACCUUCUUCAUUAUCUAUAUUUAUGGAUAUUCACUUUGCGAUUUAUAUUUUCCCAAUUCGCUACAAAAGCGCAGAACAAACAUUUUAGAAAAUAAAUGCAAAAUGUGUAAAAUAAAAUGUGUAGGUACAUAAUUAAAAAUCUUGGACGACGAUAACUGCCACACGUGUGGCAUCUAGGGGGUAUGUGCCGCACGCCCCGUGUGGCAUCGACACAGGCCCGCCCGCACGAGCACGUCCGCGCGCACCCCACCACAGCCCGCACGUUCGGUGUGCGGCGCAAUCGCCCGCACUAGCACGUCCGGGCGAGCGACCUCACAGCCCGCACGACCCGUCUCGGCCCUCGCCCCUCCCCGCCUGCGAGCCACACGCCCCGCGUGGCAGUAACCACGCGUCCCGCCGCGAUUGCCAUGGUCUGAACCCUCUUCCAUGUUCGUUUAACUGUAGUUGCCAUGUUGCUGAACUGCAGUUGCCAUGUCUGACAACUACAGUUGCCAUGGUUGCUCAACUGCAGUUGCCAUCUCAGGUCAAGUGUCGGAUGCCAUUUUUGGGCACCUGUAGCUGUUGCCAUGUAUGGUCUGGUCUACUACAGUUGCCAUGAUUUGAAAACUUUAGGAUUUGCAACCUACUAACACUAGACAGUUGCCAUGUAGCACUACAAAAGCAUGGCAAAAAACAUGUUCAGGUAAAAAAGAGAGUUGCCAUCUGCUUACAAGCACACUAGGGCAGUUGCCAUGUACCCUGCAAAAACACAUGGCAACUGAUAGCUUUUGGAGUGUGGGAGAGGAGACGGGCAUGUGGGCGACGGUGGUAUCUUUAGGAGUUGCCACCUACUAACACUAGACAGUUGCCAUGUAGCGCUACAAAACAGACGUGUCAACAAUAACAUGUUCGGGGUAAAGAGAGUUGCCAUCUGCUUAUAAUCACAAAUAGGGCAGUUGUCACACACUAGCACUGGACAGUUGCCAUUUAGCGCUACAAAAACAGACGUGGCAACAAUAACAUGUUCGGGGUAAAGAGAGUUGCCAUCUGCUUACAAUCACAAAUAGGGCAGUUGCCAUGUACCCUGCAGAAAACAUGGCAAAUGACAACUUGGUGUGGGAGAGUGGGAAAAAGGGCAGUCAUGGGAGAUGGGGAACAGAAGUCGUGCGCGGCGUGCGGGCGCGACAGCAGUUCCACCGCACGCCCCGACUCGCAAUCGGUCUCGUCCGAGGGAGAAACAGCGUGCGGGCGAACUACCUACACACCACACACCGGGCUUGUCCUACGUGGCACACCAAAUCCAACUUUUGGUGUCAGGAUUCAUGCAAAAAACAACCAACGACAAUCCAGGCGUGUGGGCGAGUUGAAGACGUUCCACGCGUGUAGGCGUUAGUGUUUCCGAAAAUCUUAUAUCUCCGUCUCAAACAAACAAAAGCCUCCUUCCAUAAGAAACAGCUCAUACGUGAAACUCUUCUCGCCUAUUAAAAAAAAGGAAAAGCAUCCCUCCCCGAAAAAAGAGAAAACGUCUUCACUAGCUCCUGUACUUUUUUAGGCAACCACGUCUCCUCUAUAUGGCCAGAUCUUUCAAGGCUUCUUACUAAUCAGACCACUACGUUGUAAAUUUAUAUCCAAUAAAGAAAACUUGCCGAAUCAUAGAUGGUCUCGUCCAAAAAAAUGUCAUGUGAUACGUCCAACGUUGUCAAAAAAACAUCCUCCAUUCCUUAAAGAGAAAAGAUAGCGUCCUUAGAAAAGCACUACCAAUAAAAAGAAAAGAAAGACGGAAUCCAAUUGAUAACCGAUGAAACUCCAUAAAUAAAAUCUUCUGUCGAUCGAUUUUAAAAGAAGAAACAUCUGGCUCAGUUCCUCUACAUGGCCGCAUACACCACUUCCUCUUCAAUCCGGCUCUCCUACAUGUGGCUGGUGGUGGCGAUUUCUCUAACCGAAGGAUAUACCCAACUCGCCAUCACCAUCAAGUGCGCUCUCCCACCAGCAGGGCCAACAACAAACUGCAAAGGAACCUGACGACAGGUGCUGCGAGGUAUGAUGCAAGAUCGACUGCGACCCCAAGCGGCAAUCGAUCUUCCUUAUUGUUAUUGUCACCGCGUCUCCUUCCAUCCACCCGGGCAUCAAAGUUCACCCUAUUUUAUGAUAAUAAAAAAGUCCAACUACCAAGUACAAGCUCUAAUAAGUUCUUCUUGGAUUCAUGCUCCGACAAGACUAUGAUCCAACUAUGAUAAUAAUGGAUUAAGGCGCAGAUUGCUAACACUUAUCUGCAUAUAUAGUACGUAUGCAUGUCUUUAUUUUGGUCUUAGAAAAAAGAGAAAAUUAGCUAUUAAAGCAUCUUUAAAUACAUACAAAUUACCGAAGUAACAAGAAAAUAUGGAUGUACCAUGCGCCACGAAGAUCUAAUAGACACACAAUUAUCUAUGUGGUAUAGGUAUGUAUACAAUAUGGAUAGAAAAUAUAAAAAAAUGACAUCCGUAUUAAAAAUAUAAGAAAUUCUUUAAGAAUUUGUUUGUUGAGACUAGAACUUAAAACCGGAAUAAUCUAUGGUGCUUAUAGUAAUGAGAAUAUACUACAAACUUUUGUUUGCCAUCACACAAUGACAAUAUUAAUGAGGUUGUCACACAAUUGGAGGCAAACAAUCAAAUAACAAAAUAGUCCGAAGCAAUGUAACACUGUUGAACCUUAUGUCUAACAAAGAUAAACAUGCAUGUGUGACAACAAUAACCCAUAUCAACAUAUUAUUAUUGUCUGACAUUUCUAAUUUGUAACAACUUUGUUGUAUGCAAUAUUAAAAGUGCUAGCCCGUGCAUGUGCACGGGUUGAUGACUAGUAUAAUAUAACUCUGAGACAUGCCUAUAUAACCUCUUAUUUGCAUACGUUCUUUUAAAACAUAGCAUAGACAAACCAUAUUAUAUUAUAAUAAUGAAUUUGUUUUUUCUCGGUGACAGGGUAACUGUUAUUUCUAUGUCGACCAGUUGUAGCUUGAAAGAAAGUGUUAUAAAACAAUUAUGUUACUCCCUCCUCCAUCACUGUUUUCAUUGACCAGAGCCCCCACUCCACACAUAUCGACAAGCUCGGAGUCCCGCUCAUCGAUAUGAUCGUAUGCCAUAUCCACACAACUGGCGAGCUCAUUGGAGCGUAGCCCGUCCUCGUCGCCUUGGUAAUCCCUGAUCAUGGCAUCACAUAUGUUGAGGAUGCUCACCACAGUCAUAAUCCGCCUCACAAAAACUAAGGACACGCAUUGGCACCGUGCCCUUCUUGCUUCAUGUGUCUGUUAUCUUGGCGCACCCAUUUCGUCCACCGCCAUCCGUUUGUGUCGGCGCGGACAGAAAAGUCGGCCCAAUGCGCCGACACAAAUGGACGCGCGUCCGAUUUCGUCCGCCUGCCUAUCCAUUUCCGGCCUAUUUUUGAGCCGGAUUUGCGUCGGCGGAGACAAAAGACGGACGCACGCGCUCACCCUCUCUCCUUUCCGGGCGCGCUGGUCGGUGGCACAUUGGCCUCUCCACAUCAAACAACACACCCUCGCCCGCCUGCUUCAUCGCUGACGCCGCCGGUCAUUUUUUCCGAUAGAAAAAUGAUACAUAGAUAGUUCUAGCAUACACAGAUAAAAAAAAGACCAACUACUCGUCGCUUUCCGACUUCGACUCGGUAAUGUCCUCCUAUGACGUCUAAAUGUAGGCGUCAGCAUGCUGAUCAUCUUCAAAGUCCCACCCCGACGUUUCUCGUAGCUUCAGUUUCAAUUGAGCGGCCUGCUUGCGCGCACGCUUGUCCUCCCGAUAGGCGGCUCGCUCCGUCCUCCUCACCUCCUUCUCCGUCCUCCUUUGCGUGUAGAACUGGCGCUCAUUGACGAUGUCCUGCAGAAAGCGUUCGCGCCACACCACCAUGGCUUUCAAGUCCAUCUCGGUGAUGGCGAGGCGACGCUGCCGCCUCCGGUGGACACGACGAUCCUCGUCGGUGAAAAGCCGCGGGAGAGGCGCGAGAUCCUGCGCCGCUGGCUCGACACGUCAGGAAAAUUCAUAUCCCAACGAGGCCUCAGGAGGCACCACGCCGCCGCGUCGUGCGCGUGGGCCGACUCCUCUACGGUGUUGAAGGUGCCGAGGAUGAGGCGUUUCUCGCCAAACCUGAUCUCGGAGGAGAAGGCACCAGAGCGGCGCUCGCGGACUCCGCGAAAAUUUGAAGCGCCCAGGCGGCGCAUCGACAUGGUGGCGCAGAGGCGGCGAGGCUAGUGAUAGGGGGCGACACAAGUGGGCGGCGGACAGAGUGUGGAGGGAGCGCCUUCUUAUAACGAGCGCCGGCCGCGGCGCGCGCGCGAACCUUUCCCGCGCGCUGGAGCACCGAAACCAGCACGCGCUAGGCCACUUUUCCCCCACGCGUGUGAACCUUUCCCGCGCGCUGGAGCGCCAAAACCAGGGAGACGGCAUGGCAGCUGGCAUGAUCGAAAGCGCGUGCGAUCAUGAAGUGGGUCGGCCCGUUGGACGCACUGCCGACCCAAAUCUAAAAGAGGGCGAACGGCGGGCGGGCGGCAGACCCAAACGUACAAAAAGCGGACAACAACGCCGUCCAUCUGGGUCGGCCCGUUGAAGUUGCUCUUAGGGGUGAAACCUCUGUCUCCCGUAGGGCCCCAUGUGUUUGACAACACAUGGGGUGGCCUGUUCAGCACGCUAGUGUGAAAAAUCAUGACACAGGCAUGAGGUAAUAGUUAGUGGUCUACUCCCUACGCCUGGGAGUUAUCACAUCAUAGGAGUAGGUAGCUCCAGUAGAUAAGUUUCCCUAUAUUGGAUAAAGAUCAAUGGAACGCCUCGUAGGUGUGAGUAGCGAGUUGCCAAAUAUAUAUGUUAUACGGAAUUAAAUUAUAGGAAUCCUGCUAGCUGAGCAGCUGUGAUUUUCCUUUUGAAAAGUAAGGAAAUGGAAUAGGGAGAAGAUUUUGCAUUUUAGAAUAAAGAAUCUGCUCAAGAUGCUCUAUAAUAUUUCCUGACUUGGGCACAUCAUUGUUUUCUUUUAUUUGAGACGCAGAUUGGAGCACAGCAUUUGCUGGUAAUUAAGCAAAUGCAUGAUGCAUGCCAACAUGAUACUUGGGAAAAUAACAAGACUACACUUCCUACAGUAAUACAGAUUCACGCGUAAGGUCAAGUCUAAAAAGAUGUAUCGGGAUCAGCUUCCAUUUCAUAUACUCCAUGGUGGAAUAUGAUGUCACGCUUGUUAUCAAGGUUUUGGAUCGGGAGUGAACAGUGGACUAGACAAACCAGUGUGCCAGGGUGGUCCAAUAGUAGAAAUCUUUACAUAAAUUUAUUUAUUUUCAAAGAAAUAAUUUUUCUACUACACUAUAUACAUGCUGUGGGGAAAAUUCAGGGUGGUCCAUGUCCACCCCCUAGCUAAGCCACUACGAGCGGACCUUUUCUCUAAAGGGGCACCAAAAUUCGAGGUUACUAAGGUAACCACGAAAUACAAAAAAAUCAGACGAAAUUAGAAAUCAUUUUAAGUUGAUAUAGAUAGUUAUUUAUCUUUACCUAAUAAUAAAGUAUAAAGUGUGUCUACCCGUUCACCAUCAUCCAAAUUACCCUCGAAGUUGGCGAGAAUUACCCACUAAUGCCACCUGUAAGUGGCAAAAAUAAUUCGCUUUUUUCCAUGCUGGUUCAAUAUGAAGCUAUCUUCUUAUGUGACACAAGUACAUGCGCAUCCCACCGGCUAGAGGUUCGAUCCCAUAUUCUCCCCAUUCUAUCUCCCUUUUCUCUCUUGUUGUUAGAGGGUUGAUUGCGCCAGCCCAGCACGGCCUUCAACUCUCUUUCUUUCCUUUCUUACAGACGGUUUUUCUUUCUUUCGGCUUUAUUUCGAAAUACUCUAAAUAUUUCUAUGCAUUAAAGAAAUGUUAAACUUCUCUACAAAAAAUAUUUCCACCAUGUAUAAACAAAUGGGUAGUUUGUAUGGAAAGCAAAAUUAGGAAAAUAAUAACGUAAGUUUCUGUUUUUUUGAAAAAAAUUAAGCAUGCAUUUAAAUAAAUUUAAAUGUGUACAAAAAUUGUUUAUGAUGUAUACAAAAAUAUACAAUAUGUUUAGAACAAAGUAGACAUAAAAAAGUAUAUGUCUUCAAAAAUAUUAAUCAUGUAUUUGGACGAUGUUAACUGUGUACAUAAAAAUGAUCAUGAUGUACACAAGAAAUAUAGAAUGCGUAUAGGAAAAUGGGAAAUCAAAAAACUUAUGGUUAAAAAAAGUUGAAAACUAAAUUGGAAAAAUGUUAUACUUGUAUAUCUAAAUGUUUGUCAUGUAUACAAAAAAAAUACUGUGUUCAUGGAGAAUAUAGAGAUAAACAAAAUAUUUUACCAAAUGUUAAUUAAUUAUUUAAAAAUGUAAUAAUUUAUUUUUAAAUUUCUAAAUGUGAUAUAAAAUGUUUCUGGUAUAUACAAAAAAAUUAUAGUGUAUAUGAGCAAACGUAGACAUAAAAAAUAUAAGUUCUCAAAAAUAUUAAUUAUAUAUUUAGAAAAUGUUAAACAUGUAUAUAAAAAUUGUUCUUGGCGUAUAAAAAAUGUAGAAAGAAAACGAACAAAAACUAUAAAAUUGAAAAAGAAACAAAAAAAGCAAAGAAAGCAAAAAAAAUAGCAAAACCCGUAAAACCAAAAGAAUAUACCAAAAAAUAAGAAAGAAAAAACAAGAAUGAUAAAAACGUGCUAUCAUUAAUUACUAACAUGUACUUUGUUAUCUUCAUCACACUACAAAUAUUUGUUGGGCAUCAUCAAGGACGAACGACAACAAAUGCGUAAUGAGAUACCUCCAACUAGGUAGAUAUUUUUGUUGUCUAAUAAGUUAAAAACAUCUUGAGUACACUUCAAAAAUCAUCCCAUUUUUAUAUUUUUACACAACACCACUUAUCAUGUUAUUUGUCAUGUGACAUCGUGAAAGAUUUCAAGGGAUUUACUAAUGUCUUGAGAGUGUGUAUGAGGGGUGACUUUUUCUCCCCCGUUGAAAGAACACAAAGCCUGCCCUUCUUCGGAAAACACACACACACACACAUACACACACAAAGCAAGCCCUACUGUAUUGGCUGUUCACCCUUAGCUGCCGCUUGGUCAAACGUCGCGAGUUUGACGUUCUUACCUUUUGCAUCCUCUAAAAGAAGUAAAAAUGAAAGCGACGAGACUCGAACCCGAGACUUGCUGCUGCGGAAAGCUUGGCUUUGCCACCUAGGCCAUGACCUGUCACGAUGUUCAAUAAGAGAUGCCACAUAUUUAACUAUGAGGUGAGCGUUUGAAUUCAAAAGUUUCAAAAUAUUUGAGAUUUUUCGCACGGUAUAAGUGUUUCUCGUGGGGGGGGGGCUAAACUCGAUAUCAAAAGAACAUUAUUAUUAUUAUUUCAAAUGGAAGUAAUGUUGGUUUUACAUGAACAUUGUUUCUGGCAGAAAAUCUUAUAUUUACUAAUUGGAGGCACCUUUCAUGAUCUCUCAUUAAUCCACAUCAUCAAAAUUAAUUAAACCGUUGGAUUGUAAAAUUUAUGACCAGGAUUAAAAAAACAACUUGUGUAACGCAGAUGAUGCUGUCCUAUAAAAAGUGCACCUGACACGUACAACUUUUGUUAAACAAACAAAGAAAAGACUCACAUAAAAAAACGAAAGCCACAAGUAAAAAAGGGAAAGGCCCCACCAGUUCCCACAAAUUAAGUAGAAAAACAGCCUCAUGCAAGAAAAAGAGGAAAGUCCCUACCGUAUCCCACAAAUUAAGAAGCAAAAUUUUCCAUAAGAAAACCUAACGAUAAGAUGCCAAAACAAAAUCCCAACGUUAAAGGAAAAAAAUCGACUAUCGGGCAGAUUGCCCGUGAAAUAAAAGAAAGCAAACUCGCGUAACAAAACUUAAACCUCCACCCAUCUGAACAAAUAAAAACACUAUGUACCAAACAGAUCAAGCCAAAAUGUACAAAAAAAAUAGAAGUCAUGUAAAGAAAAAGGGAAAGUCCUUAGCAUCCGCUACUUCUCAUAAAAAAAUAGGGUUCUCACCACGUACAUAUAAUUGAAGAUUAAGCACACGCCUUCCAAAAAAAAUAGUCCUUAGCAUACACGUUACUUCCCAGAAGAAAAACAAGCUACAAAAACAGUUUUCACCACAUACAUGAAAUAAAAUCUUACAAAGAAACAUACGACUUGAUCUUUGGUAUGGGACAUGACAAAAAAAGACACAACCUCAAAAAAUGACUUCGCAUUACGUAUGUGAAAUAAAACCUUGCAGAAAAAAUACAUACAUGAAAUAAAAGAUUAAACAUACAUGACCAAAUAAAAACAAGGAAAGCCUCACGUCAAUCGAAAAAGCAAAGGAAAAACUCCACCCGUUGCACAAAUUAAGAAGGAAUGUCUCUGUUAAAAACUCCAAGAUAAAAUGUAAAAAAAGUCCAAUGAUAAAAAUGGAAAAAUUCCGCGAUCCAGCUGAUUGACCGUGAAAUAAAAACUAGACCCAAUGGCUCCAUCAAUAAAAUAUUCUCCCGACAAAAAUCUGUGUCGACUCAUCUGUACGGCCGAUGCCUCCUCCUCUGCUUCAAUCCUGCUGUCCUACCAAUGGCCGCCGAUCACGAUUAUUUGUCACUGAAUGUGCUUUCCCACCUGCAUGGCCAUCGGUGAACCACAAAGUGUCACAAGGGCGGCCUAAUUUAUUUUUAUAUAUGCUACAACAAAAAUACCUCUCAUGUUUAGUUGGACAGUAUAUUUUUUAAAGGGAUAUUGAAGCUGAAGUUUGUCAACCACGGAUGUGGAGCUGGUCGAGACUGGUGGCUAGAUGACAAAGGCUCCGCUCGGCAAGGAAAGAUUUGCAUUGAGCUAAGACUCAUGACUAAUUGAUAUAAUCUAAGAGAUGAUGAACCAAGAAAAUUAUAUUAGAAUUAAGUUGGAUGUUAUUUGCAUUAUUCUAUUUUGAGGAGUAAAAUUAUUUUUUGGGAAUUACACAAUCAAACUAUUGUUAUGAUUUCUUGAACUGGCCAUAUAGGCCACAUAAAUUAUGAAAUUACUUUUCAUUGACGGAAUUUCGUUUGUGAAGAUAGCAUAGGGGCAACCGAUCAAUGUCCCCGGUAAUGAGUACUCAAUCACAUCAUGUUUGGUAGUACUACUGUAUGGGUGUUCUACAUAAAAGCAAAUGUAAGUAGACAACAUUAUAAUUAUUAAUUUUGUCCAUUAUAUUGCAAAGUAAAGGAUAUCCGUGUGGUCAAAAAAAUUUAGAUCAAUAUUGCACCACUAUAUGUCUUUUUUUCAAAUUUAAAUCCUGUUCAAGUUUAUACUGCUUUUCUUACUACUCCUAAUAAAUGAUCAGAACAAGGAAGCUUGCAGUUCUGUAGGGGAAGACCGAUCCUUGACGAGCAUUUCUAGCGUGACACAUAUAAAUAACAUUGGAUGGAGCGGCUCGAUGACCUCCUCAUGUACGCUGCCGGACGCUGGCUGCAUCCGAUGACGCCGGGAGCAAGGUAGUGGUGUCGUGUAAGUUCAUUUUAGAUGCUAAGGACUAUUAUGCACAACUUAGUACUAUUCUCUUGAAAGAUAAACUACUUUGUCUGACAUGCAUACUUGCGAUUAUGUAGACUUAACAUGUUUUUACACAGGUGCAGAUUACGAAUGCUAAUUAUUUGCACAUAUAGUACGGUUGCACAUCUCUUUUUUUUGUCCUGAUAAGUUAUAAAAAAUAUAACUAUUAAAGUAUCUUUAAUACACAUAAAUUUUUUUAGUAAAAAAUAAUGUGGAUGUUUCCUGCACGACAAAGAUCUCAUAUAAACAAAUGAUUAUGUAUGUGAUAUACAUAUGUGUAGCAAGGAUAGAAAGUACAAUAAACUUUCAAGCACAUUAAUCUGAAAAGAAAUCCUCUUAUGAUUUUCUUUGCACAAAUAUGAUAGUGAAAUACGAUUAAUCUAUCACACAACUCCAAUUCAAUCGUGAAAGAUUUUCUUUAAGAAUUUAUUGGUUAAUACAAGAAUAUAAAAUACAAAUAACCUAUGGUGCUUAGCGUAAUCAAGAAUUGCAGAAAUCAAACUUUUAUAUAUUAUUUGCUACAGUGUUACAUACUACUUCUCCAAAUAAUUCUUUUUAGUCUGCAUAUAAGAUUUGCCUGAAGUCAAACUUCAUAAAGUUUGAGCAUAUUUAUAUUGAAAAAUAUUAACAUGUACAAUACUAAAGUCAUAGAGUAUAAAAAUUAAGAUUCAUGCCGCAUUUAAUGAUAUUGAUUACACAUGGAGAAUAUUGAUAUUUUUUCUGUAAGUUGGUCAAACUUUACGUUGUUUUACUUCAAAUAAAUCUUCUAUACAGAGUAAAAUAUCUGGCGGGAGUAUUUAAUAUUAGAAGUGCUAGCCCGUGCUGAUGCACGGGUUGAUGACUAGUAGAUUAUUAACUAUCAAAGUCAUAUGGCCCUAGCAAGACAUUGUUCAGGCCGCCCAGCUUGAUCAACUCCUCGUUAUCGUUGAUAACUGUCUGGCUUUUCAUGGGAAGCUCAUGCCGGCAGUUGCUGACAUGGUCAGUCGCCUUCUCCACACACUCGGGCAAUUCAAAGAACCACGGGCCGUCGGCGUCGCCCAUGGGGACACGGAAGUCCCUGAGCAUGGCGUCGCAGAGGCCGAGGGUACCGAUAGCAGCAUCGUAAUCCACCUGGCAAUACCUGAGGCCGAGCGCCUCCUCCAUACCUUUCUUGGCUUUCUGGAGUGCUUCCUUCACCUUGCCGCCGGCAGCCGCCACGUGGAUCUUGAGGAUGUCAACGGCGACGAGCGACAGGUCGCGGAGGUCCUUGGACUCAGAGCUCCUUUUGUCGGACCGGAGAGUCUGCACGCAGAAUUCCUGGGUGACGUUCAGGUGCUUGUUGCGGCAGCUGCUCGAAGCGUUCUUGCAGGUUUCUACCACGAGGUCUACCACCUUGACCUUGUCGUUGCGCCGCCGGCAUGUGCGCCGAUGCACACAAAAAGGAGCAUGAUUGCAACCAAGAAGGCAGCGGUCGCCCGUGUGGUUGCCAUUGCUGCAAGGAUAGCUGCAAUUGUAUUGUAGGCUUUGUAGCUGAGAGAGAGGUGAAGAUGAAUUGAUAGUCAGAUUUUGUAGUGCAAAGAUGGAGGUGGUGUACGGUUCUUGUGACAUCUAUAUAGUGCAGCAGCAGGUUCAUAAAUCCAAUGCAGCUUAGUCACGGAUAUCCAAAUAAUUAGUAUUUCAGACACUAUAUGCACAGAUAUGUGUUGGAAAAAUGAGCAAAUUACUACGAGAUUUAAUCCGAAUAAAUAGGAAAUAGAUCAUGACAGCAAUAGCAGAGAUUAAACUAAUCAUGCGAACUAGCAUACUAGAUGAACAGAUCACAUCUAGGGCACAUACUAGAAACAUGAGUUCUACCACGAUCUCGAACAAGAAGGAUAGAAUAACAUACGGUGCCGCGGGUGCAGCACCGCCGGCGUUGACGUUGUCGCCCAUGUCGUCGAGGAUGAGGUUGCCGAGGUCGGGGAAGAAGUCGUCGUUCGCGAAGUCGUCGCUGCCAGCAGUCGCGCGAGUGCGCUCCCCAAAAACCUGAUCGCCCCUCUCCCAUACAGGAUCACGAGAGGCGGGGUUCUAGAGGCCUGCUGUCCCUUCUCCCGGUGCACGCCGAAAGGAGGGAUGGAGAAGACUUGCUUGGCGGCGCAAUGAUCUAGAACGGUGGUCAGAAACCAUACGAAGCGGCGGCGGCUAGGAUAGACGUCUGCCUGACUAUAUAGUGCGGGCCGGGUAGGUCGUGGGAGUAAACCUCACGUCCGAGUCAUCACGAUCCAAAAGAAUCGGAAAUGGUUCAGUAAUUAAUGAGUCCAUUAAUUAUUAAUUAAUGAGUCCAUUAAUUAUUAAUUAAUGACUCAUUAAUUUUUCCCGAGCAGCAAAAAUAUAGACAACGUGCAUAGCUCUGUCCUCGGCUUGGCUCAAUCCCGCGGCGCGGCGUGGCGAGGCGAGCGAGGAGGAGGAGCGCGCGUGUAGGUCUCCUCUUCUCAUGCUCAUACAAGUGGUAGAAAAGCUCACCUUAUAAAGAGGUGCAACUCUCUCUCAACUUCCGGGGUGGGACUAAACUUUAGUCUCACCCACUCCAGUCACAUGUGUGCAUGAAUGGGCCAAGAGAAUUUCAGAAUUUUAGUUGGGCUUUGGGCCAAGGCCUACUAGCAAAAUUCCAACAAUCCCCCACAAAGUCUCAUUGGCACUUCUCAUCAUUUAGUUCCAAAACAUUGUUUAUAUACCGGUGCUUAGUGGAGACUGUGAAGUUGAACUUCCACUUAAAGAUUUAUGCUACACUGGAUCACAACUUGAAUAGUGGACUAUGCCUUGAACUACAAGUUUUCUGCGAAACUAGUUUCACACAAAUUCUUGACCGAUACUGGGCUGCCGCAAGGCUUCCCCGCGGGUGGAGCGUAUACGCCAUACUCCAGGGCAUUUUCAUGAAUUUAUUAGAGAACACCCAAUUCUCACAGACUGCGACGUUAACAGUCAAAUUCAUAUAGGUGUGUUCCUCAGAAGAUGUUCUGCAGGACAACAUCUCUGCUUACCUGAAUAAGCCACUUGGAACACAUUAAGAUAAGUAUCAACCUGCCAUGCAGAUCAGGAGAGUAUUGCAUCUUCACGGAGUGGGAUAGUUAAUAUAGGGAUACUCUCCUCCCAGCUGACCAACAGCUUGUCUCCCACUUCUACUUCACGGGAUCUCCGAUCACAUAGAGUGGGUUACCACUAUGGACAACUCAUGCGGUGGGUCUCAAACCCAUCUCCAUCGAUGCAUUAUCUAUCACAUUAUGUGAUAGACCCUUUGUGAAGGGAUCUGCCAUGUUUUUCGAUAUUUGGAUAUAAUCCAACGUAAUAACUCCGGAGUUCCUCAAUUUUCUGACAGAUUUUAGUCUCCUCUUCACAUGUCUUGAGGACUUCAUGUUGUCCUUCGAACUGUUUAUCUUGACAAUCACAGUUUGAUUAUCACAGUUCAUCAGGAUAGGGGGUAUUGGUUUUUCAACCAUAGGUAAGUCCAUCAAGAGUUCACGAAGCCACUCUGCUUCAACAGUGGCAGUGUCUAAUGCUGUGAGUUCUGCUUCCAUAGUUGACCUCAUUAAGAUGGUCUACUUGCAAGACUUCCAGGAAACAGCGCCACCACCAAGUGUAAAAACAUAACCACUCGUGGGCUUUAUCUCAUCAGAAUCAGAUAUCCAGUUUAAGUCACUAUAACCCUGCAGUACCCUUGGAUACCCGGUGUAGUGAAUCCCAUAGCUCGCGUAGCCUUUCAAAUAGCGAAUAACUCUCUCAAGAGCAUGCCAAUGAUCAUCUCCCGGUUUUGACACAAACCGACUCAGCUUGCUCACAGCAAAAGAGAUGUCAGGCCUCGUGGCACUCGCCAAAUACAUAAGCGAGCCAAUAAUCUGAGAAUACCUCAGUUGAUCUCUAGCAAUCCGUCGAUUCUUUCGAAGCAACACACUAGCAUCAUAUGGAGUUGGAGAAGGUGUGCAGUCGCUAUACCCAAAACGACUCAAGACCUUUUCCACAUAGUGAGACUGAAGCAGUGUGAUCCCACCAUUCUCAUCUCUCAACAGCUUGAUGUUUAAGAUAACAUCAGCUACUCCUAGAUCCUUCAUCUCAAAACAGCGAGAUAAGAAAUCCUUAACCUCCUUGAUUAAAUCAAGUUUGGUUCCAAAGAUCAAUAUGUCGUCGACAUACAGACAAAGAAUAACUCCUUCACCCCCACCAUAGCAAUAGUACACGCACUUGUCACCAUCAUUUACUACAAAGCCGGCAGCAGUUAAUGUCCUUUCGAACUUCUCAUGCCACUCCUUAGGAGCUUGUUGAAGGCCAUAUAAAGACUUUAAUAACUUGCACACCUUUCCUUCCUGACCAGGUACUACAAAACCAUCUGGCUGAUCCAUGUAAAUUUCCUCCUUCAACUCUCCAUUGAGGAAAGCCGUCUUGACGUCCAUUUGAUGAACGAGAAGACCAUGUGAGGCAGCCAGUGAUAGUAGCACCUGAAUUGUGGUCAGUCUAGCCACAGGUGAGUAAGUAUCAAAGAAGUAUUCACCUUCUUUCUGGGUAUAACCCUUAGCCACAAGCCGUGCCUUGUUCUUUUCAAUCGUACCAUCAGGUCUAAGAUUCUUCUUGAACACCCACUUACAUCCUAAAGGUUUGCACCCAUAAGGACGGCCAGUGAUCUUAUGGGACUUGCGAGGUUGCUUAGCUUGCACACAUACUUGGCACUUAGAGCCUUUGACAGUAGAGAUUUUCAGAAUUAAAUUCAUAUUGGCUAGCCACGUCAUGCAACCAAAGUUAAUGUGACAAAGUCGUGAAUGCCAAAUAUCUGACUCAUUGCUGUGGCAAACAUUAUUAAUAACUUUAGUGCAAAUAUCUGACAAAGACAGGCGGAACAAGCCUCGGCUCUCAUAGCCUUUUCCAACAAAUUGUCCAUACUUAGAAAUUACAACAUUAUUGGAUUCGAAAACCAACUUAAAACCAUCUCAACAUCAAUGGGAACCGCUAACGAGAUUUUUAUUGAUGGACGGCACAUGAUGAACGUUCUUCAGACGCACGGUCUUCCCCGAAGUAAACUUCAGAUCGACCGUACCAACACCUCGAACGAUGGCAUGUGACCCGUUCCCCAUCAGCAUGGGAGAAGUCCCAGUGGCCUGGUAAGAAGAAAACUUGGAGGCGUCAGCACAAACAUGUACAUUGGCACCGGUGUCAAUUAACCAAUCAGGGGAUCGAAAUACUGAAAGGAUGGUAGGAAAAAUAUCGUAUCCUGAUUCCUUCAUAUCAGUAUCACCGAUAACAACAUUAGCGGACUUGCCGCUCUUGUCAUGUUCGCGCUCCUCAAAACGGUUAGGACACUUCGGAGCCCAGUGAUUAGGAUCACCGCAAACAUGGCAAAGUCCCUUCCCCUUCUUAUGAGAAUUCUUCUUGAAGUUGGUAGAAUGUGCUGGCUUGUUCUUUGUAUCAAACUUACCUUUGCCCUGAGUUUUGUUCUUGUUGUUUUUGAACUUUUUGGGAUGGAAGUUCUUCUUCUGUACCAUGUGGGCACUAGAACCUCCCUCAGCAACUCGAGCACGUGUGUCCUUUGCUCUCGCCUUCUCUUCAACAUCAAGAGUACCAAUGAGAUCCGCAACGGAAAACUCCUGUCUCUUGUGUUUCAAGGAAGUAGAAAAAAUUAUUCCACGAAGGUGGAAGCUUGGCAAUGAUGCCUCCGGCAACACACACUUGAAGUAAUCAAGUUCUUUUGCGAGUGACUAUAUCUCAUUAGCCUGCUGUACAACAAGGCGCUCAUCAGUCAUCUUGUAGUCAUAGAAUUGCUGCAUGACGUACAACUCGCCGCCGACGUCCGAGGCACCAAACUUGGCCUCGAGCGCAGCCCACAUGUCCUUGCCGUUGUAAAAUGACAUAUACGAAUCGAUCUUCUCAAAAGCUUCCAGCUGUGCUGGAUUAAGAUCGCCCUCAGGCUUGCCCUUGGUGGCGUCAUAGCAGCCCAUGGUCUGAAACCAGUAGACUGCUAUCGUGCGCCACCUCUUAUAUUGCGCCCCUUUAAUGGCAGGCAGCUUCAAAUGCGCAGCAAAAUACGAGAUUUAAUCCGAAUAAAUAGGAAAUAGAUCAUGACAUCAAUAGCAGAGAUUAAACUAACCCCGAGUAGGUCAUGGGACAACGUGCAUAGCUCUGUCCUCGGCUCAAUCCCGCAACCCGCGGCGCGGCACUCGUGUAGGUCUCCUCUUCUCAUGGUCAUACAAGUGGUAGAAUAGCUCACCUUAUAAAGAGGUGCAACUCUCUCUCAACUUCCGGGGUGGGACUAAACUUUAGUCUCACUCACUCCACUCACAUGUGUGCAUGAAUGGGCCAAGAGAAUUUCAGAAUUUUAGUUGGGCUUUGGGCCAAAGGCCUACUAGCAAAAUUCCAACAAUAUGUAGAUCCACAUUUUGGGUGUGCUAGUAUUAAUACGUGUGGCAUGAGUGUGUUCUUGUUUUAUGUAUUUCUAGAGUGAAUCUCACGUUAUUUCCCCAUAUCAUAAAAUGGAUUUGGGACAUUAAAGGAAGAUUAUGCGCAUUUUGCACUUGAUAAUCUAUCUAUCUUCUACAUUUAUAUAUCUAUCUAUAUCUAUCUCUAUAUUCAUCCCUAUAUCUAUACCUAUCUAUAUGUAUACUAUAUAUGUAUAUUUAUAUCUACACCUAUCUAUCUAUCUAUCUAUCUAUCUAUCUUUAUAUCUAUAUCUCUAUCUAUCUAUACCUAUACUUCUACUCCCUCCGUCCCAAAAUAAGUAUCUCAAGCUUAGUACAAGUUCGUACUAAAGUUAAUACAAAGUUGAGACACUUAUUUUGAGACGGAGAAAGUACUAAUUAGGCACUCCCUAGAAAUUACCAUGUUAAUCGGUAAAAUUCAAGAUAAUUGGAAACCCAUGCCCCUUCGUAAAUACAUGUAAUUGCUUACACCAUUUAGGAUAUGCUUGCAUGAUGGAUAUAUACGAUACACAUGCAUCAUUAUUAACCCGGAACACCUUUAAGAUUACAUUAAAAAUGGCAUCCAGGAGACACUAUAUUAAAUAAUACUGCCCAUGAUUAAAUAGGAGGAAAUCCAAUUCUCCAUCGAGGUAUAUGUGCAAAGAGUUAAACAUUGAUCAUUUGGAUAUUCAUGGGGCAUAUUGCAUUUGGAAACCCCUACUCAGUGCACUAUAUAGUAUAUAUAAGCCAUAAUCAUAGCUAUGUACUCCACCUCAACCCAUCCAUCUCUGCACUGCAGUUCCAUUUGAUCCAUUCAUCGUCUCCCUCAGUUACAAUAUAAUUUUCUAGCAAGCCUGGCAGCAAUGGAAAUGGUGCAAACCACCUCCUUAGCAUUCACUGGAAUUGUCAUCAUUCUCCUUUCCAUGGCCAUCACCAAUCAAGCUUCCGACACCAAGCCCAUGCCGUCAGGCAUCACGUUGGAAGCAUGCAAGAAUGUCUCGAGUGACUUCUUCAAGGUGCGCUCCACAUAUGACUUUUGUGUAUCAACGCUCCAGUCAGACAAACGAAGCAUCAACGCGAAGGACUGCCGCAUCCUAGCUCUUGUGGACGUCGACGCCAUGAAGCCCCAAGCCACGGCCGUGAUGGCCAAGGUUGAGAACUUGAUCCAUGGUGCCACCAAGGACAAGCUCGCGACUCGCGCCCUUGGGUUCUGCCAAGUGGACUACGGUGGCAUGGUGAGCACCCUCGAAAUCUGCCAUGAUAUCAUCCAGAACUUUGAGGUUCGUAAAGGCAAUGAAGGUCCGACGCCCUACGACCUGCCUGAUUGCAUUGCGAAAACAACCAAAGCCAUCAACGAUUGCUCUGACAAAACAAAGUUUACGUCGGUUACAAAAGGGCUAACAAAGGAAUAUGAGGAGUUAUCUAUGAUGAUCAGCCUCAGCAGCUCUUUGCCACAUCUCUACAUCACAUCACCCUGAUUUUUCUGGAAAAAUAUGAUUUUAUAGCAUCGGUUUUAGGGUCUGCGAGGCCACCAGGUGGGGACAACCCACCUAGGCGCGCUUGGAGGGGGCACGCCUUGGUGGGUUGUGCCCACCCAGGUGCCCCCCUUCCGGUGGUUCAUGGCUCCAGAAAUUCUCUUUAUUGAUAUAAAAAAUCCUUGCAAAGUUUCGUUCCAUUCCUAAAACUUUUAUUUCUGCACAAAAACAACACCAUGGUAGUUCUGCUGAAAACAGCAUCAGUCCGGGGUUAGUUUCAUUCAAGUCAUGCAAAUUAGAGUCCAAAACAAGAGGAAAAGCAUUGGGAAAAGUAGAUGUGUUGGAGACCUAACGGUGGCGGCGGGAAACAAAUGAGGAAAGGGUGGCGUGUUCAUAAAACGCCACCAAUCAAUGGAAACUUAGCAUAGAAGGAACAUUGAGCUAGCACAACGCGUGUGUGCACAUUGCUCACCCAAGGCUAUGAUCCAUAUACUUGUGUGCCCAACAGAGCACACUAUUCAUAGUAAAGAAUAUUGUUCUGUUUAUCCUAGUAGAGCAGUGGCAGCAAGCGACACAAGAAGAAGUAGAUGAUGAUCAGAUGAUGGUUUAUCCUAAUUAAUUAUGCAUGUAAUAGUUUACUUUGGCGUGUGGAAAUGUCAUGUGUACUAGGCAACUAUGUAAUUGGAUGUUUAAUUUGAUUGUGGAAUCAUGUCCUUAUAUCAUGAUAAAUGUUUAUUAUUCAUGCUAGAAUUGUAUUAACUGAAAACAUAAUACAUGUGUGAAUACAUAGACAAACAAAGUGUCACUAGUAUGCCUCUACUUGACUAGCUUGUUGAUCAAAGAUGGUUAUGUUUCCUAGCCAUAGACACGAGUUGUCAUUUGAUUAACGGGAUCACAUCAUUAGGAGAAUGAUGUGAUUGACAUGACCCAUUCCGUUAGCUUAGCACCGGAUCAUUUAGUAUGUUGCUAUUGCUUUCUUCAUGACUUAUACAUGUUCCUAUGACUAUGAGAUUAUGCAACUCCUCUUUACCGGAGUAACACUUUGUGUGCUACCAAACGUCACAACGUAACUGGGUGAUUAUAAAGGAGCUCUACAGGUGUCUCCAAAGGUACAUGUUGGGUUGGCGUAUUUCGAGAUUAGGAUUUGUCACUCCGAUUGUCAGAGAGGUAUCUCUGGGCCCUCUCGGUAAUGCACAUCACUUAAGCCUUGCAAGCAUUGCAACUAAUGAGUUAGUUGCGGGAUGAUGUAUUAUGGGACGAGUAAAGAGACUUGCCGGUAACGAGAUUGAACUAGGUAUUGAGAUACUGACGAUCGAAUCUCGGGCAAGUAACAUGCCGAUGACAAAGGGAACAACGUAUGUUGUUAUGCGGUCUGACCGAUAAAGAUCUUCGUAGAAUAUGUAGGAGCCAAUAUGAGCAUCCAGGUUCCUCUAUUGGUUAUUGACCGGAGACGUGUCUCGGUCAUGUCUACAUAGUUGUCGAACCCGUAGGGUCCGCACGCUUAACGUUUCGAUGAUAGUUAUAUUAUGAGUUUAUAUGUUUUGAUGUACCGAAGGUUGUUCGGAGUCCCGGAUGUGAUCACGGACAUGAAGAGGAGUCUCGAAAUGGUCGAGACAUGAAGAUUGAUAUAUUGGAAGCCUAUGUUUGGAUAUCAGAAGUGUUCCGAGUGAAAUCAGGAUUUUACCGGAGUACCGGGAGGUUAGCGGAACCCCCCAGUAACUUAAUGGGCCUUAGUGGCCCUAGGUGGAAGAGAGGAGAGGAGGCAAGGGCUGGCCGCGCGCCCCUCCCCCCUAGUCCGAAUAGGACAAGGAGAGGGGGGUGGCGCCCCCCUUCCUUCUCGUCCACUCCUUCCCCCUCCCAAGUCCUAAUCCAACUAGGAAAGGGGGGAGUCCUACUCCCGGUGGGAGUAGGACUCCUCCGGCGCGCCUCCUCCUAUGGCCGGCCGCACCCCCCCCCCCUUGCUCCUUUAUAUACGGGGGCAGGGGGGCAUCCCAUAGAUACAACAAUUGAUCGUUUGAUCUUUUAGCCGUGUGUGGUGCCCCCCUCCACCAUAGUCCACCUCGAUAAUACUGUAGCGGUGCUUAGGCGAAGCCCUGCAUUGGUAGAACAUCAUCAUAUUCACCACGCCGUCGUGCUGACGAAACUCUCCCUCAACACUCGGCUGGAUCGGCGUUCGAGGGACGUCAUCGGGCUAAACGUGUGCUGAACUCGGAGGUGUCGUGCGUUUGGUACUUGAUCAGACAGAUCGUGAAGACAUACGACUACAUCAACCGCGUUGUGCUAAGGCUUCCGCUUUCGGUCUACGAGGGUACGUGGCCAACACUCUCCCCUCUCGUUGCUAUGCAUCACCAUGAUCUUGCGUGUGCAUAGGAAAUUUUUUGAAAUUACUACGUUCCCCAACAAUGGCAUCCGAGCCUGAUUUUAUGUGUAGAUGUCAUAUGCACGUGUAGAACACAAGUGAGUUGUGGUCGAUAUAAGCCAUACUGCUUACCAGCAUGUCAUACUUUGGUUCGGCGGUAUUGUUGGAUGAAGCGGCCCGGACCGACAUUACGUGUACGCUUACGCGAGACUGGUUCUACCGACGUGCUUUGCACAGAGGUGGCUGGCGGGUGUCAGUCUCUCCAACUUUAGUUGAACCGAGUGUGGCUACGCCCGGUCCUUGCGAAGGUUAAAACAACACCAACUUGACAAACUAUCGUUGUGGUUUUUGAUGCAUAGGUAAGAAUGGUUCUUGCUAAGACCGUAGCAACCAUGUAAAACUUGCAACAACAAAGUAGAGGAUGUCUAACUUGUUUUUGCAGGGCAUGUUGUGAUGUGAUAUGGUCAAGACAUGAUGCUAAAUUUUAUUGUAUGAGAUGAUCAUGUUUUUUACCGAGUUAUCGGCAACUGGCAGGAGCCAUAUGGUUGUUGCUUUAUUGUAUGCAAUGCAAUCGACCUGUAAUGCUUUACUUUAUCACUAAGCGGUAGCGAUAGUCGAAGAAGCAUAAGAUUGGCGAGACGACAACGAUGCUAUGAUGGAGAUCAAGGUGUUGCGCCGGUGACGACGGUGAUCACGGAGGUGCUUCGGAGAUGGAGAUCACAAGCACAAGAUGAUGAUGGCCAUAUCAUAUCACUUAUAUUGAUUGCAUGUGAUGUUUAUAUUUUGUGCAUCUUAUCUUGCUUUGAUUGACGGUAGCAUUAUAAGAUGAUCCCUCACUAAAUUAUCAAAGUAUAAGUGUUCUCCCUGAGUAUGCACUGUUGCGAAAAUUCUUCGUGCUGAGACACCACGUGAUGAUCAGGUGUGAUAGGCUCUACGUUCAAAUACAAUGGGUGCAAAACAGUUGCACAUGUGGAAUACUCAGGUUAAACUUGACGAGCCUAGCAUAUAACAGAUAUGGCCUCAGAACACGGAGACCGAAAGGUCGAGCGUGAAUCAUAUAGUAGAUAUGAUCAGCAUAGUGAUGUUCACCAUUAAAACUACUCCAUCUCACGUGAUGAUCGGACAUGGUUUAGUUGAUUUGGAUCACGUGAUCUCUUAGAGGAUUAGAGGGAUGUCUAUCUAAGUGGGAGUUCUUAAGUAAUAUGAUUAAUUGAACUUAAAUUUAUCGUGAACUUAGUACCUGAUAGUAUCUUGCUUGUUUAUGUUGAUUGUAGAUAGAUGGCCCGUGCUGUUGUUCCGUUGAAUUUUAAUGUGUUCCUUGAGAAAGCAAAGUUGAAAGAUGAUGGUAGCAAUUACAUGGACUGGGUCCGUAACUUGAGUAUUAUCCUCACUGCUGCACAGAAGAAUUACGUCCUGGAAGUAUCGCUGGGUGCCAGGCCUGCUGCAGGAGCAACACCAGAUGUUAUGAACAUCUGGUAGAGCAAAGCUGAUGACUACUCGAUAGUUCAGUGUGCCAUGCUUUACGGCUUAGAACCGGGACUUCAACGGCGUUUUGAACGUCAUGGAGCAUAUGAGAUGUUCCAGGAGUUGAAGUUAAUAUUUCAAGCAAAUGCCCGGAUUGAGAGAUAUGAAGUCUCCAAUAAGUUCUAUAGCUGCAAGAUGGAGGAGAACAGUUCUGUCAGUGAGCAUAUACUCAAAAUGUCUGGGUAUAAUAAUCACUUGAUUCCAUUGGGAGUUAAUCUUCCAGAUGAUUUCGUCAUUGACAGAAUUCUCCAAUCACUGCCACCAAGCUACAAGAGCUUCGUGAUGAACUAUAAUAUGCAAGGGAUGAAUAAGACUAUUCCCGAGCUCUUCGCAAUGCUGAAAGCUGCGGAAGUAGAAAUCAAGAAGGAGCAUCAAGUGUGUAUGGUCAACAAGACCACUAGUUUCAAGAAAAAGGGCAAAGGGAAGAAGAAGGGGAACUUCAAGAAGAACAGCAAACAAGUUGCUGCUCAAGAGAAGAAACCCAAGUCUGGACCUAAGCCUGAAACUGAGUGUUUCUACUGCAAGCAAACUGGUCACUGGAAGCGGAACUGCCCCAAGUAUUUGGCGGAUAAGAAGGAUGGCAAGGUGAACAAAGGUAUAUGUGAUAUACAUGUUAUUGAUGUGUACCUUACUAAUGCUCGCAGUAGCACCUAGGUAUUUGAUACUGGUUCUAUUGCUAAUAUUUGCAACUCGAAACAGGGGUUACGGAUUAAGCAAAGAUUGGCUAUGGACAAGGUAACGAUGCGCGUGGGAAAUGGUUCCAAAGUUGAUGUGAUCGCAGUCGGAACGCUACCUCUACAUCUACCUUUGGGAUUAGUAUUAGACCUAAAUAAUUGUUAUUUGGUGCCAGCGUUGAGCAUGAAUAUUAUAUCUGGAUCUUAUUUGAUGCAAGACGGAUAUUCAUUUAAAUCAGAGAAUAAUGGUUGUUCUAUUUAUAUGAGUAAUAUCUUUUAUGGUCAUGCACCCUUGAAGAGUGGUCUAUUCUUAUUGAAUCUUGAUAGUAGUGACACACAUAUUCAUAAUGUUGAAGCCAAAAGAUGCAGAGUUGAUAAUGAUAGUGCAACUUAUUUGUGGCACUACCGUUUAGGUCAUAUCGGUGUAAAGCGCAUGAAAAAACUCCAUACCGAUGGACUUUUGGAACCACUUGAUUAUGAAUCACUCUCUACUUGCGAACUGUGCCUCAUGGGCAAAAUGACUAAAACACCGUUCUCCGAUACUAUGGAGAGAGCAACAGAUUUGUUGGAAAUCAUACAUACAGAUGUAUGUGGUCUGAUGAAUGUUGAGGCUCAUGGCGGAUAUCGUUAUUUUCUCACCUUCACAGAUGACUUAAGCAGAUAUGGGUAUAUCUACUUAAUGAAACAUAAGUUUGAAACAUUUGAAAAGUUCAAAGAAUUUCAGAGUGAAGUUGAAAAUCAUCGUAACAAGAAAAUAAAGUUUCUACGAUCUGAUCAUGGAGGAGAAUAUUUGAGUUACGAGUUCGGUGUACAUUUGAAAAAGUGCGGAAUAGUUUCGAAACUCACGCCACCCGGAACACCACAACAUAAUGGUGUGUCCGAACGUCGUAAUCGUACUUUAAUAGAUAUGGUGCGAUCUAUGAUGUCUCUUACUGAUUUACCGCUAUCGUUUUGGGGUUAUGCUUUAGAGACGGCCGCAUUUACGUUAAAUAGGGCACCAUCAAAAUCCGUUGAGACGACGCCUUAUGAACUGUGGUUUGGCAAAAAACCAAAGUUGUUGUUUCUGAAAGUUUGGGGCUGCGAUGCUUAUGUGAAAAAGCUUCAACCUGAUAAGCUCGAACCCAAAUCGGAGAAAUGUGUCUUCAUAGGAUACCCAAAGGAGACCGUUGGGUACACCUUCUAUCACAGAUCCGAAGGCAAGAUUUUUGUUGCUAAAUUAGGAAACUUUCUAGAGAAGGAGUUUCUCUCGAAAGAAGUGAGUGGGAGGAAAGUAGAACUUGAUGAGGUAACUGUACUUGCUCCCUUAUUGGAAAGUAGUUCAUCACAGAAACCGGUUUCCGUGACACCUACACCAAUCAGUGAGGAAGUUAAUGAUGAUGAUCAUGAAACUUCAGACCAAGUUACUACUGAGCCUCAUAGAUCAACCAGAGUAAGAUCCGCAGCAGAGUGGUACGGUAGUCCUGUUCUGGAAGUCAUGCUACUAGAUCAUGAUGACCCUACGAACUAUGAAGAAGCGAUGGUGAGCCCAGAUUCCGCAAAAUGGCUUGAGGCCAUGAAAUCUGAGAUGCGAUCCAUGUAUGAGAACAAAGUAUGGACUUUGGUUGACUUGCCUGAUGAUCGGCAAGCAAUUGAAAAUAAAUGGAUCUUCAAGAAGAAGACUGACGCUGACGGUAAUGUUACUGUCUACAAAGCUCGACUUGUUGUGAAAGGUUUUCGACAAGUUCAAGGGAUUGACUACGAUGAGACCUUCUCACUCGUAGCGAUGAUUAAGUCUGUCCGAAUCAUGUUAGCAAUUACCGCAUUUUAUGAUUAUGAAAUUUGGCAAAUGGAUGUCAAAACUGCAUUUCUGAAUGGAUUUCUAGAAGAAGAGUUGUAUAUGAUGCAACCAAAAGGUUUUGUGGAUCCAAAGGGAGCUAACAAAAUGUGCAAGCUCCAGCGGUCCAUUUAUGGACUGGUGCAAGUCUCUCAGAGUUGGAAUAAACGCUUUGAUAGUAUGAUCAAAGCAUUUGGUUUUGUACAGACUUUUGGAGAAGCCCGUAUUUAUAAGAAAGUGAGUGGGAGCUCUGUAGCAUUUCUAAUAUUAUAUGUACAUAUUGCUGAUUGGAAAUGAUAUAGAAUUUCUAGAUAGCAUAGGGAUACUUGAAUAAGAGUUUUUCAAUGAAAGACGACCUCGGUGAAGCUGCUUAUAUAUUGGGCAUUAAGAUAUAUAGAGAUAGAUCAAGACGCUUAAUUGGACUUUCACAAAGCACAUACCUUGAAAAAGUUUUGAAGAAGUUCAAAAUGGAUCAAGCAAAGAAAGGGUUCUUGCCUGUGUUACAAGGUGUGAAGUUGAGUAAGACUCAAUGCCCGACCACUGCAGAAGAUAGAGAGAAAAUGAAAGAUGUUCCCUAUGCUUCAGCCAUAGGCUCUAUCAUGUAUGCAAUGUUGUGUACCAGACCUGAUGUGUGCCUUGCUAUAAGCCUAGCAGGGAGGUACCAAAGUAAUCCAGGAGUGGAUCACUGGACAGCGGUCAAGAACAUCCUGAAAUACCUGAAAAGGACUAAGGAUAUGUUUCUCGUUUAUGGAGGUGACAAAGAGCUCAUCGUAAAUGGUUACGUUGAUGCAAGCUUUGACACUGAUCCGGACGAUUCUAAAUCACAAACCGGAUACGUGUUUACAUUGAACGGUGGUGCUGUCAGUUGGUGCAGUUCUAAACAAAGUGUAGUGGCGGGAUCUACGUGUGAAGCGGAGUACAUAGCUGCUUCAGAAGCAGCAAAUAAAGGAAUCCAGAUUUCAGAAGAGAUAUAGAUUUGCAAGAUACAUACGGAUCUGAAUGUUGCAGACCCGUUGACGAAGGGCACGGUGCCAAUGCGCGUCCUCAGUUUGUGUGAGGUGGAUUAUGACACCAUGGUGAGCGUCAUCAACAUAUGUGAUGCCAUUAUCAGGGAUUACCAACGUGACGAGGGCAGGCAAUGGUCCAAAGAGCUAGUCCGUUGGAUGGAUAUGGCACGUGAUCAUGUCAAUGAGUGCAUCUCUGAGCUUGUUGACAUGCCUGCAGUGGGGGCUCUUGUCAAUGAAAACAAUGAAUUGGGAAUGCUGGUUAAACUGAACACCGCCUUGGUAGCAGCCCGUAUGUUUCCCGAGUAAUAGGAUGUUUGUGUUUAUAUGGCAAAAAAUAUGUCGAUGAGAAAUAAAUUGUACUAUUAAUAGUUAUUACUAUAAAUAUAAUGAUAAAUGUGUUGUGGCAUCAAUAUGCAUGGUUUUCCACAAAUUUUUCAUUUUGCUAUGAUAAUUCUAGAUUUUUUGGGGCCCAUUCGUCUUUCUUUCUUCAAAGUCUUACAAUAAUGACAUCUAUCACUCGUUGUGGAACCUCUCUUUUAAAUUGGCUCUUGAAAUCCGAUUGUCAGUAUUUUUCUAAUAUACCAUUGUUAGUAUGUUAUUCUGAUGUGUUGAACUUAUCUAUCUCCCGAGUUAUCUCUAUGCGUGAAUAUUUUCAAGUAUGAAGAGCCGAGGUCAAUGUAACAGCGCAAACAAUUGCAACCACCCGUUUAGCCAACAGGCUACUACCAUCUACGUGCCAAUCCUUAUCUUUACAUAAUAUAAUAAUAAAGAACGGAGGCUUUCAUAUUGUCCAUCCGUCAUCUGUUUAUAUCCAUCGAUUUUAUGUUAACCAUAAAAAUUAACGGCUGGGAUUUAAAAAUAAAUCAACACACAUGUAAUAAGGAAAGCAAACAAACAAACGCUAUGGAACAAAGUAAAAAAAAGUCACGAACGUUGCACGUCUCUCUUGACAAUGAGAAAAAGGAAAACAAUCAUAUAUAUCAGAUCAAUUUCCUGACAAUCCCUAUUUGGCACUACAAGCGCCGGUUAUAACUGUUUUGUGCAAACCGGCGCCUGCAGCCCACAUCCCUCUGAUGCGACUGGGCCGGUCCAUGUAUCUGCUUUUAAAUUUUUUUUCUAAAGGUUCAGAAAAUGUGCGUCCGCACGAAAUCGAACUCAAGAUCUGCUCUAGUAAAUUAGCACCGCAACCAUCAGGCCACAAAAUAUCGCGGUAACUCCUCCGUUUGGGAAUCUUCCAGAACCUUCCCUAAACCGUUUUUUGGUUCGUUGGUCAUUUUAAGGUGCGAUUUUACUCGGUUUUCUUUUGUUCUUUUCCUUUUAUUUCUUAAAUGCGUUUUUUAUCAUGUUAUUUUUCAAAAUCAAUCAUGUUUUUCUCUUUCACGUAUUUAACAAAAUCGAUGAACUUUUUUCCAAAUUCGAUGAACCUUUUUAAAAAUUGAUGAACUUUUUCGAAAUACGAGUAACUUUGUUCAAAUCCGAUGAACUUUUUUUUUCAAAAUUGAUUCUACAACUAUCGCUAACGCAUAGUGAUAAAGUAAAGCAAUUACAUGGCAUUUGCAUCUCAUACAAUAAAGCGACAACCAUAAGGCAACUGCCAGUUGCCGAUAACUUUUACAAAACAUGAUCAUCUCAUACAAUAACGUAUAUCACAUCAUGUCUUGACCAUAUCACAUCACAACAUGCCCUGCAAAAACAAGUUAGACAUCCUCUACUUUGAUGUUGCAAGUUUUACGUGGCUGCUACGGGCUUCUAGCAAGAAACAUUCUUAACUACGCAUCAAAAUCACAACGGUGAUUUAUCAAGUUUGUUGUUUUAGCCUUCAACAAGGACCGGUCGCAGUCAAAUUCGAUUCAACGAAAGUGGGAGAAACAGACACCCACCAGCCACCUUUAUGCAAAACUAGUUGCAUGUCUGUCGGUGCAACAGGUCUCAUGAACGUGGUCAUGUAAGGUUGAUACGGGCCGCUUCAUCCAACAAUACCGCCGAAUCGAAAUAAGACAUUGGUGGUAAGCAUAGACCUGGCUCGGAUGCCACUGUUGGGGAACGUAGCAUGCAGUUUCAAAAAAAAUCUUACGCUCAUGCAAGAUCUAUCUAGGAGAUGUAUAGCAACAAGAGGGGGAGAGUGUUUCCACGUACCCUCGUAGACCAAAAGCAGAAUCAUUUUGACAACGUGGUUGAUGUAGUCGAACUUCUUCUCGUUUCGACCGAUCAAGCACCGAACGUACGGCACCUCCGAGUUCUGCACACGUUUAGCUCGAUGACGUCCCUUGAACUCUUGAUCCAACAAAUUGUCGAGGGAGAGUUUCGUCAGCACGAUGGUGUGGUGAUGGUGAUGGUGAAGUGAUCCGCACAGGGCUUCGCCUAAGCACUGUGACAACUAGUCAUCUACCCGUGCGUUCGCACGGGCUAUAGAAAUUAUAUAUUUACAAAAUCUUCACAAUAUAUAUUCUAAGGACAAUGGUGAUUGAUAUUAGAUGAAAUUUCAUUUUCCUAUCCUCACUGUAAUGGAUGAGCCCAAAAUUAGAAAGAUAACAAUACAUGCCAUAGCAUUAAUAAUUAACAUAGAGAACCUUUUGUUGUAUAAAUCAUUCUUAGAUUCUCGUUGACAACCUUGAAUCAUAAGAACUGGCCAAAUUAUGUCUCCGUAUAACUUGUGUUGGUAUAUUUUAGUUAGAAAUCAAUAAUACUUUUUGCUAAUAUUUGACCUGCAAAGGAGAAUGUUUUUUAUAAUUUAUACCACGAUGUAUGUCAGGAAGAACCUAUAAAUAUAAUAAAGUGGUGUUGUCUAUGUAAAAAAAGUCUCGCAUAAAUUUGAAUAUAAAGACAUUAUUUUGUUUCUUCUUGGAAUUAUUAUAUCCUCGAGUAAUAUUGUAUGAAGAAAUGUAUGACAACCCGAUUGUAUAGUUGGAUUAUUUUUAAUAUGCAGAACUCCAAAGCACGGAAGGUUCAUAUUAGAAUGUUUAAUGCAUGUAAUGUAUCAAAUUAUGCCAAAUAAAUAUUUAGUAGCUACUCGCAUUUUAGCCUAUUGGUCCCUUUGAUGACUUCGAGAGUGCUUAAAGUUACCUCACCCUUUCUACUAUAUCUUCUCUAGAUCAUGGUACAAACUCGUGCUUGCAAAUAAGAAUUACCUUUUCUACCGAAGGUUUUCCCUAAUUGUGUCUGAACGUGUACCCCUAUAGACUUCCAUCAAAUAGAAUGCUAUCCCUUUGCUUGGUACAGCUUUAUGUGUAGUAGGUAGAAUUUUCUUACGACGGAGCUAGAAAGUAACCCUUGAUCCAUUCUGAAGUAGAUUUGAAAGUCUGAUAUCAUAAUACAUUUCACAAUGACUCCAAAAAAGAUUUUGGUUGAUGGCUUGCGUGAAAUUUGUUUCAUUAGAUUUUUCACAUGAAAUAUGUUCAGAGUAUUACUUUUUGAACUUGUUGUGUUUGCAUGCUCGAGCAAAAAAUAAUGAUCAAGUUUAAUAGUAAGAAACUUAAAACGAUUAGAAACUUUAAAUAGUAUUGGGACUCAUAGAGUGCAAUUUUUAAAUGUUACCAGUUCCUCUCAUCAUGGGCGUAGUCAAUUGGAACACUUGGUUUGUUUUUCCUGUUUGCGGUUAAGAAGGUGAAUCUUACUGACUACAUAUAAUGUAUUGAUUUCUACUCCAGCACGUACGCCAUGACAAACUUGUACCUGCUGCGAGGCCCUCUCGAGCAAUCGAUACAUACAUAUGUUAGUGCGUAUACUUUCUUUUAAUGUAUAUACUUGUCUUUGCUAUAGCCUUCUUCCUACAUCUGCGAGUAAGCAGCAACCUGUUUUUUUAAUAAUUGUCACCUUGAACAUGGCACACAUGAAACCUAUAUUCCUCCAUUGCCGAACCAUCUAAAACAACUAACUUUUCCUUACUCACUGACACACGGUUUUAAGCAUCAUCCCAUACUGUUCAUUUUUCAUAUUCUAAUAUGUUUUCCAAACUGAGAAAAUGAUACAACCAAUCAUAUCUUGCGAAAUUGUUCUGCAACUUUCUUGCUUUAAGCAUGAUAUAAUUCUUCCUUGAAAUUGAUGGGAAAUAGGCUAAAGGGUAAUCUGUUUCUAUUAAAAACUACAACGCAGAAUCAGGUUUUUCGUCUUAGUUUGCAAACCCUAAACAAGAAUCGAACGAAAUUGGUACCACUGGAAAGCUUGCAACAUAUCCCAUAACUUUUACCACUGUCUUAAUUUCAGAUUAUGCAAUGUUUUAUCACAGUUUUAAACUUAACUCUACCGGCUCAGACAACCCAUGCCUAGAUAAAUACUUAGCGUCAGUCUCUCCAAUCCAUCUUUCUACUUUGCCAAUAAUGACUAAUUAGGGUUUACCUUUUCUGUGUGGAAUCAUUCUUCCAGUUCCAUGGCAAGAUCACAAAUUUUGGACGACCCAACGGAUUCUCCUUCCUCCAGAGUCUUCUUCUCCGCUCAGAUUGGCUACUGCGCCUUACUCUUCUGAUUACAUGUAUUCCCUUCUCUCUUCUGACUAAAUUCUCCCUGGUGCAAUAUGUGCAGUCUACUGCCUUGAGCUGCUCCUUGUCAUAGCCUGCUCUGCACUCCAGAUCUCUUGCUCUGAUUGGUGGCUGGAUCAAAUGCAACCCACCCAACAGUAGUUAGCUCAACAUAAGCGGCUUCAAAAAAACGCAAGGAGCAGCACGUAAACGUAAAGGUCGACGACUGAAAAUGGCAACACCAUCCUAGAGCAGUGGAGCUCACGGCUAUAGGUAGAACUUGGUGGUGGUAGUCAUGAACAGCGACCAGCACCAGCCUCCGAUAGAAGGGGGCAGUUCAUCCAUGUGCUUGAGUGUUGACGGCUGGCCAUAUUGUGAACGACAGAGUCGUCAAUUCUGACUAAGUGUAGUCUCAUGCUGAUUCUCUACUGACGCAUAGGCAUGUCCGGCGGUGGCCAGCGUGACUGCAUACUGGGUCAUCGAUCAAUGAUCCGGGCAAUUCAAUUGUAAACCCCAAAAAAGCAAAUUCAAAGCAAAUCAGUGUGAGAUGAGGAACCUGAUUUAGAUAAGGAACAAAAUUCUAAUGUGAUAACUUCAGCGAGAGCUUGGGAUCCAUGCCCUAACAUCCUUGCUCCAAUUUGAGAGAGAGAACGAUCUGUUUACCGUGUGUGAAGUAAAGAGAGACAUGAGAGAAGAGAUAUAUGAGAGUUUGAGAGAGGGAGAAACGGGAUAGAUUGAGAGAGAUAGACGAAGAGAGAUAUGACAGUUUGAGAGAGAGAAAGAGACGUGAGGGACUGAGAGAGAGAGUUUGAGAGAGGGACGUCAGAGAUUGUGAGAGACCACGAUUUCUUAGGUUGUUGUUUUUCUUUUACUUUGAGAGGAAUAGAAAGAGGUAGAUAUUUUAUGGUUUACUAUUCAAAAGUUUUUUUGGCCGAACUAAGCUGCCUGAAUGGUCAAAAAAAUAUUGUUCUCUGAAGAUUAAUCUACACCGUAAUAACUCGGUCCCACCAGAUGAACGGCUGGUAAAUUCUAAUUAACGUGGUAAUUUUUAGGGAGUCUAUAAUUAGUAUAGAAUAUAGAUAUAGAUAUAGAUAUAGAUAUAGAUAGAUAGAUAUAGAUAUAGAUAUAGAUAUAGAUAGAUAGAUAGAUAGAUAGAUAGAUAGAUAUGACUGAAGGCGUAAACUGUGGAGGGGCGCCGCACACGGCUAGGAAUCAAUGUUGUGUGUUCUAGAGGUGCCCCUCCCACAUAUAUAUUAGGUGGGAGAGGGAGGGGAGCAGCAAGGGGCGCCUCCUCCAAGUCGCCCCCCCCCCUUCAUAAGUGUUGGAGGGGGAAGGAAAGAGAGGGGGAGAGAGGGAAAGGGGGAGGCUGAAUCCUCCCCUUUCCUUCUCCCUUCCCUCCUUUCCUUCUUCUCCUAUUUUGGUCUACAUGGGGCGCACCAGCCCACUAGGGGCUGGUCUGUCCCCUGCUUGGCCCAUUAGGCCCAUAUAGUUGCCGGGGGAUGCUCAGAACCCCUUCCGUUGACCCGAUAUGUACCAGGAACCCUCGGAACACUUCCAGUGUCCAAAUACCAUCGUCCUAUAUAUGAAUCUUUACCUCUCGACCAUUUCGAGACUCCUCGUCAUGUCCGUGAUCUCAUCCGGGACUCCGAACUACAUUCGGUCACCAAAUUGCAUAACUCAUAUAAUACAAAAUCGUCAUCAAACGUUAAGCGUGCGGACCCUACGGGUUCGAGAACUAUGUAGACAUGACUAAGACACCUCUCCGGUCGAUAACCAACAGCGGAACCUGGAUGCUCAUAUUGGUUCCUACAUAUUCUACGAAGAUCUUUAUCGGUCGUACCGUAAUGACAACAUACGUUAUUCCCUUUGUCAUUGGUAUGUUACUUGCCCGAGAUUCGAUCGUCGAUAUCUUCAUACCUAUUUCAAUAUCGUUACCGGAAAGUCUCUUCACUCGUUCCAUAAUAGAUCAUCCCAAAAUUAACUCAUUAGUCACACUGCUUGCAAGGCUUAUUAUGAUGUGCAUUACCGAGAGGGCCCAGAGAUACCUCACCGAUACUCGGAGUGACAAAUCCUAAUCUCAAUCUAUGCCAACCCAACAAACACCUUCGAAGAUACCUGUAGAGCAUCUUUAUAAUCACCCAGUUCCGUUGUGACGUUUGAUAGCACAUAAGGCAUUACUCCGGUAUCCGAGAGUUGCAUAAUCUCAUAGUCAAAGGAAUAUGUCUAUGACAUGAAGAAAGUUGUAGCAAUAAAACUGAACAAUCAAUAUGCUAAGCUAACCGAUGGGUCUUUUCCAUCACAUCAUUCUCCUAAUGAUGUGAUCCCGUCCAUCAAAUGACAACACAUGUCUAUGGUUAGGAAACUCAACCAUCUUUGAUUAACGAGCUAGUCUAGUAGAGGCUUACUAGGGAAACUAUGUUUUGUCUAUGUAUCCACACAUGUAUCUAGUUUCCGGUUAAUACAAUUCUAGCAUGAAUAAUGAACAUGUAUCAUGAUAUAAGGAAAUAUAAAUAACAACUUUAUUAUUGCCUCUAGGGCAUAUUUCCUUCACUAAGAGAGGAAGGCGGUUGUCGCUCUUGUCCCUUGUUGCCAGCCUACCAUGCCGUCAUCGAUCACUGGCUCACUUAGAACACGAGCUAGUAGAUUUUGUGAUAAGAGUGAGGAGGAUGGUACCGUAGAAAAUGUGGAAAAUUGCAUUUUAUUAGAGAUGGAUUCAAAACAAAUUGCUUGAGUGAGUGGUUAAUAUAUUUUCUUCAUCAAUUCGUACAAUUUUUUGGUUAGGAUAGAGGGGUAAAUGCAUUGGUUGGGUGCUUCAAGAGUUAAUAACGGACACAGUGGCAUACCGGUUUCAUGCCAAACAACCGACAUCAUAUUUUUCUUUUUCGUAAGGUACGACAUUCAACUGUAUGUUGGCAAUGUCUAAGGACAAUCAUAUCUGCCUUCUUGGGCGUCACGGGAGGCACAUGCCUUGUUCCCCUUGAUGGAGGUGGCAGAUGGCAUGAUCACGGGGGGAGGGGAUCAGGGCAGAGAGCGGGGCGGUUGGCAGGUGAUAACCCACAAGUAUAGGGGAUCGCAACAGUUUUCGAGGGUAGAGUAUUUAACCCAAAUUUACUGAUUCGACACAAGGGGAGCCAAAGAAUAUUCUCAAGUAUUAGCAGUUGAUUUGUCAAUUCAACCACACCUGUAAGACUUCAUAUCUGCAGCAAAAUAUUUAGUAGCAAAGUAGUAUGGAAGUAACGGUAACGGUGGUAAAAGUAACAGUAACAGUUCUGUAGUAAUUGUAACAGUGGCAACAGUAAAGUAACUAAGCAAAGAUCAAUAUGUGAAAAUCUCGUAGGCAUUGGAUCAAUGAUGGAUAAUUAUGUCAGAUGUGAUUCCUCAUGCAACAGUUAUAACAUAGGGUGACACGGAACUAGAUCCAGUUCAUCAAUGUAAUGUAGGCAUGUAUUCCGAAUAUAGUCAUACGUGCUUAUGGAAAAGAACUUGCAUGACAUCUUUUGUCUUACCCUCCCGUGGCAGGGGGUCCUAUUGGAAACUAAGUGAUAUUAAGGCCUCCUUUUAAUAGAGUACCGGACCAAAGCAUUAACACUUAGUGAAUACAUGAACUCCUCAAACUAUGGUAAUCACCGGGAGUGGUCCCGAUUAUUGUCACUUCGGGGUUACCGGAUCAUAACACAUAGUAGGUGACUAUUGACUUGCAAGAUAGGAUCAAGAACUCACAUAUAUUCAUGAAAACAUAAUAGGUUUAGAUCUGAAAUCAUGGCACUCGGGCCCUAGUGACAAGCAUUAAGCAUAGCAAAGUCAUAGCAACAUCAAUCUCAGAACAUAAUGGAUACUAGGGAUCAAACCCUAACAAAAAUAACUCGAUUACAUGGUAAAUCUCAUCCAACCCAUCACCGUCCAGCAUGCCUAUGAUGGAAUUACUCACGCACGGCGGUGAGCAUCAUGAAAUUGGUGAUGGAGGAAGGUUGAUGAUGACGAUGGCGAUGGAUUCCCCUCUCCGGGGCCCCAAACGGACUCCAGAUCAGCCCUCCCGAGAGAGAUUAGGGCUUGGCGGCGGCUCCAUAUCGUAAAACGCGAUGAAUUCUUCUCUCUGAUUUUUUUUCUCCCUGAGCGUGAAUAUAUAUAGUUGGAGUUGAGGUCGGUGGAGCUUCAGGGGGCCCACGAGGCAAGGGGGCGCGCAGCCCACCCUCGUGGACAGGGUGUGGGCCCCUUGGUGUUGAUUCUUUCGCUAGUAUUUUUUAUAUAUUCUAAAAUAUUCUCCGUGAAGUUUCAGGUCAUUCCGAGAACUUCUAUUUCUGCACAAAAAUAACACCAUGGCAAUUCUACUGAAAACAGGGUCAGUCCGGAUUAGUUCCAUUCAAAUCAUGCAAGUUAGAGUCCAAAACAAGGGCAAAAGUGUUUGGAAAAGUAGAUACGAUGGAGACGUAUUAGCAGGGGAUUCCUCCUUGAUGGUCCAUGGGGUUGUAUGUUGUGAAGGAGAAAGGAGACUAUAGCGAAGGUCAAGUGAGCGUCAUCAGAUUUUAAUGUAGAGAGCACCAACGACAAAUUCCCGUUUAUGGCGGAAAAUUGAGCGAGAAGGGGACGUUCCGAUAGGAAAAGGGAAGGGUGCAUCGUCGAGUGGAGUUUUUGUGUUGGAACGGCGUGUUGGAGAUGAUGGAGGAUAAUCUGGAAAACCACAUAUCUCCCUCACAUAUAGGUUGGAUUUCGGUGAGCCUGGACUAUCUAAACGGUUGGAUUUUCGGGAGCCUUUUAGGCGCCUGUCUGAUGUCCGAACACUCUCGGACAUAUGAGAGAGAAAUGAGCUUCAACCUUGGAGAUGAUCUUAAUCAUUUGUCUUGUCUAAUUCAUUUAUAUAUAUUAUAGCCUGUAGCAACACACGGGCAUUCCACUAGUAUUAAUUAGUGCUCUGGAAGACACCCGUUAAGAUGUGCUUCCAACACUCGAAGUGGGGGGAUGUGUCUAAAUUAUGUCUUGACCAAAACGCGCCCUGCAUCAAGAGUCAGUUGUCUAGCUGUAUGCCCUAUUCGCCACGCGGAGUUUCCUCGGUAAUUAAGGUAAAUCAAACAAAAUCAUUGGACAUUUAAUGACUACACCUUAUGCAUCCCCAGAUAUUGGAUCCACCCUACCAUACUAAGCCCUUCUAUCACUUGUGUUCGAAAUUGCGCUUCAUGUUGUCCCGUGUCCUAACCUCCACUUGGACCGAACUCCAGGAUCCAUGGAACCUGCAGGGCCGAAGAACGAGGUUGGAGGGAGAGAGAGAGAAGAGACUACUAUGAUGUAAUUUUAUUUUAUAUAUACAUGACGUCCAUUCAAAGUCAUUCCAUCAACCCCUCAAACAAAUACAUCAGGUUGCAAGGACAUUGGACAUUGCCUUACCGAAUUACUCACACAUGGCGAUCGGAUCGCAAGAAGUAAUCAGUGAAGAAGACAUCGGAUCGGAUCACAAAACAAAGAGAGGAUUUCACAAUCCCUUGCAUUCAUCAGUCAUUAGUGGCAAUAUCAAUGGGAGUAUCAUAGAUUUAUAAGAUAAACAUGUUUAAACUAUGGCAUGAUGAGCAUAAAAGUAACACACGUCAACUCUUCAAGAUUAAACUUGAUCAUCCUCCAGUAACAUAGAUAGAAAUCCAAACCGUAAGGAACUAGGUUGUUUAAUGCCUAGAUAGACCUCCGCUUCUUCACAUGAAAAGUUAGUAUAGCUGUAGCGGUGGCAUGGUUAUUAUGCAAGUGUUAUUGAAGCAAAGAUAAUCAACACAAAGCUCUUGCUCACCUAGAAAAAAAUAAAAAGUAGCUUUUAUUCUAUUUAAUCUAGUUAACACUUGCUUGCGGGGAACACAUGGAAGAGAAUUUUCUUUCUUGAGCAACGAAAACAUAAAUUAAGGGAGUGAAAGUUAUGAAAAUACAACAUGGUACUAGAGUAACUCAUUAACACCCACGAGUGUCUCAUCAUUAAUUCUCUCAAGGACUUCGCUUCAAUCAUUGCUUGCUGAAACUUUUCUUGUCUAGUGACGAGAUUAUGCCAAAGAAAUUAUUCAUGCAUAAGGUUUCGCAGAGGCUUAAGCUUGAGUACUAUUGAUGAGUCCAAAUUGUGUGAUUAUUUCGACGAGUAUUUUGUGCCAACUCCAUUGGCUUUGUGGAAUGUUACUGCGUUCACACACUGUUUUUGUCGGUUUUCCCCAGGACACUUCUUUUGGAACAAAUGGAAAACUAUGGUAGGAAUCACAUGAUAUUAUGGUGGAAUCACAUAAAUCAAUGUGAUUAUACCUUACCAUAAAUAGAAUAAAAUACGUAAAGGAAAUUGGAUCUGGCGCAGUCCAACAAAGUGCAACACGGGCAACCAUACGAGCGCACGUGCUCGUGCAUGCAGCCGUAUGGCAUGCUGGUAGCUCCCUCCUGUCGACUACUUCUUCCCUAUGGAUAAAGAUUGAGGAAUAGACACACACACACACAUACACACAACCACCAGAAACACAUCCAGAAGGAGAACCCUAACUUUUUGAACCCAUCCAGAGGGGAAUUGGUAAGGAGGAGAUCGCCAUCUUCACCACCAGGUGCAAGGGGACGUCGGCAUCAUCACCACUGUCAUCAUCGUCAUAAUCCACAUCAAUCUUCAUCUCGUUGUAAUAUCAGAACUCUAGUGGAUCAUCAUGCAUGUUACUUGUUUGAUUCAUCCAUGUUUAUCAUCACCGCAUUCAUGCUAUUUUGCUUCCCCUAUGUAUGAGUAAACCCCCUAGUUCUUAGGGAUAUGGAUGAAUCUUGGUAUGUAUAGGAGCUGAAACGUUAAUAUGUGAUAUUUUCUAUUGAAUGAUUUAGUUUAAUAGACUUCGUGAAUGUUGUGAAGGCUCCUCCCUCAAAAUUAUCACCGAAAGGUCACAAAGUAUAUUACUGUCGUUUUAAGAGUUAGCGAGUGAAGGUAAUUCGAGGUGACAGCAAAAGCCUUCACCCCUAGGUUUUACAAUUGAUUAGGGAAUUACGGAGAACCUUAGUGAGGCCGCGUCCAUAGAGAGACCCUUAAUUACCGUAGUCGUAACUUGUUGCGGGAGACUACUGUAGUGGCAUGCGUGGCACGAAGUCUACCUAGAGUAGAAUGUGCUCUGUACCCGGCUAUGCCCGGUGUAAACGUCAAGAAUGGUGUAAGUGCAUCUAGUGCCUCCUUUGUGGUUAUGGACUAUUGAAGACAAAUGUGUUAAGAGACUAAUGUGUUUGUGAGUAUACAUAGGUGAAAAGUCACAGAAGAUGUUGUUUAACCAUGAAAGACGACCCCUAAAAUUGUACGUUUAGGUUGAAUAAAUUGGUGCGCCCCUUUGAAGGAAUUGACGUGACGAAUUGGAACGUGAAGAUUUUGUUCCAGUAGUUUCUUUUUUCUUAUAUUGAUUCAUAGGGAACACCAUACUGUUAAAGGGGGUCUAGGUCAUAUGUAUGCGUAUUUCCGAAGUGAUGCUCAACCUACCUAUUUCUUCGAGUGAAGACUAUGAAAAUCUCUUGAAGUGCAGUCGAGUUCCACAACAACAGAGACACAGUUCUUCUGUUCGUUGACGAAAUUGGUCUGGAGGAAGAGUUAGGAUUUCGCCGGUGUGAUUCUCCUACCGCGAGAAAUUUGAGAGUUUAAAUUUCCAACCGUUGCCGGACUAAGGCGGUGCUCGAGUCUAAGCCCGUCAUAAGUGUUGUGGCAACGGAGGUGCAAGAAGUGCUGAAGGUGGGGUAGUAUCGAUGUCAUGGAGAGCGGUCUGAGGACCGGCAUGUCAUUGUCCAGUGACAAGAGGUCCGAGGUGGUGUACAAGUCAUCCUUCAUGUGUUUCUUGGUGUAGGAUCGGAUCUAGAAGAAACACAAGGAUGCUGAACAAAAGCACCCCAUCUCAUAUGAGCUGGCGCUAGUCCAGCCUCACCGUGCUGCCGCCACCACCUAUGUUAUUUGGCUUCGCAAUCCCCUCCUCCACGGCGGGAGGCAUGGGUUUACUUGGUGUGGAGUUCGACGUCACCUGCGGCGAGAGUGGAUGUCGCAUAACUUUACAAGUGGGAUCCACCAAGAUACAGUGCCACGUAGGCAAAGUUUGCGGUUACAUGCGAGAAAUGCACCAUAUUAGCCAACUGAUUGUACCAGAAAUCGAUUUCCAUCUUUCGGCAUGAAAAUGAACAUGCAAGCCAAGUUUAGGGACCACGGGUAAAUUCAUCUCUUAAAUAAUACAAAAGGCUUUUUCAUCCUCCCACAUCCUCCCUUUUACUCGUUGGAUAUCCACACACUACAGAGGAGCUUAGUAGUAGCGCUUUUUAUAAGAAAGCGCUGCUACUAAAGAACGGUAGCGCUUGUCACCGAAGAGCACUGCUAAUAUCCAUCUAGCAGUAAUGCUUUUGUUAUAAAAAACGCUACUACUAUAGUUGCCAACGGUUGCAUGGCAGUGUAGGUAUACUAGUAGCGCUCUUAAUUAAAAAGCACUACUACUAUUGUAUAUAGCAAUAGCGUUGUCCUCUGUCGAGCGCUACUGCUAUUUUUUCAGGUGUAUGUGUGGGCUGAUAUAUAACCGUACAACUUUCUCAUGUUGCGAGUGAAAGACAUUGUGAGUUUUCCAUGAUCUUGCUUAAAUACAGGUACGACUACUGAACUGAAAUUAAUCUUAUCGUGCAUAUUCACUUGCAACUGGUACUCGUAAAUCUACAACACAUGUCAUUAAUGCAACACAGCUUGAUCAUGGAUAUAAAAAAUGAUUAUUGUUCUUUGUAUGCACAAAUGUAUUGGUGGUUCAUCAAUGCCAUAUGCAUCUUGGCUAUAGAUAUCCAAAUUGUUAGUGUUUUAUCUCCACACAAAUACGUUGAUCCUCCUAUUGGACAUGCUGGUCUUAGUGCCCUCUCAAUUCACAAAUAUGUUAAUGCUCAGUUUAGAUCUUCUCGUAUUAAUACACUUCUAGCUUCUAUUGGCUGGUGAAUGCAACAUUUCAUUUGUAUUAAUAUGUCUACUUGUUAUUGCGGGGAAUAUUAAUAUGUCUAAUGUAGCUUCAUUAAUGCAACUCAACUUGAUCAUGGUUUAAAUGAUCAUUGUUCAUUUUACGCCCUUGCAGAAAAAAGAAGGGUUCAGUGUAUGUAUAGAUAUAUUGACAUGAUACCUGUUUUAGAUAACCUUGCAUUAAUAUGUCUAAUUUCCAUUUAUGUUCUCUUUCCUCGUUCUACAGAUUUCAUAUUUGUAUUCAUUUUAAGGGUUCUUCAAGAUGCACAUAAUUUAGUCACUGGUUACAAUCUAAAUGUAAGAAAGCACAUAAUCUGUAGAAGGUGCAACCUAUGUGUUAUCCAUGUGAUAAAAUUAAAAUCAACAUCCUAGAUCAAAUGUCCAAGUCAACUAAAAAAGAGAUUUCCUUACAAGUAAUGUCAAGCCGCAUUUUCAAAUCACAAACAGUUUUGAGCAAUGAAUGAUCUCAAAAAAAAUCAUCCUGCCUGCCACCGUUUAUCUCUUUGGAUGUCCACAUAUUGUUUUUUUUCAUGGUGAGCGUCUGUGCCAAUAGAUAAACUAACGAGUUUUUCAUCUUGUGAUCGAGUCAAAGAUAUUCGAUUCUGUGUUUUUCAUGAUCUUGCUUGUACGUACGACCAUGAAACUACUAUUGUUAUCGUGUAUGAAUACUUGCAACAGGGUGCUUCAGCGCCAGCACCGACCAUGGAUGCACAUGAGUAUGCAUGGAUGCAUGCAUGUAACGACCUGAUCGCUCCUGCAGGUCAAAGUACAUGUUUCUCUUAGGUCUGUGCACCAUCAAGGCCUUGAACAGUUCCUUGAUGAGUGUCAAGUGAGACUUCAUGUCUCUAUGGUGAACAGACAAACUUCAGCGGAUAUGUUGCUCUCAUGGCACGGCAAAGACAAGAACAAUAGAUGGACUCUUGCCACUAGUAGUAUUGAUCCACGCUUGACACAUGACUACUCAUGGAGAAGACCCAUUCCUUUAUAACAUUUCCCUUUUAUUCAGUCUGUUUUGGUGAAUCAGCAGUUAGAAGAACUUCUUCUUCUGUUAAAAAUAGGUUUUCUAACCCAAAUUAAAGUUAGAUUUCACAAGGAGUGAACCAGUGGCAUUGUUGUAUCCCCUUGAAGCAGAGAAGACAAGGGUGCGACAAUCAUAUUUCCAAUUAUCCAGCUGGUAUUUUACAAGUAUCCCUUCUUGAAUACUCGGUUCAAUAAAUAAGUUGUUCACACUUCACAGCCAUCCAUGUGCAUAUACAGUAAGUUAAUAACACAAAAUCCGAGUAAAUUUAUGCCACAACAAGGUUUAUUAUUGUUAUUUCAAAUAACUGAUGCGACAACAAAUAAUAUUAAUCACGGACAUCAUAUGAUAUUAGUAAGGCGUUGUUGAGGAUGAGAAGCAUGUACAACUCCUCGUUUUCUUUGAUGAGCGCCUCCGCACCAGGCAUAUCUGGAAGCUCUAACCAACACAUGAUGAUAGGGUUGUAAUUAAUAUCCACACAGUCGAGCAGAUGCAAGAACUGUUGCCCACUCUUGUCACCUUGGUAGUCCUUGAUCAGUCCGUGGCACACGUUGAGGCGUCUCACCACACCUUCAUACUCCAUCUCACAAUAACUAAGAACGUGCAUUGCCACUGUUCCCUUCUUGGCAUCUUGCAGCUUUUGCUUGAUCUUACCACUAGCGGCAGUGACACGGCUCUUAAAGAUGUCGACAGUGACAAGCACUAAGUCACGGAGGUCCUUAGCCUCGGCACUUCGAUUGUCCGACUGAAGGGUGGACAAACAGAAUUCUUGCGUGAUAGAUUUGUUGCAGGGGUUGUUGAUCGAGGCCUUCUUGCAUGCUUCCACCAUGAGCUUGGUCGCCUUGGGCUUGCCAGUGUCAGAGCCACUAGCAUGAGUGGAAAAAAGGAAGAAUAUGAUGGUGGAGAGGACGAUGGUAGUCCUUGGCAUUGCUACCAUUACUACAGGGCUAGCUAGAAGCCUUGAAGUACUGAAGCGCUGAGAGGGAGGUGGAGAAAAAUAGACAGAGAAGGAUGUGUAUUGCAGAGAUGGAUGGGUGGAUGGAGGUGAUGUACAUGAGGCUGAGAAUUCUUUAUAAUGCCUGCAAUGGGGUAUCAUAAAUGCAGUAUGCAGCUUUGGUCCAGAAUAUGUGUACUAUCGGUGUCCAGUAAAUGUUGAAUGCCCAUUUUGGAUCUCUACAUAUUAAUGCUCUCUCUAUGUUCACAAAUACACAGAUGCUCACUAUAGAUCUUGUUGUAGUAACACAUAUCUUACUUAUAUGAAUCCAUUAAUGCAACGUAGCUUGAUCAAGGAUAUCCCAAAUGAUUAGUGUGCACCGAAUGCCCAUAGAUAUGUUGAUGCUCAUUUUGGUACGUCUUAUUUGCAUUGGUGUUUUCUAAACAUCAUUUUGUAUAACUGAUUUGUUACUUCUACCUCCCUUUGGGGGACGAUUAUAUUUUCCCUCAUCAAGUCUAUAAUUGCUCAUUUUUUCUUUGCAAUUUUCGAGUAGUUACAAAUAAUUCUCAGGGAGCAGGCACUUAGUUAACUUGGUGACACAAUAAAUAUUUUUGUUAAAAUAUCAAAGUUUUAUAUCUUAAAUUUUUUUAUUUCCAAGUCGAUUAUUGUCUGAUGGGUUGACUUUUACAACAGUUGUAUUCCCCCAGUUAAAAAUCACAACUUAUUUUAGGGAUUAAAUGAUGCCAGCCGGACUAACAUAUCAUUCGUAGGCACUGUCAAAAAAUAAGCAUGUUUACUGCCCACCGCCUAAGAAAAUAAAAAAAAAUUACCAAUACCAACACGUCACAGUAUGGGUUUAUUUGGUUUCGAUUCUCGUUACUACGUAGUAGGAAGGAAAAAAAAGAGCUAUCGAUCAUAAGGAGGUAACCUGUAUCAUAGGUACAUGAUGCGCACGUACACGCCGGUAUCUUAUAUUUUAUAUUUUAUAUCUUAUAUUUACUAAUUGGAAGCACCUUUCAAGCCUUCUCAUUAAUCAACAUUAUAAAAAUUAAUUACACCGUUGUAUUAUAGAAUUUACGUCUAAGAUGAAAGGAGAACUUACGUAACAUAAACUUGGAAGGAAAAAAGAUAUAGGGAAAGGAGAAUAAAAAUAGAAGUAAAACAAAGAAAAUAAUUUAGAUGGGCCAGCCCAUUAUUGUUUGCCUUGUGCGAAAUUCUGACUAUUUAUGGCGCUGUGCGGAAAAUAGAGUUUUUCCAGCUGCAUGGGCAGAAAAAUAAGUGGGCUGGCUUUGCUGGGCCACCGCGCGUGGCCCACGUACAACAAUUCUUUUUCUAGCAAACAAACGCAUAAGACCUUUGUACCACCUCGGGUAGAAAGAUUGUUUUUUCGACGGUGAACGGAUGAAAAUAUAGGCAAAACGCACCUUGCUUCAUUAGUAGUAGCACAUAUGCCCGUGCAUUGCAACGGGAGAGAUGUUUCUUUGGAGAAGCAAUGGGAGAGAUAAUUGAUGUAUCCACCAAAAAUGAUCUCCAUAGCGGUGUGAUAGAGAGAGGAGUUGUGGUCUUCUAGCGGGUCAUGUUUCUCCCGCCAGAUAUUGAUAGUGGUGCACUUAGUCGGCAUAGCGGCAACCAUACAACUCGUGCAUUUUUUUCCUUUGGGUCAGUCUCUGUCUCGGGGUUGUGUCUGCCUCUACGUUUGGUAGCUAUGCGGCGACCUUCAGAGCACGGUUGCUUCGACCACUCUCUCUUAUGAUGGCGUAACCGGAUGAAUUACUAAUUGUAGCGCUUAAAUCCUGUUUCAUUAGCAUAUAUAUUUAGCGCAUAACCAGAUAUCAAUGUCCCUUCUUUAUUAGGGUUUAUUUUCUUUGAUUAUUUUAGCGCUCACGUGCCCACAACUAUUUUAUUCGAGCCAAACCAACAUAUUCUCUUUUAUUGGACCAAGAAAAAAUUGCUCCCUCAGACGACUCAGUAGGGAGUGUGGUUGAGGCCCAAUACAGCCUAUAUGACGCUAGUUGCGUAAAAUAACGUGUGAGAUGCACAUCAGUUCGUGUAUGGACCAACACACUGGUAGGCGCCAAGACGACCUAUGUUAGGAAGGCACGGAAAAAUCCAAAAAAUAAUGAGUUGAAGGAUCAAAAUCAUGUCCUGAAAGAGCCGACUACGUGCUCAUUGCCACUCGAAGAAACGAGUCCUACCAACCAAUGGCCAGCUCAAACCUUUAAGAUCAUACUCCAAUGUGAGAUUGGAUACAAUUUUUUUAACUGUUUAAAAAAUAUAAAUUGCUGAAUAUUCCUGAAAACAUGAAUAAUUUUUAAAAUCACAAACACUUUUUGAAAUUCUUUACAUUUUCAGAAAUACACAACAAAAUUGGAAACCCUCAAAAUUCACAAAUUUAUUUGAAAUCAUAAACCUUUUAUAAUAACAUGAACACGUUUUGAAAAUGUGAUUUUGUUUGAAAAAGAAACAUAUUUUGAACAUUCAAAACAUUUUUUGAAAAUGUGUUUCUAUAAACUUGGACAUUACUUUGAAUUUGCGAACAUUUCACUAAAACAAAAAUAUUUUUCAUAUUUGGAACAUUUCCUAAAUGCAUUUUUUUUGGGAAAAUCUCAAACAACUUUGGAAAACACAAAGAAAAAAUGGAACAUUUUUUGAAACGUGAACGAAUUUUGGAAUGAGAACAAAGCACUAUUGGGAAAAGGCUAAUUAGUGGCGCACAUAUUUUUGCUAUUAAUGGCGCACUAUAGGUGCGCCAGUAUUACCACGCCACUAGUAACAAAUAGUAAUGGCGCAUCUAUAGUGCGCCAUUACUAUGCCUAGAAGGUGCGCCAUUACUAUCUGACUUAGUAAUGGCGCACCACAUAGAAGUGCGCCAUUACUAACAAUUUUUUUUCAAAAAAAAUAUCCAAAUUUUUUCAAAUAUUUUUCCCUUUUUUUCUUAAUCUCAGGUCAAUAUGCUUAAUCUCAAGUCAAAUCGAUCCUAUUAAACCUUAUUGAUGUCUAGGACUUUGUUCAUGUUCAUGAGUGUGAUGAAAUUUCAAACUUCCCGGUCAUAUUACGUAUCAUAUUUUGAAAUGUUACUAGUGGCGCACCUAGCAAAUGGUGCGCCACUAGCAAGUUUGAUUUUUUUUGUUUUCCCCUCUCUAGAUCCUAAAAGCCCCGUAUCUUUCAUUCUGUUAGGUUUUUGUGGAUUCUGAAAAUCUUGUAACUUUUCGAGUAGAUGCUUUUUCAUAUAUAAAACUUUUUAAUCCGAGUUCAUAUGUAAAAGUUAUGCCCAUUUUACUAAAUUCCAGAGAGAUUUUGCAAAUAAAGUCGAAAUUUAUAUUUGUAAAUUUUCCCAAAACCUAGACCACAUAUCACAUGGAAAACUUAUUUUCUUUUAUUUUUUUGACAUUUCCAUCAUUUUCUUUUUUUUUCUAAAACUGAAAAGACGGUCCAGGGGGUGGGGGUGCAAAGAAAGUUAGUAAUGACGCACCUUCACAAAGUGCACCAUUAUUAUGUGUAUGACUUGGUCAAACCUUGGUCAAAGUUAGUAAUAACGCACUUUGUGUAGGUGCGUCAUUACUAAGUUUGACAUACUAAUGGCGCACCUAUGCAAAAAUGCGUCAUUACUAAGUUUGAUCAAGGUUUGACCCAGUCAUACACAUAGUAAUGAUGCACUUUGUACAGGUGCGCCAUUACUAUGUCAACUAGUAAUGACGCACUAUCCUCUAGUGCGCCACUGCCAACAAUUUUUUUUAUUUUUUCUUCAAAACUAGUACUAGCGCACCACACACCAGGUGCACCACUAGUAAUAUGUCAAUAAUGUUGCACCUGUAUCUAGUGCGCCACUGCAUAUAUGGUGCGCCAUUAAUGUCCACAUUAGCUAUAGCCCUUUUCCUAAUAGUGAAGAUUUAAUGUUCUGAACAUUUUUCGAAAAGGAAUAUUUAUUAACAUCCCAAACAUUUUUAAAAAACGGAUUUGUGUGAUAUUAUGAGUUUUAUUGAAAAUUUUGGUUUUACGAAAAAAGGGGAGAUAAAGAAAUAAACUUGAAAGUAAAAAAGAAAAAAGAAAAGAAAAGAAAAUAGAAACCAAUGGAGAAAGAAAAAUAGAAACAUAACACAGAACAAAAAAAAACGGUUCGACCGAGCUCGAGCGCCCGAUGCGAAUUUGUGACUAUUUUGGAAUGAGAACAAAUAUUUAUAUUAUAAACUUUUUCAAAAAGGAAUAUAUUUAAAGUUCUGAACAUUUUUUAAAAAAAUUGAUUCUUAUGAUAUUAUGAAUUUUUUGAAAAUUUUGAAUUUACAAAAAAAGGGAGAAAAAUAAACUUGAAAGGAGAAAACACCAAAGAAAAAGUGAAAGAAAUGGAAAAAAAUAGAAACAUAUUUUAAAGUUCUGAGCAUUUAAAAAAAUCGAAUUUUUAUGAUAUUAUGUAGUUUGUUGACAAUUUUGAAUUUACGAAAAAAGGAGAAAAAGGUCAACUUGAAAGGGAAAAAGACCAAACAAAAGGAGAAAGAAACGGAAAAAGAAAAACAGAAACAUAACACAAAACAAAAAAAAGAAUAUAUUUCAGCCCAGCUUGGGCGCCCAGUGCGAAUUUACGACUAUGUAACGCUAAUUGCGAUAAAUAGGAUUUUUCCACCUGCAUGUACACGAAAAUAACUGGGCUGGAUUUCCUGGGCCAAUACUGUGGGCGGCCCAUGUACGAGAUCUGGCGUUUUUCUUUUCUAAUAGACAAACGGACAAAAAAAUUGUACCACCUCGAAUAGAAAAAAAAUCUUUUCGUUGGUGAACGGAUGAAAAAAUCAAAGAAACACACCUUGCUUUAUUAGUAGGUAUAGAGGUAUAGAUAUAGAUAUAGAUAUAGAUAUAGAUAUAGAUAGUAUUGAUAGAAAAAUGAAAUUUUCCAUCCAUGCUAAUCUUAACAUAAAUUGUUUAAGAAUUCGUUGGUACACAUAAAAACAUCUAAUGUGAAUAAUCUAUGGUUCUUAUAGUAUUUGCUAGGAUAUCAUGUAUGUUAAAGGAAAGUCAUGCAUGCAUGUGUCCAUUAUUGUGUAUAGAAACAAAGUAUUUAUAAUUCUACCAUUCUUCCGUGGCAAAAACAAGCAUGUAUUCCUUCUUUUAGGUUAACUAAGAAAGGCUACAAUAGAACACUCGACCUUUAUGCCUUUUAGAAACUUCUAGAUCACGAGUGCAUGAUGCACACAAUAACUUUUGCGUUUGUAACUAUGUUUUCUACCAACAUAAAAAAUAUACCCUUAUAUAACCUUCAUAAAGUAGCACAUUCUUAUUUCCACAUAUCUUCUAUAAAUUUGACGUGAUUUUCCAUCACACAGCGAUAUUUUUAUACUUUUGUCACAAAAUUGGACAUAAACAAUCAAUCACAAAAUAGUCAAAGAAUUGUAACUUCAUUGGAUCCAAUGUGCAUGUGUAAUAAUAAUAACCUAUAUCCAAAUGAUUGUUUGAUAUUUAUAAUUUGUCAAAAAUAUGUUAUAUCUGAUAUUACAAUUGCUAGCCCGUGCAGGUGCACGGAUUGACGACUAGUGAUAUGUAGAUAGAAUUAAUUAUGAUUACCACUCAAUAAUUUUUCUUUAUGGAUAUCCAAAUUUAUGUUUAGAAUCAACAUUUCUACUUCAAUUUUUUCCGGGGAUUUUUUUACUUAGUAAACAUAUGGAUAUUUAGAAAUUUUUUGUGCUAAUUGUGUGCUCUCCUUAGCCUAUGUUACAAUGCAUGGUUUUCUCGGUUAUUUUAGAAAAUGCAUGUACUUCUCUAUCGCCAACUUCUCACAGAUGGAGUUAAGUUUCGUAAAAGUUUAGAAUGGCAGCCAACAUGAAAAAAGAUAAAAGUAUCAUCAUUUGCACAUUUUUUUUCACCUUCUUCACUAUCUAUAUUUAUGGAUAUUCACUUUGCGAUUUAUAUUUUCCCAAUUCGCUACAAAAGCGCAGAACAAACAUUUUAGAAAAUAAAUGCAAAAUGUGUAAAAUAAAAUGUGUAGGUACAUAAUUAAAAAUCUUGGACGACGAUAACUGCCACACGUGUGGCAUCUAGGGGCUAUGUGCCGCACGCCCCGUGUGGCAUCGACACAGGCCCGCCCGCACGAGCACGUCCGCGUGCACCCCACCACAGCCCGCACGUUCGGUGUGCGGCGCAAUCGCCCGCACUAGCACGUCCGGGCGAGCGACCUCACGGCCCGCACGACCCGUCUCGGCCCUCGCCCCUCCCCGCCUGCGAGCCACACGCCCCGCGUGGCAGUAACCACGCGUCCCGCCGCGAUUGCCAUGGUCUGAACCCUCUUCCAUGUUCGUUUAACUGUAGUUGCCAUGUUGCUGAACUGCAGUUGCCAUGUCUGACAACUACAGUUGCCAUGGUUGCUCAACUGCAGUUGCCAUCUCAGGUCAAGUGUCGGAUGCCAUUUUUGGGCAACUGUAGCUGUUGCCAUGUAUGGUCUGGUCUACUACAGUUGCCAUGAUUUGAAAACUUUAGGAUUUACAACCUACUAACACUAGACAGUUGCCAUGUAGCACUACAAAAGCAUGGCAAAAAACAUGUUCAGGUAAAAGAGAGAGUUGCCAUCUGCUUACAAGCACACUAGGGCAGUUGCCAUGUACCCUGCAAAAACACAUGGCAACUGAUAGCUUUUGGUGUGUGGGAGAGGAGACGGGCAUGUGGGCGACGAUGGUAUCUUUAGGAGUUGCCACCUACUAACACUAGACAGUUGCCAUGUAGCGCUACAAAACAGACGUGUCAACAAUAACAUGUUCGGGGUAAAGAGAGUUGCCAUCUGCUUAUAAUCACAAAUAGGGCAGUUGCCACACACUAGCACUGGACAGUUGCCAUUUAGCGCUACAAAAACAGACGUGGCAACAAUAACAUGUUCGGGGUAAAGAGAGUUGCCAUCUGCUUACAAUCACAAAUAGGGCAGUUGCCAUGUACCCUGCAGAAAACAUGACAAAUGACAACUUGGUGUGGGAGAGUGGGAAAAAGGGCAGUCAUGGGAGAUGGGGAACAGAAGUCGUGCGCGGCGUGCGGGCGCGACAGCAGUUCCACCGCACGCCCCGACUCGCAAUCGGUCUCGUCCGAGGGAGAAACAGCGUGCGGGCGAACUACCUACACACCACACACCGGGCUUGUCCUACUUGGCACACCAAAUCCAACUUUUGGUGUCAGGAUUCAUGCAAAAAACAACCAACGACAAUCCAGGCGUGUGGGCGAGUUGAAAACGUUCCACGCGUGUAGGCGUUAGUGUUUCCGAAAAUCUUAUAUCUCCGUCUCAAACAAACAAAAGCCUCCUUCCAUAAGAAACAGCUCAUACGUGAAACUCUUCUCGCCUAUUAAAAAAAAGGAAAAGCAUCCCUCCCCGAAAAAAGAGAAAACGUCUUCACUAGCUCCUGUACUUUUUUAGGCAACCACGUCUCCUCUAUAUGGCCAGAUCUUUCAAGGCUUCUUACUAAUCAGACCACUACGUUGUAAAUUUAUAUCCAAUAAAGAAAACCUGCCGAAUCAUAGAUGGUCUCGUCCAAAAAAAUGUCAUGUGAUACGUCCAACGUUGUCAAAAAAACAUCCUCCAUUCCUUAAAGAGAAAAGAUAGCGUCCUUAGAAAAGCACUACCAAUAAAAGGAAAAGAAAGACGGAAUCCAAUUGAUGACCGAUGAAACUCCAUAAAUAAAAUCUUCUGUCGAUCGAUUUUAAAAGAAGAAACAUCUGGCUCAGUUCCUCUACAUGGCCGCAUACUCCACUUCCUCUUCAAUCCUGCUCUCCUACAUGUGGCUGGUGGUGGCGAUUUCUCUAACCGAAGGAUAUACCCAACUCGCCAUCACCAUCAAGUGCGCUCUCCCACCAGCAGGGCCAACAACAAACUGCAAAGGAACCUGACGACAGGUGCUGCGAGGUAUGAUGCAAGAUCGACUGCGACCCCAAGCGGCAAUCGAUCUUCCUCAUUGUUAUUGUCACCGCGUCUCCUUCCAUCCACCCCGGGCAUCAAAGUUCACCCUAUUUUAUGAUAAUAAAAAAGUCCAACUACCAAGUACAAGCUCUAAUAAGUUCUUCUUGGAUUCAUGCUCCGACAAGACUAUGAUCCAACUAUGAUAAUAAUGGAUUAAGGCGCAGAUUGCUAACACUUAUCUGCAUAUAUAGUACGUAUGCAUGUCUUUAUUUUGAUCUUAGAAAAAAGAGAAAAUUAGCUAUUAAAGCAUCUUUAAAUACAUACAAAUUACCGAAGUAACAAGAAAAUAUGGAUGUACCAUGCGCCACGAAGAUCUAAUAGACACACAAUUAUCUAUGUGGUAUAGGUAUGUAUACAGUAUGGAUAGAAAAUAUAAAAAAAUGACAUCCGUAUUAAAAAUAUAAGAAAUUCUUUAAGAAUUUGUUUGUUGAGACUAGAACUUAAAACCGGAAUAAUCUAUGGUGCUUAUAGUAAUGAGAAUAUACUACAAACUUUUGUUUGCCAUCACACAAUGACAAUAUUAAUGAGGUUGUCACACAAUUGGAGGCAAACAAUCAAAUAACAAAAUAGUCCGAAGCAAUGUAACACUGUUGAACCUUAUGUCUAACAAAGAUAAACAUGCAUGUGUGACAACAAUAACCCAUAUCAACAUAUUAUUAUUGGCUGACAUUUCUAAUUUGUAACAACUUUGUUGUAUGCAAUAUUAAAAGUGCUAGCCCGUGCAUGUGCACGGGUUGAUGACUAGUAUAAUAUAACUCUGAGACAUGCCUAUAUAACCUCUUAUUUGCAUACGUUCUUUUAAAACAUAGCAUAGACAAACCACAUUACAUUAUAAUAAUGAAUUUGUUUUUUCUCGGUGACAGGGUAACUGUUAUUUCUAUGUCGACCAGUUGUACCUUGAAAGAAAGUGUUAUAAAACAAUUAUGUUACUCCCUCCUCCAUCACUGUUUUCAUUGACCAGAGCCCCCACUCCACACAUAUCGACAAGCUCGGAGUCCCGCUCAUCGAUAUGAUCGUAUGCCAUAUCCACACAACUGGCGAGCUCAUUGGAGCGUAGCCCGUCCUCGUCGCCUUGGUAAUCCCUGAUCGUGGCAUCACAUAUGUUGAGGAUGCUCACCAGUCAUAAUCCGCCUCACAAAAACUAAGGACACGCAUUGGCACCGUGCCCUUCUUGCUUCAUGUGUCUGUUGUCUUGGCGCACCCAUUUCGUCCACCGCCAUCCGUUUGUGUCGGCGCGGACAGAAAAGUCGGCCCAACGCGCCGACACAAAUGGACGCGCGUCCGAUUUCGUCCGCCUGCCUAUCCAUUUCCGGCCCAUUUUUUAGCCGGAUUUGCGUCGGCGGAGACAAAAGACGGACGCACGCGCUCACCCUCUCUCCUUUCCGGGCGCGCUGGUCGGUGGCACAUUGGCCUCUCCACAUCAAACAACACACCCUCGCCCGCCUGCUUCAUCGCUGACGCCGCCGGUCAUUUUUUCCGAUAGAAAAAUGAUACAUAGAUAGUUUUAGCAUACACAGAUAAAAAAAAGAUCAACUACUCGUCGCUUUCCGACUUCGACUCGGUAAUGUCCUCCUAUGACGUCUAAAUGUAGGCGUCAGCAUGCUGAUCAUCUUCAAAGUCUCACCCCGGCGUUUCUCGUAGCUUCAGUUUCAAUUGAGCGGCCUGCUUGCGCGCACGCUUGUCCUCCCGAUAGGCGGCUCGCUCCGUCCUCCUCACCUCCUUCUCCGUCCUCCUUUGCGUGUAGAACUGGCGCUCAUUGACGAUGUCCUGCAGAAAGCGUUCGCGCCACACCACCAUGGCUUCCAUGUCCAUCUCGGUGAUGGCGAGGCGACGCUGCCGCCUCCGGUGGACACGACGAUCCUCGUCGGUGAAAUGCCGCGGGAGAGGCGCGAGAUCCUGCGCCGCUGGCUCGACACGUCAGGAAAAUUCAUAUCCCAACGAGGCCUCAGGAGGCACGACGCCGCCGCGUCGUGCGCGCGGGCCGACUCCUCUGCGGUGUUGAAGGUGCCGAGGAUGAGGCGUUUCUCGCCAAACCUGAUCUCUGAGGAGAAGGCACCAGAGCGGCGCUCGCGGACUCCGCGAAAAUUUGAAGCGCCCAGGCGGCGCAUCGACAUGGUGGCGCAGAGGCGGCGAGGCUAGUGAUAGGGGGCGACACAAGUGGGCGGCGGACAGAGUGUGGAGGGAGCGCCUUCUUAUAACGAGCGCCGGCCGCGGCGCGCGCGCGAACCUUUCCCGCGCGCUGGAGCACCGAAACCAGCACGCGCUAGGCCACUUUUCCCCCACGCGUGUGAACCUUUCCCGCGCGCUGGAGCGCCAAAACCAGGGAGACGGCAUGGCAGCUGGCAUGAUCGAAAGCGCGUGCGAUCAUGAAGUGGGUCGGACCGUUGGACGCACUGCCGACCCAAAUCUAAAAGAGGGCGGACGGCGGGCGGGCGGCAGACCCAAACGUACAAAAAGCGGACAACAACGCCGUCCAUCUGGGUCGGCCCGUUGAAGUUGCUCUUAGGGGUGAACCUCUGUCUCCCGUAGGGCCCCAUGUGUUUGACAACACAUGGGGUGGCCUGUUCAGCACGCCAGUGUGAAAAAUCAUGACACAGGCAUGAGGUAAUAGUUAGUGGUCUACUCCCUACGCCUGGGAGUUAUCACAUCAUAGGAGUAGGUAGCUCCAGUAGAUAAGUUUCCCUAUAUUGGAUAAAGAUCAAUGGAACGCCUCGUAGGUGUGAGUAGCGAGUUGCCAAAUAUAUAUGUUAUACGGAAUUAAAUUAUAGGAAUCCUGCUAGCUGAGCAGCUGUGAUUUUCCUUUUGAAAAGUAAGGAAAUGGAAUAGGGAGAAGAUUUUGCAUUUUAGAAUAAAGAAUCUGCUCAAGAUGCUCUAUAAUAUUUCCUGACUUGGGCACAUCAUUGUUUUCUUUUAUUUGAGACGCAGAUUGGAGCACAGCAUUUGCUGGUAAUUAAGCAAAUGCAUGAUGCAUGCCAACAUGACACUUGGGAAAAUAACAAGACUACACUUCCUACAGUAAUACAGAUUCACGCGUAAGGUCAAGUCUAAAAAGAUGUAUCGGGAUCAGCUUCCAUUUCAUAUACUCCAUGGUGGAAUAUGAUGUCACGCUUGUUAUCAAGGUUUUGGAUCGGGAGUGAACAGUGGACUAGACAAACCAGUGUGCCAGGGUGGUCCAAUAGUAGAAAUCUUUACAUAAAUUUAUUUAUUUUCAAAGAAAUAAUUUUUCUACUACACUAUAUACAUGCUGUGGGGAAAAUUCAGGGUGGUCCAUGUCCACCCCCUAGCUAAGCCACUACGAGCGGACCUUUUCUCUAAAGGGGCACCAAAAUUCGAGGUUACUAAGGUAACCACGAAAUACAAAAAAAUCAGACGAAAUUAGAAAUCAUUUUAAGUUGAUAUAGAUAGUUAUUUAUCUUUACCUAAUAAUAAAGUAUAAAGUGCGUCUACCCGUUCACCAUCAUCCAAAUUACCCUCGAAGUUGGCGAGAAUUACCCACUAAUGCCACCUGUAAGUGGCAAAAAUAAUUCGCUUUUUUCCAUGCUGGUUCAAUAUGAAGCUAUCUUCUUAUGUGACACAAGUACAUGCGCAUCCCACCGGCUAGAGGUUCGAUCCCAUGUUCUCCCCAUUCUAUCUCCCUUUUCUCUCUUGUUGUUAGAGGGUUGAUUGCGCCAGCCCAGCACGGCCUUCAACUCUCUUUCUUUCCUUUCUUACAGACAGUUUUUCUUUCUUUCGGCUUUAUUUCGAAAUACUUUAAAUAUUUCUAUGCAUUAAAGAAAUGUUAAACUUCUCUACAAAAAAUAUUUCCACUAUAUAUAAACAAAUGGGUAGUGUGUAUGGAAAGCAAAAUUAGGAAAAUAAUAACGUAAGUUUCUGUUUUUUUGAAAAAAAUUAAGCAUGCAUUUAAAUAAAUUUAAAUGUGUACAAAAAUUGUUUAUGAUGUAUACAAAAAUAUACAAUAUGUUUAGAACAAAGUAGACAUAAAAAAGUAUAUGUCUUCAAAAAUAUUAAUCAUGUAUUUGGACGAUGUUAACCAUGUACAUAAAAAUGAUCAUGAUGUACACAAGAAAUAUAGAAUGCGUAUAGGAAAAUUGGAAAUCAAAAAACUUAUGGUUAAAAAAAGUUGAAAACUAAAUUGGAAAAAUGUUAUACUUGUAUAUCUAAAUGUUUGUCAUGUAUACAAAAAAAAUACUGUGUUCAUGGAGAAUAUAGAGAUAAACAAAAUAUUUUACCAAAUGUUAAUUAAUUAUUUAAAAAUGUAAUAAUUUAUUUUUAAAUUUCUAAAUGUGAUAUAAAAUGUUUCUGGUAUAUAAAAAAAAUUUAUAGUGUAUAUGAGCAAACGUAGACAUAAAAAAUAUAAGUUCUCAAAAAUAUUAAUUAUAUAUUUAGAAAAUGUUAAACAUGUAUAUAAAAAUUAUUCUUGGCGUAUAAAAAAUGUAGAAAGAAAACGAACAAAAACUAUAAAAUUGAAAAAGAAACAAAAAAAGCAAAGAAAGCAAAAAAAUAGCAAAACCCGUAAAACCAAAAGAAUAUACCAAAAAAUAAGAAAGAAAAAACAAGAAUGAUAAAAACGUGCUAUCAUUAAUUACUAACAUGUACUUUGUUAUCUUCAUCACACUACAAAUAUUUGUUGGGCAUCAUCAAGGACGAACGACAACAAAUGCGUAAUGAGAUACCUCCAACUAGGUAGAUAUUUUUGUUGUCUAAUAAGUUAAAAACAUCUUGAGUACACUUCAAAAAUCAUCCCAUUUUUAUAUUUUUACACAACACCACUUAUCAUGUUAUUUGUCAUGUGACAUCGUGAAAGAUUUCAAGGGAUUUACUAAUGUCUUGAGAGUGUGUAUGAGGGGUGACUUUUUCUCCCCCGUUGAAAGAACACAAAGCCUGCCCUUCUUCGGAAAACACACACACACACACAUACACACACAAAGCAAGCCCUACCGUAUUGGCUGUUCACCCUUAGCUGCCGCUUGGUCAAACGUCGCGAGUUUGACGUUCUUACCUUUUGCAUCCUCUAAAAGAAGUAAAAAUGAAAGCGAUGAGACUCGAACCCGAGACUUGCUGCUGCGGAAAGCUUGGCUUUGCCACCUAGGCCAUGACCUGUCAUGAUGUUCAAUAAGAGAUGCCACGUAUUUAACUAUGAGGUGGGCGUUUGAAUUCAAAAGUUUCAAAANNNNNNNNNNNNNNNNNNNNNNNNNNNNNNNNNNNNNNNNNNNNNNNNNNNNNNNNNNNNNNNNNNNNNNNNNNNNNNNNNNNNNNNNNNNNNNNNNNNNNNNNNNNNNNNNNNNNNNNNNNNNNNNNNNNNNNNNNNNNNNNNNNNNNNNNNNNNNNAAGAACAUUAUUAUUAUUAUUUCAAAUGGAAGUAAUGUUGGUUUUACAUGAACAUUGUUUCUGGCAGAAAAUCUUAUAUUUACUAAUUGGAGGCACCUUUCAUGAUCUCUCAUUAAUCCACAUCAUCAAAAUUAAUUAAACUGUUGGAUUGUAAAAUUUAUGACCAGGAUUAAAAAAACAACUUGUGUAACGCAGAUGAUGCUGUCCUAUAAAAAGUGCACCUGACACGUACAACUUUUGUUAAACAAACAAAGAAAAGACUCACAUAAAAAAACGGAAGCCACAAGUAAAAAAGGGAAAGGCCCCACCAGUUCCCACAAAUUAAGUAGAAAAACAGCCUCAUGCAAGAAAAAGAGGAAAGUCCCUACCGUAUCCCACAAAUUAAGAAGCAAAAUUUUCCAUAAAAAAACCUAAUGAUAAGAUGCCAAAACAAAAUCCCAACGUUAAAGGAAAAAAAUCGACUAUCGGGCAGAUUGCCCGUGAAAUAAAAGAAAGCAAACUCGCGUAACAAAACUUAAACCUCCACCCAUCUGAACAAAUAAAAACACUAUGUACCAAACAGAUCAAGCCAAAAUGUACAAAAAAAAUAGAAGUCACGUAAAGAAAAAGGGAAAGUCCUUAGCAUCCGCGUUACUUCUCAUAAAAAAAUAGGGUUCUCACCACGUACAUAUAAUUGAAGAUUAAGCACACGCCUUCCAAAAAAAAUAGUCCUUAGCAUACACGUUACUUCCCAGAAGAAAAACAAGCUACAAAAACAGUUUUCACCACAUACAUGAAAUAAAAUCUUACAAAGAAACAUACGGCUUGAUCUUUGGUGUGGGACAUGACAAAAAAAGACACAACCUCAAAAAAUGACUUCGCAUUACGUAUGUGAAAUAAAACCUUGCAGAAAAAAAUACAUACAUGAAAUAAAAGAUUAAACAUACAUGACCAAAUAAAAACAAGGAAAGCCUCACGUCAAUCGAAAAAGCAAAGGAAAAACUCCACCCGCUGCACAAAUUAAGAAGGAAUGUCUCUGUUAAAAACUCCAAGAUAAAAUGUAAAAAAAGUCCAAUGAUAAAAAUGGAAAAAUUCCGCGAUCCAGCUGAUUGACCGUGAAAUAAAAACUAGACCCAAUGGCUCCAUCAAUAAAAUAUUCUCCCGACAAAAAUCUGUGUGGACUCAUCUGUACGGCCGAUGCCUCCUCCUCUGCUUCAAUCCUGCUGUCCUACCAAUGGCCGCCGAUCACGAUUAUUUGUCACUGAAUGUGCUUUCCCACCUGCAUGGCCAUCGGUGAACCACAAAGUGUCACAAGGGCGGCCUAAUUUAUUUUUCUAUAUGCUACAACAAAAAUACCUCUCAUGUUUAGUUGGACAGUAUAUUUUUUAAAGGGAUAUUGAAGCUGAAGUUUGUCAACCACGGAUGUGGAGCUGGUCGAGACUGGUGGCUAGAUGACAAAGGCUCCGCUCGGCAAGGAAAGAUUUGCAUUGAGCUAAGACUCAUGACUAAUUGAUAUAAUCUAAGAGAUGAUGAACCAAGAAAAUUAUAUUAGAAAUAAGUUGGAUGUUAUUUGCAUUAUUCUAUUUUGAGGAGUAAAAUUAUUUUUUUGGGAAUUAGACAAUCAAACUAUUGUUAUGAUUUCUUGAACUGGCCACAUAGGCCACAUAAAUUAUGAAAUUACUUUUCAUUGACGGAAUUUCGUUUGUGAAGAUAGCAUAGGGGCAACCGAUCAAUGUCCCCGGUAAUGAGUACUCAAUCACAUCAUGUUUGGUAGUACUACUGUAUGGGUGUUCUACAUAAAAGCAAAUGUAAGUAGACAACAUUAUAAUUAUUAAUUUUGUCCAUUAUAUUGCAAAGUAAAGGAUAUCCGUGUGGUCAAAAAAAAUUAGAUCAAUAUUGCACCACUAUAUGUCUUUUUGUCAAAUUUAAAUCCUGUUCAAGUUUAUACUGCUUUUCUUACUACUCCUAAUAAAUGAUCAGAACAAGGAAGCUUGCAGUUCUGUAGGGGAAGACCGAUCCUUGACGAGCAUUUCUAGCGUGACACAGAUAAAUAACAUUGGAUGGAGCGGCUCGACGACCUCCUCAUGUACGCUGCCGGACGCUGGCUGCAUCCGAUGACGCCGGGAGCAAGGUAGUGGUGUCGUGUAAGUUCAUUUUAGAUGCUAAGGACUAUUAUGCACAACUUAGUACUAUUCUCUUGAAAGAUAAACUACUUUGUCUGACAUGCAUACUUGCGAUUAUGUAGACUUAACAUGUUUUUACACAGGUGCAGAUUACGAACGCUAAUUAUUUGCACAUAUAGUACGGUUGCACAUCUCUUUUUUUUGUCCUGAUAAGUUAUAAAAAAUAUAACUAUUAAAGUAUCUUUAAUACACAUAAAUUUUUUUAGUAAAAAAUAAUGUGGAUGUUUCCUGCACGACAAAGAUCUCAUAUAAACAAAUGAUUAUGUAUGUGAUAUACAUAUGUGUAGCAAGGAUAGAAAGUACAAUAAACUUUCAAGCACAUUAAUCUGAAAAGAAAUCCUCUUAUGAUUUUCUUUGCACAAAUAUGAUAGUGAAAUACGAUUAAUCUAUCACACAACUCCAAUUCAAUCGUGAAAGAUUUUCUUUAAGAAUUUAUUGGUUAAUACAAGAAUAUAAAAUACAAAUAACCUAUGGUGCUUAGCGUAAUCAAGAAUUGCAGAAAUCAAACUUUUAUAUAUUAUUUGCUACAGUGUUACAUACUACUUCUCCAAAUAAUUCUUUUUAGUCUGCAUAUAAGAUUUGCCUGAAGUCAAACUUCAUAAAGUUUGAGCAUAUUUAUAUUGAAAAAUAUUAACAUGUACAAUACUAAAGUCACAGAGUAUAAAAAUUAAGAUUCAUGCCGCAUUUAAUGAUAUUGAUUACACAUUGAGAAUAUUGAUAUUUUUUCUGUAAGUUGGUCAAACUUUACGUUGUUUUACUUCAAAUAAAUCUUCUAUACAGAGUAAAAUAUCUGGCGGGAGUAUUUAAUAUUAGAAGUGCUAGCCCGUGCUGAUGCACGGGUUGAUGACUAGUAGAUUAUUAACUAUCAAAGUCAUAUGGCCCUAGCAAGACAUUGUUCAGGCCGCCCAGCUUGAUCAACUCCUCGUUAUCGUUGAUAACUGUCUGGCUUUUCAUGGGAAGCUCAUGCCGGCAGUUGCUGACAUGGUCAGUCGCCUUCUCCACACACUCGGGCAGUUCAAAGAACCACGGGCCGUCGGCGUCGCCCAUGGGGACACGGAAGUCCCUGAGCAUGGCGUCGCAGAGGCCGAGGGUACCGAUAGCAGCAUCGUAAUCCACCUGGCAAUACCUGAGGCCGAGCGCCUCCUCCGUACCUUUCUUGGCUUUCUGGAGUGCUUCCUUCACCUUGCCGCCGGCAGCCGCCAUGUGGAUCUUGAGGAUGUCAACGGCGACGAGCGACAGGUCGCGGAGGUCCUUGGACUCAGAGCUCCUUUUGUCGGACCGGAGAGUCUGCACGCAGAAUUCCUGGGUGACGUUCAGGUGCUUGUUGCGGCAGCUGCUCGAAGCGUUCUUGCAGGUUUCUACCACGAGGUCUACCACCUUGACCUUGUCGUUGCGCCGCCGGCAUGUGCGCCGAUGCACACAAAAAGGAGCAUGAUUGCAACCAAGAAGGCAGCGGUCGCCCGUGUGGUUGCCAUUGCUGCAAGGAUAGCUGCAAUUGUAUUGUAGGCUUUGUAGCUGAGAGAGAGGUGAAGAUGAAUUGAUAGUCAGAUUUUGUAGUGCAAAGAUGGAGGUGGUGUACGGUUCUUGUGACAUCUAUAUAGUGCAGCAGCAGGUUCAUAAAUCCAAUGCAGCUUAGUCACGGAUAUCCAAAUAAUUAGUAUUUCAGACACUAUAUGCGCAGAUAUGUGUUGGAAAAAUGAGCAAAUUACUACGAGAUUUAAUCCGAAUAAAUAGGAAAUAGAUCAUGACAGCAAUAGCAGAUAUUAAACUAAUCAUGCGAACUAGCAUACUAGAUGAACAGAUCACAUCUAGGACACAUACUAGAAACAUGAGUUCUACGGUGCAGCACCGCCGGCGUUGACGUUGUCGCCCAUGUCGUCGAGGAUGAGGUUGCCGAGGUCGGGGAAGAAGUCGUCGUUCGCGAAGUCGUCGCUGCCAGCAGUCGCGCGAGUGCGCUCCCCAAAAACCUGAUCGCCCCUCUCCCAUACAGGAUCACGAGAGGCAGGGUUCUAGAGGCCUGCUGUCCCUUCUCCCGGUGCACGCCGAAAGGAGGGAUGGAGAAGACUUGCUUGGCGGCGCAAUGAUCUGGAACGGUGGUCAGAAACCAUACGAAGCGGCGGCGGCUAGGAUAGACGUCUGCCUGACUAUAUAGUGCGGGCCGGGUAGGUCCUGGGAGUAAACCCCACGUCCGAGUCAUCACGAUCCAAAAGAAUCGGAAAUGGUUCAGUAAUUAAUGAGUCCAUUAAUUAUUAAUUAAUGACUCAUUAAUUUUUCCCGAGCAGCAAAAAUAUAGACAGCGUGCAUAGCUCUGUCCUCGGCUUGGCUCAAUCCCGCGGCGCGGCGGGGCGGGGCGAGGCGAGCGAGGAGGAGGAGCGCGCGUGUAGGUCUCCUCUUCUCAUGCUCAUACAAGUGGUAGAAAAGCUCACCUUAUAAAGAGGUGCAACUCUCUCUCAACUUUCGGGGUGGGACUAAACUUUAGUCUCACCCACUCCACUCACAUGUGUGCAUGAAUGGGCCAAGAGAAUUUCAGAAUUUUAGUUGGGCUUUGGGCCAAGGCCUACUAGCAAAAUUCCAACAAUCCCCCACAAAGUCUCAUUGGCACAUCUCAUCAUUUAGUUCCAAAACAUUGUUUAUAUACCGGUGCUUAGUGGAGACUGUGAAGUUGAACUUCCACUUAAAGAUUUAUGCUACACUAGAUCACAACUUGAAUAGUGGACUAUGCCUUGAACUACAAGUUUUCUGCGAAACUAGUUUCACACAAAUUCUUGACCGAUACUGGGCUGCCGCAAGGCUUCCCCGCGGGUGGAGCGUAUACGCCAUACUCCAGGGCAUUUUCAUGAAUUUAUUAGAGAACACCCAAUUCUCACAGACUGCGACGUUAACAGUCAAAUUCAUAUAGGUGUGUUCCUCAGAAGAUGUUCUGCAGGACAACAUCUCUGCUUACCCGAAUAAGCCACUUGGAACACAUUAAGAUAAGUAUCAACCUGCCAUGCAGAUCAGGAGAGUAUUGCAUCUUCACGGAGUGGGAUAGUUAAUAUAGGGAUACUCUCCUCCCAGCUGACCAACAGCUUGUCUCCCACUUCUACUUCACGGGAUCUCCGAUCACAUAGAGUGGGUUACCACUAUGGACAACUCAUGCGGUGGGUCUCAAACCCAUCUCCAUCGAUGCAUUAUCUAUCACAUUAUGUGAUAGACCCUUUGUGAAGGGAUCUGCCAUGUUUUUCGAUGUUUGGAUAUAAUCCAACGUAAUAACUCCGGAGUUCCUCAAUUUUCUGACAGAUUUUAGUCUCCUCUUCACAUGUCUUGAGGACUUCAUAUUGUCCUUCGAACUGUUUAUCUUGACAAUCACAGUUUGAUUAUCACAGUUCAUCAGGAUAGGGGGUAUUGGUUUUUCAACCAUAGGUAAGUCCAUCAAGAGUUCACGAAGCCACUCUGCUUCAACAGUGGCAGUGUCUAAUGCUGUGAGUUCUGCUUCCAUAGUUGACCUCAUUAAGAUGGUCUGCUUGCAAGACUUCCAGGAAAUAGCGCCACCACCAAGUGUAAAAACAUAACCACUCGUGGGCUUUAUCUCAUCAGAAUCAGAUAUCCAGUUUAAGUCACUAUAACCCUGCAGUACCCUUGGAUACCCGGUGUAGUGAAUCCCAUAGCUCGCGUAGCCUUUCAAAUAGCGAAUAACUCUCUCAAGAGCAUGCCAAUGAUCAUCUCCCGGUUUUGACACAAACCGACUCAGCUUGCUCACAGCAAAAGAGAUGUCAGGCCUCGUGGCACUCGCCAAAUACAUAAGCGAGCCAAUAAUCUAAGAAUACCUCAGUUGAUCUCUAGCAAUCCGUUGAUUCUUUCGAAGCAACACACUAGCAUCAUAUGGAGUUGGAGAAGGUGUGCAGUCGCUAUACCCAAAACGACUCAAGACCUUUUCCACAUAGUGAGACUGAAGCAGUGUGAUCCCACCAUUCUCAUCUCUCAACAGCUUGAUGUUUAAGAUAACAUCAGCUACUCCUAGAUCCUUCAUCUCAAAACAGCGAGAUAAGAAAUCCUUAACCUCCUUGAUUAAAUCAAGUUUGGUUCCAAAGAUCAAUAUGUCGUCGACAUAUAGACAAAGAAUAACUCCUUCACCCCCACCAUAGCAAUAGUACACGCACUUGUCACCAUCAUUUACUACAAAGCCGGCAGCAGUUAAUGUCCUUUCGAACUUCUCAUGCCACUCCUUAGGAGCUUGUUUAAGGCCAUAUAAAGACUUUAAUAACUUGCACACCUUUCCUUCCUGACCAGGUACUACAAAACCAUCUGGCUGAUCCAUGUAAAUUUCCUCCUUCAACUCUCCAUUGAGGAAAGCCGUCUUGACGUCCAUUUGAUGAACGAGAAGACCAUGUGAGGCAGCCAGUGAUAGUAGCACCUGAAUUGUGGUCAGUCUAGCCACAGGUGAGUAAGUAUCAAAGAAGUAUUCACCUUCUUUCUGGGUAUAACCCUUAGCCACAAGCCGUGCCUUGUUCUUUUCAAUCGUACCAUCAGGUCUAAGAUUCUUCUUGAACACCCACUUACAUCCUAAAGGUUUGCACCCAUAAGGACGACCAGUGAUCUCCCAGGUUCCGUCAGCUAAGAUGGAAUCCAUCUCGCUACGUACAGCUUCCUUCCAGUAGUCAGCAUCAGGAGAUGCUUAGGCUUCUCUAAUAGUCCUGGGUGUGUCAUCCACGAGGUACACAAUGAAAUCAUCACCAAAGGACUUUGUAGUCCUCUGUCUCUUACUCCUCACAGGAGUUCCAUUGUCACCCUCAACAGGAUUCUCAACGUGUUCCAUCGCAAUGGUGGGUUCAGGAAUUACAGUGAAUUCCUCACUAGAUGGAGUAGGUAUCUCCUGAUUUGAUGAACUCGACAUGUCCUUCAUAGGAAAUAUGUCCUCAAAGAAAGUUGCAUCAUUCGACUCCAUAAUCGUACCAACAUGCAUGUUGGAUACCUCAAAUUUUAUUAUCAAAAAUCUAUAGCCGAUGCUAUGAAAAGCAUAGCCCAGAAGAACACAAUCCACGGUUUUUGGUCCAAGCUUGCGCUUCUUGGGAAUUGGUAUAUUGACUUUCUCCAAACAACCCCAAGUACGUAGGUAAGAGAGUUUCAACCUUUUCCUUUCCCAUUCCUCAAAUGGAGUCAUGGUCUUAUGCUUUGUGGGAACUCGGUUUACGAUAUGACAUGCAGUCAUUAGCGCCUCCCCCCACCAUUCCUUGGAUAGACCCGAAGUGUCUAACAUGGUGUUAACCAUAUCAGUUAGAGUUCGGUUCUUUCUUUUGGCUACCCCAUUUGACUGGGGUGAGUAGGGAGGCGUCCUCUCAUGGAUUAUACCAUGUUCCGCACAAAACAGAUCAAAUUCAUUGGAAAAAUACUCUCCACCACGAUCAGACCUAAGCCGUUUAAUUUUUCGAUCAAGUUGGUUCUCUGCCUCAGCUUUAUAGUUUUUGAAGAAAGUAAAAGCCUCAUAUUUUGAUUUCAGAAGAUACACAUAACAAUAUCUAGUGGAGUCAUCAAUCAACAUCAUGAAGUAUCUUUUUCCACCUUUUGUCAACACGACAUUCAUCUCACAAAGAUCAGAAUGUAUAAGCUCUAGUGGUGCCAAGUCUCUUGCCUCUGUAGUCUUAUGGGACUUGCGAGGUUGCUUAGCUUGCACACAUACUUGGCACUUAGAGCCUUUGACAGUAGAGAUUUUCAGAAUUAAAUUCAUAUUGGCUAGCCAUGUCAUGCAACCAAAGUUAAUGUGACAAAGUCGUGAAUGCCAAAUAUCUGACUCAUUGUUGUGGCAAACAUUAUUAAUAACUUUAGUGCAAAUAUCUGACAAAGACAGGCGGAACAAGCCUCCGCUCUCAUAGCCUUUUCCAACAAAUUGUCCAUACUUAGAAAUUACAACAUUAUUGGAUUCGAAAACCAACUUAAAACCAUCUCAACAUCAAUGGGAACCGCUAACGAGAUUUUUAUUGAUGGACGGCACAUGAUGAACGUUCUUCAGACGCACGGUCUUCCCCGAAGUAAACUUCAGAUCGACCGUACCAACACCUCGAACGAUGGCAUGUGACCCGUUCCCCAUCAGCAUGGGAGAAGUCCCAGUGGCCUGGUAAGAAGAAAACUUGGAGGCGUCAGCACAAACAUGUACAUUGGCACCGGUGUCAAUUAACCAAUCAGGGGAUUGAAAUACUGAAAGGAUGGUAGGAAAAAUACCGUAUCCUGAUUCCUUCAUAUCAGUAUCACCGAUAACAACAUUAGCGGACUUGCCGCUCUUGUCAUGUUCGCGCUCCUCAAAACGGUUAGGACACUUCGGAGCCCAGUGAUUAGGAUCACCGCAAACAUGGCAAAGUCCCUUCCCCUUCUUAUGAGAAUUCUUCUUGAAGUUGGUAGAAUGUGAUGGCUUGUUCUUUGUAUCAAACUUACCUUUGCCCUGAGUUUUGUUCUUGUUGUUUUUGAACUUUUUGGGAUGGAAGUUCUUCUUCUGUACCAUUUGGGCACUAGAACCUCCCUCAGCAACUCGAGCACGUGUGUCCUUUGCUCUCGCCUUCUCUUCAACAUCAAGAGUACCAAUGAGAUCCGCAACGGAAAACUCCUGUCUCUUGUGUUUCAGGGAAGUAGAAAAAUUAUUCCACGAAGGUGGAAGCUUGGCAAUGAUGCCUCCGGCAACACACACUUGAAGUAAUCAAGUUCUUUUGCGAGUGACUGUAUCUCAUUAGCCUGCUGUACAACAAGGCGCUCAUCAGUCAUCUUGUAGUCAUAGAAUUGCUCCAUGACGUACAACUCGCCGCCGGCGUCCGAGGCACCAAACUUGGCCUCGAGCGCAGCCCACAUGUCCUUGCCAUUGUAAAAUGAGAUAUACGAAUCGAUCUUCUCAAAAGCUUCCAGCUGUGCUGGAUUAAGAUCGCCCUCAGGCUUGCCCUUGGUGGCGUCAUAGCAGCCCAUGGUCUGAAACAAGUAGACUGCUAUCGUGCGCCACCUCUUAUAUUGCGCCCCUUUAAUGGCAGGCAGCUUCAAAUGCGCAGCAAAAUACGAGAUUUAAUCCGAAUAAAUAGGAAAUAGAUCAUGACAUCAAUAGCAGAGAUUAAACUAACCCCGGGUAGGUCAUGGGACAACGUGCAUAGCUCUGUCCUCGGCUCAAUCCUGCAACCCGCGGCGCGGCACUCGUGUAGGUCUCCUCUUCUCAUGGUCAUACAAGUGGUAGAAUAGCUCACCUUAUAAAGAGGUGCAACUCUCUCUCAACUUCCGGGGUGGGACUAAACUUUAGUCUCACUCACUCCACUCACAUGUGUGCAUGAAUGGGCCAAGAGAAUUUCAGAAUUUUAGUUGGGCUUUGGGCCAAAGGCCUACUAGCAAAAUUCCAACAAUAUGUAGAUCCACAUUUUGGGUGUGCUAGUAUUAAUACGUGUGGCAUGAGUGUGUUCUUGUUUUAUGUAUUUCUAGAGUGAAUCUCACGUUAUUUCCCCAUAUCAUAAAAUGGAUUUGGGACAUUAAAGGAAGAUUAUGCGCAUUUUGCACUUGAUAAUCUAUCUAUCUUCUACGUUUAUAUAUCUAUCUAUAUCUAUCUCUAUAUUCAUCCCUAUAUCUAUACCUAUCUAUAUGUAUACUAUAUAUGUAUAUUUAUAUCUACACCUAUCUAUCUAUCUAUCUAUCUAUCUUUAUAUCUAUAUCUCUAUCUAUCUAUACCUAUACUUCUACUCCCUCCGUCCCAAAAUAAGUAUCUCAAGCUUAGUACAAGUUCGUACUAAAGUUAAUACAAAGUUGAGACACUUAUUUUGAGACGGAGAAAGUACUAAUUAGGCACUCCCUAGAAAUUACCAUGUUAAUCGGUAAAAUUCAAGAUAAUUGGAAACCCAUGCCCCUUCGUAAAUACAUGUAAUUGCUUACACCAUUUAGGAUAUGCUUGCAUGAUGGAUAUAUACGAUACACAUGCAUCAUUAUUAACCCGGAACACCUUUAAGAUUACAUUAAAAAUGGCAUCCAGGAGACACUAUAUUAAAUAAUACUGCCCAUGAUUAAAUAGGAGGAAAUCCAAUUCUCCAUCGAGGUAUAUGUGCAAAGAGUUAAACAUUGAUCAUUUGGAUAUUCAUGGGGCAUAUUGCAUUUGGAAACCCCUACUCAGUGCACUAUAUAGUAUAUAUAAGCCAUAAUCAUAGCUACGUACUCCACCUCAACCCAUCCAUCUCUGCACUGCAGUUCCAUUUGAUCCAUUCAUCGUCUCCCUCAGCUACAAUAUAAUUUUCUAGCAAGCCUGGCAGCAAUGGAAAUGGUGCAAACCACCUCCUUAGCAUUCACUGGAAUUGUCAUCAUUCUCCUUUCCAUGGCCAUCACCAUUCAAGCUUCCGACACCAAGCCCAUGCCGUCAGGCAUCACGUUGGAAGCAUGCAAGAAUGUCUCGAGUGACUUCUUCAAGGUGCGCUCCACAUAUGACUUUUGUGUAUCAACGCUCCAGUCAGACAAACGAAGCAUCAACGCGAAGGACUGCCGCAUCCUAGCUCUUGUGGACGUCGACGCCAUGAAGCCCCAAGCCACGGCCGUGAUGGCCAAGGUUGAGAACUUGAUCCAUGGUGCCACCAAGGACAAGCUCGCGACUCGCGCCCUUGGGUUCUGCCAAGUGGACUACGGUGGCAUGGUGAGCACCCUCGAAAUCUGCCAUGAUAUCAUCCAGAACUUUGAGGUUCGUAAAGGCAAUGAAGGUCCGACGCCCUACGACCUGCCUGAUUGCAUUGCGAAAACAACCAAAGCCAUCAACGAUUGCUCUGACAAAACAAAGUUUACGUCGGUUACAAAAGGGCUAACAAAGGAAUAUGAGGAGUUAUCUAUGAUGAUCAGCCUCAGCAGCUCUUUGCCACAUCUCUACAUCACAUCACCCUGAUUUUUCUGGAAAAAUAUGAUUUUAUAGCGUCGGUUUUAGGGUCUGCGAGGCCACCAGGUGGGGACAACCCACCUAGGCGCGCUUGGAGGGGGCACGCCAUGGUGGGUUGUGCCCACCCAGGUGCCCCCCUUCCGGUGGUUCAUGGCUCCAGAAAUUCUCUUUAUUGAUAUGAAAAAUCCUUGCAAAGUUUCGUUCCAUUCUUAAAACUUUUAUUUCUGCACAAAAACAACACCAUGGUAGUUCUGCUGAAAACAGCAUCAGUCCGGGGUUAGUUUCAUUCAAGUCAUGCAAAUUAGAGUCCAAAACAAGAGGAAAAGCAUUGGGAAAAGUAGAUGUGUUGGAGACCUAACGGUGGCGGCGGGAAACAAAUGAGGAAAGGGUGGCGUGUUCAUAAAACGCCACCAAUCAAUGGAAACUUAGCAUAGAAGGAACAUUGAGCUAGCACAACGUGUGUGUGCACAUUGCUCACCCAAGGCUAUGAUCCAUAUACUUGUGUGCCCAACAGAGCACACUAUUCAUAGUAAAGAAUAUUGUUAUGUUUAUCCUAGUAGAGCAGUGGCAGCAAGCGACACAAGAAGAAGUAGAUGAUGAUCAGAUGAUGGUUUAUCCUAAUUAAUUAUGCAUGUAAUAGUUUACUUUGGCGUGUGGAAAUGUCAUGUGUACUAGGAAACUAUGUAAUUGGAUGUUUAAUUUGACUGUGGAAUCAUGUCCUUAUAUCAUGAUAAAUCUUUAUUAUUCAUGCUAGAAUUGUAUUAACUGAAAACAUAAUACAUGUGUGAAUACAUAGACAAACAAAGUGUCACUAGUAUGCCUCUACUUGACUAGCUGGUUGAUCAAAGAUGGUUAUGUUUCCUAGCCAUAGACAUGAGUUGUCAUUUGAUUAACGGGAUCACAUCAUUAGGAGAAUGAUGUGAUUGACAUGACCCAUUCCGUUAGCUUAGCACCGGAUCAUUUAGUAUGUUGCUAUUGCUUUCUUCAUGACUUAUAAUGUUCCUAUGACUAUGAGAUUAUGCAACUCCUCUUUACCGGAGUAACACUUUGUGUGCUACCAAACGUCACAACGUAACUGGGUGAUUAUAAAGGAGCUCUACAGGUGUCUCCAAAGGUACAUGUUGGGUUGACGUAUUUCGAGAUUAGGAUUUGUCACUCCGAUUGUCGGAGAGGUAUCUCUGGGCCCUCUCGGUAAUGCACAUCACUUAAGCCUUGCAAGCAUUGCAACUAAUGAGUUAGUUGCGGGAUGAUGUAUUAUGGGACGAGUAAAGAGACUUGCCGGUAACGAGAUUGAACUAGGUAUUGAGAUACUGACGAUCGAAUCUCGGGCAAGUAACAUGCCGAUGACAAAGGGAACAACGUAUGUUGUUAUGCGGUCUGACCGAUAAAGAUCUUCGUAGAAUAUGUAGGAGCCAAUAUGAGCAUCCAGGUUCCUCUAUUGGUUAUUGACCGGAGACGUGUCUCGGUCAUGUCUACAUAGUUGUCGAACCCGUAGGGUCCGCACGCUUAACGUUUCGAUGAUAGUUAUAUUAUGAGUUUAUAUGUUUUGAUGUACCGAAGGUUGUUCGGAGUCCCGGAUGUGAUCACGGACAUGAAGAGGAGUCUCGAAAUGGUCGAGACAUGAAGAUUGAUAUAUUGGAAGCCUAUGUUUGGAUAUCAGAAGUGUUCCGAGUGAAAUCGGGAUUUUACCGGAGUACCGGGAGGUUAGCGGAACCCCCAGUAACUUAAUGGGCCUUAGUGGUCCUAGGUGGAAGAGAGGAGAGGAGGCAAGGGCUGGCCGCGCGCCCCUCCCCCCUAGUCCGAAUAGGACAAGGAGAGGGGGGUGGCGCCCCCCCCCCUUCUUUCUCCUCCACUCCUUCCCCCUCCCAAGUCCUAAUCCAACUAGGAAAGGGGGGAGUCCUACUCCCGGUGGGAGUAGGACUCCUCCGGCGCGCCUCCUCCUAUGGCCGGCUGCACCCCCCCCCCUUGCUCCUUUAUAUACGGGGGCAGGGGGGCAUCCCAUAGAUACAACAAUUGAUCAUUUGAUCUUUUAGCCGUGUGUGGUGCCCCCCUCCACCAUAGUCCACCUCGAUAAUACUGUAGCGGUGCUUAGGCGAAGCCCUGCAUUGGUAGAACAUCAUCAUCUUCACCACGCCGUCGUGCUGACGAAACUCUCCCUCAACACUCGGCUGGAUCGGCGUUCGAGGGACGUCAUCGGGCUAAACGUGUGCUGAACUCGGAGGUGCCGUGCGUUUGGUACUUGAUCAGACAGAUCGUGAAGACGUACGACUACAUCAACCGCGUUGUGCUAAGGCUUGCGCUUUCGGUCUACGAGGGUACGUGGCCAACACUCUCCCCUCUCGUUGCUAUGCAUCACCAUGAUCUUGCGUGUGCAUAGGAAUUUUUUUGAAAUUACUACGUUCCCCAACAAUGGCAUCCGAGCCUGAUUUUAUGCGUAGAUGUCAUAUGCACGUGUAGAACACAAGUGAGUUGUGGGCGAUAUAAGCCAUACUGCUUACCAGCAUGUCAUACUUUGGUUCGGCGGUAUUGUUGGAUGAAGCGGCCCGGACCGACAUUACGCGUACGCUUACGCGAGACUGGUUCUACCGACGUGCUUUGCACAGAGGUGGCUGGCGGGUGUCAGUCUCUCCAACUUUAGUUGAACCGAGUGUGGCUACGCCCGGUCCUUGCGAAGGUUAAAACAGCACCAACUUGACAAACUAUCAUUGUGGUUUUUGAUGCGUAGGUAAGAAUGGUUCUUGCUAAGACCGUAGCAGCCAUGUAAAACUUGCAACAACAAAGUAGAGGAUGUCUAACUUGUUUUUGCAGGGCAUGUUGUGAUGUGAUAUGGUCAAGACAUGAUGCUAAAUUUUGUUGUAUGAGAUGAUCAUGUUUUUAACCGAGUUAUCGGCAACUGGCAGGAGCCAUAUGGUUGUCGCUUUAUUGUAUGCAAUGCAAUCGACCUGUAAUGCUUUACUUUAUCACUAAGCGGUAGCGAUAGUCGAAGAAGCAUAAGAUUGGCGAGACGACAACGAUGCUACGAUGGAGAUCAAGGUGUCGCGCCGGUGACGACGGUGAUCACGGAGGUGCUUCGGAGAUGGAGAUCACAAGCACAAGAUGAUGAUGGCCAUAUCAUAUCACUUAUAUUGAUUGCAUGUGAUGUUUAUCUUUUAUGCAUCUUAUCUUGCUUUGAUUGACGAUAGCAUUAUAAGAUGAUCCCUCACUAAAUUAUCAAAGUAUAAGUGUUCUCCCUGAGUAUGCACUGUUGCGAAAAUUCUUCGUGCUGAGACACCACGUGAUGAUCAGGUGUGAUAGGCUCUACGUUCAAAUACAAUGGGUGCAAAACAGUUGCACACGCGGAAUACUUAGGUUAAACUUGACGAGCCUAGCAUAUAACAGAUAUGGCCUCAGAACACGGAGACCGAAAGGUCGAGCGUGAAUCAUAUAGUAGAUAUGAUCAGCAUAGUGAUGUUCACCAUUGAAACUACUCCAUCUCACGUGAUGAUCGGACAUGGUUUAGUUGAUUUGGAUCACGUGAUCACUUAGAGGAUUAGAGGGAUGUCUAUCUAAGUGGGAGUUCUUAAGUAAUAUGAUUAAUUGAACUUAAAUUUAUCGUGAACUUAGUACCUGAUAGUAUCUUGCUUGUUUAUGUUGAUUGUAGAUAGAUGGCCCGUGCUGUUGUUCCGUUGAAUUUUAAUGUGUUCCUUGAGAAAGCAAAGUUGAAAGAUGAUGGUAGCAAUUACACGGACUGGGUCCGUAACUUGAGGAUUAUCCUCACUGCUGCACAGAAGAAUUACGUCCUGGAAGUACCGCUGGGUGCCAGGCCUGCUGCAGGAGCAACACCAGAUGCUAUGAACAUCUGGCAGAGCAAAGCUGAUGACUACUCGAUAGUUCAGUGUGCCAUGCUUUACGGCUUAGAACCGGGACUUCAACGGCGUUUUGAACGUCAUGGAGCAUAUGAGAUGUUCCAGGAGUUGAAGUUAAUAUUUCAAGCAAAUGCCCGGAUUGAGAGAUAUGAAGUCUCCAAUAAGUUCUAUAGCUGCAAGAUGGAGGAGAACAGUUCUGUCAGUGAGCAUAUACUCAAAAUGUCUGGGUAUAAUAAUCACUUGAUUCAAUUGGGAGUUAAUCUUCCAGAUGAUUGCGUCAUUGACAGAAUUCUCCAAUCACUGCCACCAAGCUACAAGAGCUUCGUGAUGAACUAUAAUAUGCAAGGGAUGAAUAAGACUAUUCCCGAGCUCUUCGCAAUGCUGAAAGCUGCGGAAGUAGAAAUCAAGAAGGAGCAUCAAGUGUGUAUGGUCAACAAGACCACCAGUUUCAAGAAAAAGGGCAAAGGGAAGAAGAAGGGGAACUUCAAGAAGAACAGCAAACAAGUUGCUGCUCAAGAGAGGAAACCCAAGUCUGGACCUAAGCCUGAAACUGAGUGUUUCUACUGCAAGCAAACUGGUCACUGGAAGCGGAACUGCCCCAAGUAUUUGGCGGAUAAGAAGGAUGGCAAGGUGAACAAAGGUAUAUGUGAUAUACAUGUUAUUGAUGUGUACCUUACUAAUGCUCGCAGUAGCACCUAGGUAUUUGAUACUGGUUCUAUUGCUAAUAUUUGCAACUCAAAACAGGGGUUACAGAUUAAGCAAAGAUUGGCUAAGGACAAGGUAACGAUGAGCGUGGGAAAUGGUUCCAAAGUUGAUGUGAUCGCAGUCGGAAUGCUACCUCUACAUCUACCUUCGGGAUUAGUAUUAGACCUAAAUAAUUGUUAUUUGGUGCCAGCGUUGAGCAUGAAUAUUAUAUCUGGAUCUUAUUUGAUGCAAGACGGUUAUUCAUUUAAAUCAGAGAAUAAUGGUUGUUCUAUUUAUAUGAGUAAUAUCUUUUAUGGUCAUGCACCCUUGAAGAGUGGUCUAUUCUUAUUGAAUCUUGAUAGUAGUGACACACAUAUUCAUAAUGUUGAAGCCAAAAGAUGCAGAGUUGAUAAUGAUAGUGCAACUUAUUUGUGGCACUACCGUUUAGGUCAUAUCGGUGUAAAGCGCAUGAAAAAACUCCAUACCGAUGGACUUUUGGAACCACUUGAUUAUGAAUCACUCUCUACUUGCGAACUGUGCCUCAUGGGCAAAAUGACUAAAACACCGUUCUCCGAUACUAUGGAGAGAGCAACAGAUUUGUUGGAAAUCAUACAUACAGAUGUAUGUGGUCCGAUGAAUGUUGAGGCUCGUGGCGGAUAUCGUUAUUUUCUCACCUUCACAGAUGACUUAAGAAGAUAUGGGUAUAUCUACUUAAUGAAACAUAAGUUUGAAACAUUUGAAAAGUUCAAAGAAUUUCAGAGUGAAGUUGAAAAUCAUCGUAACAAGAAAAUAAAGUUUCUACGAUCUGAUCAUGGAGGAGAAUAUUUGAGUUACGAGUUUGGUGUACAUUUAAAAAAUGCGGAAUAGUUUCGAAACUCACGCCACCCGGAACACCACAACAUAAUGGUGUGUCCAAACGUCGUAAUCGUACUUUACUAGAUAUGGUGCGAUCUAUGAUGUCUCUUACUGAUUUACCGCUAUCGUUUUGGGGUUAUGCUUUAGAGACGGCCGCAUUCACGUUAAAUAGGGCACCAUCAAAAUCCGUUGAGACGACGCCUUAUGAACUGUGGUUUGGCAAAAAACCGAAGUUGUUGUUUUUGAAAGUUUGGGGCUGCGAUGCUUAUGUGAAAAAGCUUUAACCUGAUAAGCUCGAACCCAAAUCGGAGAAAUGUGUCUUCAUAGGAUACCCAAAGGAGACCGUUGGGUACACCUUCUAUCACAGAUCCGAAGGCAAGAUUUUUGUUGCUAAAUUAGGAAACUUUCUAGAGAAGGAGUUUCUCUCGAAAGAAGUGAGUGGGAGGAAAGCAGAACUUGAUGAGGUAACUGUACUUGCUCCCUUAUUGGAAAGUAGUUCAUCACGGAAACCGGCUUCCGUGACACCUACACCAAUCAGUGAGGAAGUUAAUGAUGAUGAUCAUGAAACUUCAGACCAAGUUACUACUGAGCCUCAUAGAUCAACCAGAGUAAGAUCCGCAGCAGAGUGGUACGGUAGUCCUGUUCUGGAAGUCAUGCUACUAGAUCAUGAUGACCCUACGAACUAUGAAGAAGCGAUGGUGAGCCCAGAUUCCGCAAAAUGGCUUGAGGCCAUGAAAUCUGAGAUGGGAUCCAUGUAUGAGAACAAAGUAUGGACUUUGGUUGACUUGCCUGAUGAUCGGCAAGCAAUUGAAAAUAAAUGGAUCUUCAAGAAGAAGACUGACACUGACGGUAAUGUUACUGUCUACAAAGCUCGACUUGUUGUGAAAGGUUUUCGACAAGUUCAAGGGAUUGACUAUGAUGAGACCUUCUCACUCGUAGCGAUGCUUAAGUCUGUCCGAAUCAUGUUAGCAAUUACCAUAUUUUAUGAUUAUGAAAUUUGGCAAAUGGAUGUCAAAACUGCAUUUCUGAAUGGAUUUCUAGAAGAAGAGUUGUAUAUGAUGCAACCAGAAGGUUUUGUGGAUCCAAAGGGAGCUAACAAAAUGUGCAAGCUCCAGCGGUCCAUUUAUGGACUGGUGCAAGCCUCUCAGAGUUGGAAUAAACGCUUUGAUAGUAUGAUCAAAGCAUUUGGUUUUGUACAGACUUUUGGAGAAGCCUGUAUUUAUAAGAAAGUGAGUGGGAGCUCUGUAGCAUUUCUAAUAUUAUAUGUACAUAUUGCUGGUUGGAAAUGAUAUAGAAUUUCUAGAUAGCAUAGGGAUACUUGAAUAAGAGUUUUUCAAUGAAAGACGACCUCGGUGAAGCUGCUUAUAUAUUGGGCAUUAAGAUAUAUAGAGAUAGAUCAAGACGCUUAAUUGGACUUUCACAAAGCACAUACCUUGAAAAAGUUUUGAAGAAGUUCAAAAUGGAUCAAGCAAAGAAAGGGUUCUUGCCUGUGUUACAAGGUGUGGAGUUCAGUAAGACUCAAUGCCCGACCACUGCAGAAGAUAGAGAGAAAAUGAAAGAUGUUCCCUAUGCUUCAGCCAUAGGCUCUAUCAUGUAUGCAAUGUUGUGUACCAGACCUGAUGUGUGCCUUGCUAUAAGCCUAGCAGGGAGGUACCAAAGUAAUCCAGGAGUGGAUCACUGGACAGCGGUCAAGAACAUCCUGAAAUACCUGAAAAGGACUAAGGAUAUGUUUCUCAUUUAUGGAGGUGACAAAGAGCUCAUCGUAAAUGGUUACGUUGAUGCAAGCUUUGACACUGAUCCGGACGAUUCUAAAUCACAAACCGGAUACGUGUUUACAUUGAACGGUGGUGCUGUCAGUUGGUGCAGUUCUAAACAAAGCGUCGUGGCGGGAUCUACGUGUGAAGCGGAGUACGUAGCUGCUUCAGAAGCAGCAAAUAAAGGAAUCCAGAUUUCAGAAGAGAUAUAGAUUUGCAAGAUACAUACGGAUCUGAAUGUUGCAGACCCGUUGACUAAGCCUCUUCCACGAGCAAAACAUGAUCAGCACCAAGGCUCCAUGGGUGUUAGAAUCAUUACUGUGUAAUCUAGAUUAUAGACUCUAGUUUAAGUGGGAGACUGAAGGAAAUAUGCCCUAGAGGCAAUAAUAAAGUUAUUAUUUAUUUCCUUAUAUCAUGAUAAAUGUUUAUUAUUCAUGCUAGAAUUGUAUUAACCGAAAACAUAAUACAUGUGUGAAUACAUAGACAAACAAAGUGUCACUAGUAUGCCUCUACUUGACUAGCUUGUUGAUCAAAGAUGGUUAUGUUUCCUAGCCAUAGACAUGAGUUGUCAUUUGAUUAACGGGAUCACAUCAUUAGGAGAAUGAUGUGAUUGACAUGACCCAUUCCGUUAGCUUAGCACCCGAUCGUCUAGUAUGUUGCUAUUGCUUUCUUCAUGACUUAUACAUGUUCCUAUGACUAUGAUAUUAUGCAACUCCCGUUUACCGGAGGAGCACUUUGUGUGCUACAAAACGUCACAACGUAACUGGGUGAUUAUAAAGGAGCUCUACAGGUGUCUCCAAAGGUACAUGUUGGGUUGGCGUAUUUCGAGAUUAGGAUUUGUCACUCCGAUUGUCGGAGAGGUAUCUCUGGGCCCUCUCGGUAAUGCACAUUACUUAAGCAUUGCAACUAAUGAGUUAGUUGCGGGAUGAUGUAUUAUGGGAUGAGUAAAGAUACUUGCCGGUAACGAGAUUGAACUAGGUAUUGAGAUACUGACGAUCGAAUCUCGGGCAAGUAACAUACCGAUGACAAAGGGAACAACGUAUGUUGUUAUGUGGUCUGACCGAUAAAGAUCUUCGUAGAAUAUGUAGGAGCCAAUAUGAGCAUCCAGGUUCCUCUAUUGGUUAUUGACCAGAGACGUGUCUCGGUCAUGUCUACAUAGUUCUCGAACCCGUAGGGUCCGCACGCUUAACGUUUCGAUGACAUUUAUAUUAUGAGUUUAUAUGUUUUGAUGUACCGAAGGUUGUUCGCUGUCCUGGAUGUGAUCACGGACAUGACGAGGAGUCUCGAAAUGGUCGAGACAUGAAUAUUGAUAUAUUGGAAGCCUAUGUUUGGAUAUCGGAAGUGUUUCGGGUGAAAUCUGGAUUUUACCGGAGUACCGGGAUGUUACCGGAACCCCCCGGUAACUAAAUGGGCCUUAGUGGGCCUAGGUGGAAGAGAGGAGAGGAGGCAAGGGCUGGCUGCGCGCCCCUCCCCCCCCCCCUAGUCCGAAUAGGACAAGGAGAGGGGGGCGGCGCCCCCCCCCCUUCCUUCCUUCUCCUCCACUCCUUCCCCCUCCCAAGUCCUAAUCCAACUAGGAAAGGGGGGAGUCCUACUCCCGGUGGGAGUAGGACUCCUCCGGCGCGCCUCCUCCUAUGGCCGGCCGCACCCCCCUUGCUCCUUUAUAUACGGGGGCAGGGGGCACCCCAUAGAUACAACAAUUGAUCGUUUGAUCUUUUAGCCGUGUGCGGUGCCCCCCUCCACCAUAGUCCACCUCGAUAAUACUAUAGCGGUGCUGAGGCGAAGCCCUACGUCGGUUGAACAUCAUCAUCGUCACCAUGCCGUCGUGCUGACGAAACUCUCCCUCAACACUCAGCUGGACCGGAGUUCAAGGGACGUCAUCGGGCUGAACGUGUGCUGAACUCGGAGGUGCCGUGCGUUCGGUACUUGAUCGGUCGGACCGUGAAGACGUAUGACUACAUCAACCGCGUUGUGCUAACACUUCCGCUUUCGGUCUACGAGGGUACGUGGACAACACACUCCCCUCUCGUUGCUAUGCAUCACCAUGAUCUUGCGUGUGCGUAGGAAAUUUUUUCAAAUUACUACGUUCCCCAACAGUCCUCAUAAAUGGCAUUGUACCUGCCCUACAACCUAGCUAUGAGCACUUGCCAUCGAAAGCAAAAAUAUGCUUCUCCUUCUGUGUUGUUUAUCCCAAGGAUAGGAUGAUGGAUAAAGACAUAUUAAUCCGGCUAUGGAUGGAAAGUGUCUUCGUUGCAUCAGAAACAGCAGGCCAACAAAUUUGCGAUGUUCUAUUUUGGAGAUGUUUCUUACAAGAUGUGGAUAUUGGUAGGAUGUCUUCAUACAUAAUAUACAUGAUUUCAUGCAUGAUCUUGUUGACUCUGUAAGAAGAAAUAAUUGCUUACUUAUGCAAGAAUCUUCAUCGUCCCAAGAAAUUGUGGAACGAUCUACUGAUGGGAGUUCAUUUCAAUAUGAGGUUCAACAUUCGUCACUUGAUUUUUUAGUAAUAUUGCCACUUCGUAGGAAAUUAUUGCUCCCUGUCCGCUCACGAUAUUAGUCUCAUGAGAGAAGGACUGUAUUAAGACUCCGCUGCAUAUGGUCACAUAUAAAUUCAUGUUCCUGCAAGCAUUGAAGUCAUCCUCAAUCAAAACGCACAUGGGAAACUUAAAGCAUCUUCACUACCUAGAUUGUUCUAAUUCUUGUAUGUUUGAAUUGCCUGAAUCCACUACGUACCAUCUUGCAUAUAUAGCUUCCAAAAACUAAGGCUCAACCAUCAUUUAUUCCUUUACUAGAAGAGAUGAAAUUUAUGAGAAGUCUUCGGCACAUCUUCCUUACUAACUAUGGUUGUUUGGACCACAUGCCACAAGGUAUUGGUUAAUUGAAUUCUCCGACCACAUUGAUGAAUUAUGUCAUUGAUAGUGAUUCGGGUUAUGGGAAUUGAUCAACAUGAAAAUUUGAGUCUAGGUGGUGCUCUUUCUUUUACUCAAUUGAUAAAGGUGAGUAGUGCAAAAAAGUGUUAAACAAGGCAAUAUGUCCACCAAAGCAUAAGUUGAAAUGAUUAUCACUCGAUUUGUACUGGGAUUAUAGAAGAAACUAUGGAGAUAAAGUACAUAAUAAUGCGAAAGGAAUAUUACAAGCCCUUCACCCUAAAAAAGGAUUAAAUUUUUAUUGUUAAUUAUGUUGUUAUACUGGAGCUAAAUUAUCAUCGUGGAUGCAAAACUCUACACUGUUCAAACACCUCCCUGAUUGCUAUUCAAGUAGAUGCAAGAACGGCAAGGAUCCCCACCAUUAUGGCAGCUUCCUUGCAUCAAGUAGUGGCGUUUGGAAUGCUUGAUGUGUAUAUGUGUUUGUAAUAAUGAUAAAAAAUGUGAGGAAUCCUGUAUUUCUCCACAAUCAUUCUUCCCAAAACUAGAAAACCUAAUAGAUAGCAACAUUCCAAAGCUACAGAGAUGGCACCAUGAGGUUGUGAUACGUCUCCAACGUAUCUAUAAUUUUUGAUUGUUCCAUGCUAUUAUAUUAUCUGUUUUGGAUGUUUAAUGGGCUUUAAUAUGCUCUUUUAUAUUAUUUUUGGGACUAACCUAUUAACCGAAGGCCCAGUGCAAAUUGCUGUUUUUUUUUGCCUAUUUCAGUGUUUCGCAGAAAAGGUUAUCAAAUGGAACGAAACCUUCGCGAGGAUCUUUCUUGGAACAAACGCAACCCAAGAGACUUGGAGUGGAAGUCAAGGAAGAAACGAGGCAGCCACGAGGCAGGAGGGCGCCCCCCCACCCUCGUGGGCCCCUCAUAGCUCCACCGACCUACUUCUUUCGCCUAUAUAUACUCUUAUACCCUGAAAACAUCGAGGGGAUCCACGAAACCACUUUUCCACUGCCGCAACCUUCUGUACCCGUGAGAUCCCAUCUUGGGGCCUUUUCCGGUGAUCGUCCAGAGGGGAUUCGAUCACGGAGGGCUUCUACAUCAACACCAUAGCCUCUCCGAUGAUGUGUGAGUAGUUUACCAUAGACCUUCGGGUCCAUAGUUAUUAGCUAGAUGGCUUCUUCUCUCUCUUUGGUUCUCAAUACAAAGUUCUCCUCGAUUUUCUUGGAGAUCUAUUCGAUGAAAAACCUUUUGCGGUGUUUUUGCCGAGAUCCAAUGAAUUGUGGGUCUAUGAUCAAGAUUAUCUAUGAAAAAUAUUUGGUUCUUCUCUGAAUUCUUAUAUGCAUGAUUUAAUAUCUUUGCAAGUCUCUUCGAAUUAUCGGUUUAGUUUGGCCUACUAGAUUGAUCUUUCUUGCAAUGGGAAAAGUGCUUAGCUUUGGGUUCAAUCUUGCGGUGCUCGAUCCCAGUGACAGAAAGGGAAACGACAUGUGUUGUAUUGUUGCCAUCGAGGAUAAAAAUAUGGGGUUUAUAUCAUAUUGCUUGAGUUUAUCCCUCUACAUCAUGUCAUCUUGCCUAAUGCGUUACUCUAUUCUUAUGAACUUAAUACUCUAGAUGCAUGCUCGAUAGCGGUCGAUGUGUGGAGUAAUAGUAGUAGAUGCAGAAUCGUUUCGGUCUACUUGUCACGGACGUGAUGCCUAUGUUCAUGAUCAUUCCUAGAUAUUCUCAUAACUAUGUGCUUUUCUAUCAAUUGCUCAACAGUAAUUUGUUCACCCACCGUAAUAUAUGCUAUCUUGAGAGAAGCCACUAGUGAAACCUAUGGCCCCCGGGUCUACUUUACAUCAUAUAAGUUUCCGAUCUACAAUUCUAGUUUACUAUUUAUUUUCAAUCUUUACUUUUCCAAUCUAUACAACAAAAAUACCAAAAAUAUUUAUCUUAUUAUCUUUAUCAGGUCUCACUUUUGCAAGUGGCCGUGAAGGGAUUGACAACCCUUUUAUCGCAUUGGUUGCAAGGUUCUUGAUUGUUUGUGCAUGUACUAGGAGAUUUGUGUGUAGUCUCCUACUGGAUUGAUACCUUGGUUCUCAAAAACUAAGAGAAAUAAUUACACUACUUUGUUGCAUCACCCUUUCUUGUUCAAGGGAAAACCAAUGUAUGCUCAAGAGGUUGCAGGAGAAGUAACAGAUGUAGCAUUCCUUUAGCUCAAGAUGUUAAAUAUUCGUAAUUACUCAGUGCGAGAAAGUACACCUCAGAUGCUCCCUUUGGUUGAAGAUCUAUAGGUGUUUGGAAAAAACAUUUUUCCAAUUUACCAUUAGAUGAAUUUGUGAGUGCAAUCUAAUCUUGAGUGCGAAGGUAUAUUUUGUGGAACCUACAGUCGAUUGUCUGCUUACUGAUGACCUUCAUAUCCCAAGUCAUGGAGACUAACAUGUCACUAAUGCUCAUAGGUCUGACAAAAAAAUGUGGAAUUCUUUGAAGAAGAGCUUAACAGAAUAUGCAAAGGUGGAGAUAAUAGAUCGUGACUGUGUAGUUGCUUGUUUGAUGCUAUGUGAUUCAUUUGGUUAGGUUGCUUGUUUUGAGGGCUCAUAUUAUCAAACUUGUUGAACAACCACUGCAGAUGCUUUGAUUUCUUUUAUUUGGAAAUUGUUAAUUAUUGAAUGUUGAGCAUCAAAGAAAAUUGACCGAGUACAAAAAAAUAGGGGGGGGGGAGGAGGUGGCGAACGUGUCCGUGCUCUAGCACCCUCCCGGUUGUCCACGAACAUGUUCAGACAUGCGUCCAUGGAUGUUUGACGGUGUUCAUUUGAUGAAUAGAAAAGUGUAGGAUAUGCCCUUUGUCUUCAAGGCAACUUUUAAUGCUUAAAAAUUGACUUUGAUUUUUAGAAGGGACAUAGGUUUAUUGUAAAGGUCUAUCCUCUUUAUAAUAGUUGAUUUAGGAAUAAUUAUUUCCAACCUAGUACAUAUUGAUAAUUUGUUUGAAGGUUACACGAGUAAAUUGAAAUUGAGAAACUAUUUGAAAGUUUUGUGCAUAUAUUUUUGAAACUCAGAAGUUGCAACAAUGUGUUGCGGAAUCAAUGACUUGAUGAGGGGCAAAUUGAUCAAUCCUGAAAGCCAUGUAGAAAUAUCAAAUCGGUUAUACCAAAGUAUGUAUAGAACACAUCAAUCUAGAUUUGACAUAUCAAUGCGAGGGGAUACAAACUUAGUAUCAACAUAUCUUUUUGCAUUCACUGGACACUAUUCUUUUGGAUAUCCAUGAUCAAGAUAUGUUGCAUUAAAGAAAUGGUGGAAGUCAGAUGUGUAGUAUCAACAUCAUUAAUAAAGGAUAUCCAAAUUGAGUAUAUACAUAUUUGUAUAUAGAUUUGACACUAAUCAUAUGCAUAUCCAUGACGCAACUUGCAAACUUCAUUUAUGAAACCCAACUAUACGCAUUAUAAAUAAACAUCAACCUCCCAUACAUCAUAUCCCUCCAACUCCUCACCCCCCCCCCCACGCAAAUAUCCAUGCACAUAUUAGAUAUCAUUAAAAAGGAGAUCAAAACUGAGCACUCAAAUAUUUAUGCACAGAUUAACCAAUAAUAAUAGGCAUAUCCAUGACCAAGCUCCAUACUGCAUUUAUGAACCCCACUAUACACAUUAUAAAUAAAUCUCAACCUCUCAUACAUCAUAUCCAACCAUUUUCCCCCUACACAACCAUCUAUAUCCAUUUAUCCCCACCUCUCUAGGUUGUAGUACAAUUCAACGCUUCUAACAAGCCUUGCAACAAUAUAUAUAUGGCACGAACACAGAUGGACACCAUCAUCUUUUCCGCCAUUGUCUUCAUGUUGCUUUUCGUGACCACGACGGCUCAAGCCAGUGGAUCUGGUGGUGCCAAGCCCAAGGCGACCGACCUCGUGAUAGAAGUGUGCAAGAACGCCACAUUAAACAACGCAAAUGUGGAUCCUCUCAGAGAGGAAUUCUGUUUAACGACCCUCUAGUCAGACAAUCGAAGCGCUGAGGCUAAGGAACUCCGUGACUUGCUGCAAGUCACCGUCGACAUCCUUAGGGGUCGAGUCACUACUACCAGCAGCAAGGUCAAGAAAAUGUUGGAAAACACCAAGAAGGGCACGGUGCCAAUGCGCGUCUUCAGUUUGUGUGAGGUGGAUUAUGACACCAUGGUGAGCGUCAUCAACAUAUGUGAUGCCAUUAUCAAGGAUUACCAACGUGACGAGGGCAGGCAAUGGUCCAAAGAGCUAGUCCGUUGGAUGGAUAUGGCACGUGAUCAUGUCAAUGAGUGCAUCUCUGAGCUUGUUGACAUGCCUGCAGUGGGGGCUCUUGUCAAUGAAAACAAUGAAUUGGGAAUGCUGGUUAAACUGAACACCGCCUUGGUAGCAGCCCGUAUGUUUCCCGAGUAAUAGGAUGUUUGUGUUUAUAUGGCAGAAAAUAUGUCGAUGAGAAAUAAAUUGUACUAUUAAUAGUUAUUACUAUAAAUAUAAUGAUAAAUGUGUUGUGGCAUCAAUAUGCAUGGUUUUCCACAAAUUUUUCAUUUUGCUAUGAUAAUUCUAGAUUUUUUGGGGCCCAUUCGUCUUUCUUUCUUCAAAGUCUUACAAUAAUGACAUCUAUCACUCGUUGUGGAACCUCUCUUUUAAAUUGGCUCUUGAAAUCCGAUUGUCAGUAUUUUUUUAAUAUACCAUUGUUAGUAUGUUAUUCUGAUGUGUUGAACUUAUCUAUCUCCCAAGUUAUCUCUAUGCGUGAAUAUUUUCAAGUAUGAAGAGCCAAGGUCAAUGUAACAGCGCAAACAAUUGCAACCACCCGUUUAGCCAACAGGCUACUACCAUCUACGUGUCAAUCCUUAUCUUUACAUAAUAUAAUAAUAAAGAACGGAGGCUUUCAUAUUGUCCAUCACUCAUCUGUUUAUAUCGAUCGAUUUUAUGUUAACCAUAAAAAUUAACGGCUGGGAUUUAAAAAUAAAUCAACACACAUGUAAUAAGAAAAGCAAACAAACAAACGCUAUGGAACAAAGUAAAAAAAGUCAUGAACGUUGCACGUCUCUCUUGACGAUGAGAAAAAGGAAAACAAUCAUAUAUAUCAGAUCAAUUUCCUGACAAUCCCUCUUUGGCACUGCAAGCGCCGGUUAUAACUGUUUUGUGCAAACCGGCGCCUGCAGCCCACAUCCCUCUAAUGCGACUGGGCCGGUCCAUGUAUCUGCUUUUAUAUUUUUUUCUAAAGGUUCAGAAAAUGUGUGUCCGCACGAAAUUGAACUCAAGAUCUGCUCUAGUAAAUUAGCACCGCAACCAUCAGGCCACAAAAUAUCGCGGUAACUCCUCCGUUUGGGAAUCUUCCAGAACCUUCCCUAAACCGUUUUUUGGUUCGUUGGUCAUUUCCAGGUGCGAUUUUACUCGGUUUUCUUUUGUUCUUUUCCUUUUAUUUCUUAAAUGCGUUUUUUUAUCGUGUUAUUUUUCAAAAUCAAUCAUGUUUUUCUCUUUCACGUAUUUAACAAAAUCAAUGAACUUUUUUCCAAAUUCGAUGAACCUUUUUAAAAAUUGAUGAACUUUUUUGAAAUACGAGUAACUUUGUUCAAAUCUGAUGAACUUUUUUUUCAAAAUUGAUUCUACAACUAUCGCUAAUGCAUAGUGAUAAAGUAAGUCAAUUACAUGGCAUUUGCAUCUCAUACAAUAAAGCGACAACCAUAAGGCAACUGCCAGUUGCCGAUAACUUUUACAAAACAUGAUCAUCUCAUACAAUAACGUAUAUCACAUCAUGUCUUGACCAUAUCACAUCACAACAUGCCCUGCAAAAACAAGUUAGACAUCCUCUACUUUGAUGUUGCAAGUUUUACGUGGCUGCUACGGGCUUCUAGCAAGAAACAUUCUUAACUACGCAUCAAAACCACAACGGUGAUUUAUCAAGUUUGUUGUUUUAGCCUUCAACAAGGACCGGACGCAGUCAAAUUCGAUUCAACAAAAGUGGGAGAAACAGACACCCACCAGCCACCUUUAUGCAAAACUAGUUGCAUGUCUGUCGGUGGAACAGGUCUCAUGAACGUGGUCAUGUAAGGUUGGUACGGGCCGCUUCAUCCAACAAUACCGCCGAAUCAAAAUAAGACAUUGGUGGUAAGCAUAGACCUGGCUUGGAUGCCACUGUUGGUGCAAUUUCAAAAAAAAUCCUACGCUCACGUAAGAUCUAUCUAGGAGAUGUAUAGCAACAAGAGGGGGAGAGUGUGUCCACGUACCCUCGUAGACCAAAAGCAGAAUCAUUUUGACAAUGUGGUUGAUGUAGUCGAACUUCUUCUCGUUCCGACCGAUUAAACACCGAACGUACGGCACCUCCGAGUUCUGCACACGUUUAGCUCAAUGACGUCCCUCGAGCUCUUGAUCCAACAGAUUGUCGAGGGAGAGUUUCGUCAGCACAAUGGCGUGGUGAUGGUGAUGGUGAAGUGAUCCGCACAGGGCUUCGCCUAAGCACUAUGACAACUAGUCGUCUACCCGUGCGUUCGCACGGGCUAUAGAAAUUAUAUAUUUACAAAAUCUUCACAAUACAUAUUCUAAGGACAAUGGUGAUUGAUAUUAGAUGACAUUUCAUUUUCCUAUCCUCACUGUAAUGGAUGAGCCCAAAAUUAGAAAGAUAACAAUACAUGCCAUAGCAUUAAUAAUUAACAUAGAGAACCUUUUGUUGUAUAAAUCAUUCUUAGAUUCUCGUUGACAACCUUGAAUCAUAAGAACUGGCCAAAUUAUGUCUCUGUAUAACUUGUGUUGGUAUAUUUUAGUUAGAAAUCAAUAAUACUUUUGCUAAUAUUUGACCUGAAAAUGAGAAUGUUUUUUAUAAUUUAUACCACGAUGUAUGUCAGGAAGAACCUAUAAAUAUAAUAAAGUGGUGUUGUCUAUGUAAAAAAAGUCUCGCAUAAAUUUGAAUAUAAAGACAUUAUUUUGUUUGUUCUUGGAAUUAUUAUAUCCUCGAGUAAUAUUGUAUGAAUAAAUAUAUGACAACCCAAUUGUAUAGUUGGAUUAUUUUUAAUAUGCAGAACUCCAAAGCACGGAAGGUUCAUAUUAGAAUUUUUAAUGCAUGUAAUGUAUCAAAUUCUGAAGUAGAUUUGAAAGUCUGAUAUCAUAAUACAUUUCACAAUGACUCCAAAAAAGAUUUUGGUUGAUGGCUUGCGUGAAAUUUGUUUCAUUAGAUUUUUCACAUGAAAUAUGUUCAGAGUAUUACUCUUUGAACUUGUUGUGUUUGCAUGUUCGAGCAAAAAAUAAUUAUCAAGUUUAAUAGUAAGAAACUUAAAAUGAUUAGAAACUUUAAAUAGUAUUGGGACUCAUAGAGUGCAAUUUUUAAAUGUUACCAGUUCCUCUCAUCAUGGGCGUAGUCAAUUGGAACACUUGGUUUGUUUUUCCUGUUUGCAGUUGAGAAGGUGAAUCUUACUGACUACAUAUAAUGUAUUGAUUUCUACUCCAGCACGUACGCCAUGACAAACUUGUACCUGCUGCGAGGCCCUCUCGAGCAAUCGAUACAUACAUAUGUUAGUGCGUAUACUUUCUUUUAAUGUAUAUACUUGUCUUUGCUAUAGCCUUCUUCCUACAUCUGCGAGUAAGCAGCAACCUGUUUUUUUAAUAAUUGUCACCUUGAACAUGGCACACAUGAACCCUAUAUUCCUCCAUUGCCGAACCAUCUAAAACAACUAACUUUUCCUUACUCACUGACACACGGUUUUAAGCAUCAUCCCAUACUGUUCAUUUUUCAUAUUCUAAUAUGUUUUCCAAACUGAGAAAAUGAUACAACCAAUCAUAUCUAGCGAAAUUGUUCUGCAACUUUCUUGCUGUAAGCAUGAUAUAAUUCUUCCUUGAAAUUGAUGGGAAAUAGGCUAAAGGGUAAUCUGUUUCUAUUAAAAACUACAACGCAGAAUCAGGUUUUUCGUCUUAGUUUGCAAACCCUAAACAAGAAUCGAACGAAAUUGGUACCACUGGAAAGCUUGCAACGUAUCCCAUAACUUUUACCACUGUCUUAAUUUCAGAUUAUGCAAUGUUUUAUCACAGUUUUAAACUUAACUCUACCGGCUCAGACAACCCAUGCCUAGAUAAAUACUUAGCGUCAGUCUCUCCAAUCCAUCUUUCUACUUUGCCAAUAAUGACUAAUUAGGGUUUACCUUUUCUGUGUGGAAUCAUUCUUCCAGUUCCAUGGCAAGAUCACAAAUUUUGGACGACCCAACGGAUUCUCCUUCCUCCAGAGUCUUCUUCUCCGCUCAGAUUGGCUACUGCGCCUUACUCUUCUGAUUACAUGUAUUCCCUUCUCUCUUCUGACUAAAUUCUCCCUGGUGCAAUAUGUGCAGUCUACUGCCUUGAGCUGCUCCUUGUCAUAGCUUGCUCUGCACUCCAGAUCUCUUGCUCUGAUUGGUGGCUGGAUCAAAUGCAACCCACCCAACAGUAGUUAGCUCAACAUAAGCGGCUUCAAAAAAACGCAAGGAGCAGCACAUAAACGUAAAGGUCGACGACUGAAAAUGGCAACACCAUCCUAGAGCAGUGGAGCUCACGGCUAUACGUAGAACUUGGUGGUGGUAGUCAUGAACAGCGACCAGCACCAGCCUCCGGUAGAAGGGGGCAGUUCAUCCAUGUGCUUGAGUGUUGACGGCUGGCCAUAUUGUGAACGACAGAGUCGUCAAUUCUGACUAAGUGUAGUCUCAUGCUGAUUCUCUACUGCCGCAUAGGCAUGUCCGGCGGUGGCCAGCGUGACUGCAUGCUGGGUCAUCGAUCAAUGAUCCGGGCAAUUCAAUUGUAAACCCCAAAAAAGCAAAUUCAAAGCAAAUCAGUGUGAGAUGAGGAACCUGAUUUAGAUAAGGAACAAAAUUCUAAUGUGAUAACUUCAGCGAGAGCUUGGGAUCCAUGCCCUAACAUCCUUGCUCCAAUUUGAGAGAGAGAACGAUCUGUUUACCAUGUGUGAAGUAAAGAGAGACAUGAGAGAAGAGAUAUAUGAGAGUUUGAGAGAGGGAGAAACGGGAUAGAUUGAGAGAGAUAGACGAAGAUAAAUAUGACAGUUUGAGAGAGAGAAAGAGACGUGAGGGACUAAGAGAGAGAGAGUUUGAGAGAGGGACGUCAGAGAUUGUGAGAGACCACGAUUUCUUAGGUUGUUGUUUUUCUUUUACUCUGAGAGGAAUAGAAAGAGGUAGAUAUUUUAUGGUUUACUAUUCAAAAGUUUUUUUGGCAGAACUAAGCUGCCUGAAUGGUCAAAAAAAAUAUUGUUCUCUGAAGAUUAAUCUACACCGUAAUAACUCGGUCCCACCAGAUGAACGGCUGGUAAAUUCUAAUUAACGUGGUAAUUUUUAGGGAGUCUGUAAUUAAUAUAAGUAUAGAUAUAGAUAUAGAUAGAUAGAUAGAUAUAGAUAGAUAGAUAUAGAUAGAUAGAUAUAGAUAUAGAUAGAUAGAUAGAUAGAUAGAUAGAUAGAUAUAGAUAGAUAGAUAUGACUGAAGGCGUAAACUGUGGAGGGGCGCCGCACACGGCUAGGAAUCAAUGUUGUGUGUUCUAGAGAUGCCCCUCCCACAUAUAUAUUAGGUGGGAGAGGGAGGGGAGCAGCAAGGGGCGCCUCCUCCAAGUCGCCCCCCCCUCCCUUUCAUAAGUGUUGGAGGCUGAAUCCUCCCCUUUCCUUCUCCCUUCCCUCCUUUCCUUCUUCUCCUAUUUUGGUCUACAUGGGGCGCACCAGCCCACUAGGGGCUGGUCUGUCCCCUGCUUGGCCCAUUAGGCCCAUGUAGUUGCCGGGGGAUGUCCGGAACCCCUUCCGUUGACCCGAUAUGUACCAGGAACCCUCGGAACACUUCCAGUGUCCAAAUACCAUCGUCCUAUAUAUGAAUCUUUACCUAUCGACCAUUUUGAGACUCCUCGUCAUGUCCGUGAUCUCAUCCGGGACUCCGAACAACAUUCGGUCACCAAAUCGCAUAACUCAUAUAAUACAAAAUCGUCAUCAAACGUUAAGUGUGCGGACCCUACGGGUUCGAGAACUAUGUAGACAUGACUAAGACACCUCUCCGGUCAAUAACCAACAGCGGAAACUGGAUGCUCAUAUUGGUUCCUACAUAUUCUACGAAGAUCUUUAUCGGUCGUACCGUAAUGACAACAUACGUUAUUCCCUUUGUCAUUGGUAUGUUACUUGCCCGAGAUUCGAUCGUCGAUAUCUUCAUACCUAUUUCAAUAUCGUUACCGGCAAGUCUCUUCACUCGUUCCAUAAUACAUCAUCCCAAAAUUAACUCAUUAGUCACAUUGCUUUCAAGGCUUAUUAUGAUGUGCAUUACCGAGAGGGCCCAGAGAUACCUCACCGAUACUCGGAGUGACAAAUCCUAAUCUCAAUCUAUGCCAACCCAACAAACACCUUCGGAGAUACCUGUAGAGCAUCUUUAUAAUCACCCAGUUCCGUUGUGACGUUUGAUAGUACACAAGGCAUUACUCCGGUAUCCGAGAGUUGCAUAAUCUCAUAGUCAAAGGAACAUGUCUAUGACAUGAAGAAAGCUGUAGCAAUAAAACUGAACGAUCAAUAUGCUAAGCUAACCGAUGGGUCUUUUCCAUCACAUCAUUCUCCUAAUGAUGUGAUCCCGUCCAUCAAAUGACAACACAUGUCUAUGGUUAGGAAACUCAACCAUCUUUGAUUAACGAGCUAGUCUAGUAGAGGCUUACUAGGGAAACUGUGUUUUGUCUAUGUAUCCACACAUGUAUCUAGUUUCCGGUUAAUACAAUUCUAGCAUGAAUAAUAAACAUGUAUCAUGAUAUAAGGAAAUAUAAAUAAGAACUUUAUUAUUGCCUCUAGGGCAUAUUUCCUUCACUAAGAGAGGAAGGCGGUUGUCGCCCUUGUCCCUUGUUACCAGCCUACCAUGCCGUCAUCGAUCACUGGCUCACUUAGAACACGAGCUAGUAGAUUUUGUGAUAAGAGUGAGGAGGAUGGUACCGUAGAAAAUGUGAAAAAUUGUAUUUUAUUAGAGAUGGAUUCAAAACAAAUUGCUUGAGCGAGUGGUUUAUAUAUUUUCUUCAUCAAUUCGUACAAUUUUUUGGUUAGGAUAGAGGGGUAAAUGCAUUGGUUGGGUGCUUCAAGAUUUAAUAACGGACACAGUGGCAUAUUGGUUUCAUGCCAAACAACCGACAUCAUAUUUUUCUUUUGUCGUAAGGUACGACAUUCAACUGUAUGUUGGCAAUGUCUAAGGACAAUCAUAUCUGCCUUCUUGGGCGUCACGGGAGGCACAUGCCUUGUUCCCUUGAUGGAGGUGGCAGAUGGCAUGAUCACGGGGGGAGGGGAUCAGGGCAGAGAGCGGGGCGGUUGGCAGGUGAUAACCCACAAGUAUAGGGGAUCACAACAGUUUUCGAGGGUAGAGUAUUCAACCCAAAUUUACUGAUUCGACACAAGGAGAGCCAAAGAAUAUUCUCAAGUAUUAGCAGUUGAUUUGUCAAUUCAUCCACACCUGUAAGACUUCAUAUCUGCAGCAAAUUAUUUAGUAGCAAAGUAGUAUGGAAGUAACGGUAACGGUGGUAAAAGUAACAGUAACAGUUCUGUAGUAAUUGUAACAGUGGCAAUGGUAAAGUAACUAAGCAAAGAUCAAUAUGUGAAAAGCUCGUAGGCAUUGGAUCAAUGAUGGAUAAUUAUGUCGGAUGUGAUUCCUCAUGCAACAGUUAUAACAUAGGGUGACACAGAACUAGCUCCAGUUCAUCAAUGUAAUGUAGGCAUGUAUUUCGAAUAUAGUCAUACGUGCUUAUGGAAAAGAACUUGCAUGACAUCUUUUGUCUUACCCUCCCGUGGCAGGGGGUCCUGUUGGAAACUAAGGGAUAUUAAGGCCUCCUUUUAAUAGAGUACCGGACAAAAGCAUUAACACUUAGUGAAUACAUGAACUCCUCAAACUAUGGUAAUCACCGGGAGUGGUCCCGAUUAUUGUCACUUCGGGGUUACCGGAUCAUAACACAUAGUAGGUGACUAUUGACUUGCAAGAUAGGAUCAAGAACUCACAUAUAUUCAUGAAAACAUAAUAGGUUCAGAUAUGAAAUCAUGGCACUCGGGCCCUAGUGACAAGCAUUAAGCAUAGCAAAGUCAUAGCAACAUCAAUCUCAGAACAUAAUGGAUACUAGGGAUCAAACCCUAACAAAAAUAACUCGAUUACAUGGUAAAUCUCAUCCAACCCAUCACCGUCCAGCAUGCCUAUGAUGGAAUUACUCACGCACGGCGGUGAGCAUCAUGAAAUUGGUGAUGGAGGAAGGUUGAUGAUGACGAUGGCGACGGAUUCCCCUCUCUGGUGCCCCAAACGGACUCCAGAUCAUCCCUCCCGAGAGAGAUUAGGGCUUGGCGGCGGCUCCGUAUCGUAAAACGCGAUGAAUUCUUAUCUCUGAUUUUUUUCUCCCCGAGCGUGAAUAUAUACAGUUGGAGUUGAGGUCGGUGGAGCUUCAGGGGGCCCACGAGGCAAGGGGGCGCGCCCCCCACCCUCGUGGACAGGGUGUGGGCCCCUUGGUGUUGAUUCAUUCGCCAGUAUUUUUUAUAUAUUCCAAAAUAUUCUCCGUGAAGUUUCAGGUCAUUCCGAGAACUUCUAUUUCUGCACAAAAAUAACACCAUGGCAAUUCUACUGAAAACAGGGUCAGUCCGGAUUAGUUCCAUUCAAAUCAUGCAAGUUAGAGUCCAAAACAAGGGCAAAAGUGUUUGGAAAAGUAGAUAUGAUGGAGACAUAUUAGUAGGGGAUUCCUCCUUGAUGGUCCAUGGGGUUGUAUGUUGUGAAGGAGAAAGGAGACUACAGCGAAGGUCAAGUGAGCGUCAUCAGAUUUUAAUGUAGAGAGCACCAACGACAAAUUCCCGUUUAUGGCGGAAAAUUGAGCGAGAAGGGGACGUUCCGGUAGGAAAAGGGAAGGGUGCAUCGUCGAGUGGAGUUUUUGUGUUGGAACCGCGUGUUGGAGAUGAUGGAGGAUAAUAUGGAAAACCACAUAUCUUCCUCACAUAUAGGUUGGAUUUUGGUGAUCCCAGACUAUCUGAAUGGUUGGAUUUUCAGGAGCCUUUUAGGCGCCUAUCUGAUGUUCGAACACUCUCGGACAUAUGAGAGAGAAAUGGGCUUCAACCUUGGAGAUGAUCUUAAUCAUUUGUCUUGUCUAAUUCAUUUUUAUAUAUUAUAGCCUGUAGCAACACACGGGCAUUCCACUAGUAUUAAUUAGUGCUCUGGAAGACACCCGUUAAGAUGUGCUUCCAACACUCGAAGUGGGGGAUGUGUCCAAAUUAUGUCUUGACCGAAAUGCGCCCUGCAUCAAGAGUCAGUUGUCUAGCUGUAUGCCCUAUUCGCCACGCGGAGUUUCCUCGGUAAUUAAGGUAAAUCAAACAAAAUCAUUGGACAUUUAAUGACUACACCUUAUGCAUCCCCAGAGAUUGGAUCCACCCUACCAUACUAAGCCCUUCUAUCACUCGUGUUCAGAAUUGCACUUCACGUUGUCCCGUGUCCUAACCUCCACUUGGACCGAACUCCAGGAUCCAUGCAACCUGUAGGGCCGAAGAACGAGGUUGGGGGAGAGAGAGAGAAGAGACUACUAUGAUGUAAUUUUAUUUUAUAUAUACAUGACGUCCAUUCAAAGUCAUUCCAUCAACCCCUCAAACAAAUACAUCAGGUUGCAGGGACAUUGGACAUUGCCUUACCGAAUUACUCACACAUGGCGAUCGGAUCGCAAGAAGUAAUCAGUGAAGAAGACAUCGGAUCAGAUCACAAAACAAAGAGAGGAUUUCACAAUCCCUUGCAUUCAUCAGUCAUUAGUGGCAAUAUCAAUGGGAGUAUCAUAGAUUUUAUAAGAUAAACAUGUUUAGACUAUGGCAUGAUGAGCAUAAAAGUAACACACGUCAACUCUUCAAGAUUAAACUUGAUCAUCCUCUAGUAACAUAGAUAGAAAUCCAAACCGUAAGGAACUAGGUUGUUUAAUGCCUAGAUAGACCUCCGCUUCUUCACAUGAAAAGUUAGUAUAGCUGUAGCGGUGACAUGGUUAUUAUGCAAGUGUUAUUGAAGCAAAGAUAAUCAACACAAAGCUCUUGCUCACCUAGAAAAAAUAAAAAGUAGCUUUUAUUCUAUUUAAUCUAGUUAACACUUGCUUGCGGGGAACACAUGGAAGAGAAUUUUCUUUCUUGAGCAAUGAAAACAUAAAUUAAGGGAGUGAAAGUUAUGAAAACACAACAUGAUACUAGAGUAACUCAUUAACACCCACGAGUGUCUCAUCAUUAAUUCUCGCAAGGACUUCGCUUCAAUCAUUGCUUGCUGAAACUUUUCUUGUCUAGUGACGAGAUUAUGCCAAAGAAAUUAUUCAUGCAUAAGGUUUCGCAGAGGCUUAAGCUUGAGUACUAUUGAUGAGUCCAAAUUGUGUGAUUAUUUCUACGAGUAUUUUGUGCCAACUCCAUAGGCUUUGUGGAAUGUUACUGCGUUCACACACUAUUUUUGUCAUUUUUCCCCAGGACACUUCUUUUGGAACAAAUGGAAAACUAUGGUAGGAAUCACAUGAUAUUAUGGUGGAAUCACAUAAAUCAAUGUGAUUAUACCUUACCAUAAAUAGAAUAAAAUACUUAAAGGAAAUUGGAUCUGGCGCAGUCCAACAAAGUGCAACACGGGCAACCAUACGAGCGCACGUGCUCGUGCAUGCAGCCGUAUGGCAUGCUGGUAGCUCCCUCCCGUCGACUACUUCUUCCCUAUGGAUAAAGAUCGCCGAAUAGACACACACACACACACACACACAUACACACAACCACCAGAAACACAUCCAGGAGGAGAACCCUAACUUUUUGAACCCAUCCAGAGGGGAAUUGGUAAGGAGGAGAUCGCCAUCUUCACCACCAGGUGCAAGGGGACGUUGGCAUCAUCACCACUGUCAUCAUCAUCAUAAUCCACAUCAAUCUUCAUCUCGUUGUAAUAUCAGAACUCUAGUGGAUCAUCAUGCGUGUUACUUGUUUGAUUCAUCCAUGUUUAUCGUGCAUAUUCUGCUUCCCCUAUGUAUGAGUAAACCCCCUAGUUCUUAGGGAUAUGGAUGAAUCUUGGUAUGUAUAGGAGCUGAAACGUUAAUAUGUGAUAUUUUCUGUUGAAUGAUUUAGUUUAAUAGACUUCGUGAAUGUUGUGAAGGCUCCUCCCUCAAAAUUAUCACCGAAAGGUCACAAAGUAUAUUACUGUCGUUUUAAGAGUUAGCGAGUGAAGGUAAUUCGAGGUGACAGCAAAAGCAUUCACCCCUAGGUUUUACAAUUGAUUAGGGAAUUACGGAGAACCUUAGUGAGGCCGCGUCCAUAGAGAGACCCUUAAUUACCGUAGUCGUAACUUGUUGGGGGAGACUACUGUAGUGGCAUGCGUGGCAUGAAGUCUACCUAGAGUAGAAUGUGCUCUGUGCCCGGCUAUGCCCGGUGUAAACGUCAAGAAUGGUGUAAGUACAUCUAGUGCCUCCUUUGUGGUUAUAGACUACUGAAGACAAAUGUGUUAAGAGACUAAUGUGUUUGUGAGUGUACAUAGGUGAAAAGUCACAGAAGAUGUUGUUUAACCAUGAAAGACGACCCCUAAAAAUGUACGUUUAGAUUGAAUAAAUUGGUGCGCCCCUUUGAAGAAAUUGACGUGACGAAUUGGAACGUGAAGAUUUUGUUCCAGUAGUUUCUUUUUUCUUAUAUUGAUUCAUAGGAAACACCAUACUGUUAAAGGGGGUCUAGGUCAUAUGUAUGCGUAUUUCCGAAGUGAUGCUCAACCUACCUAUUUCUUCGAGUGAAGACUAUGAAAAUCUCUUGAAGUGCAGUCGAGUUCCACAACAACAGAGACACAGUUCUUCUGUUCGUUGACGAAAUUGGUCUGAAGGAAGAGUUAGGAUUUCGCCGGUGUGAUUCUCCUACCGUGAGAAAUUUGAGAGUUUAAAUUUCCAACCGUUGCCGGACUAAGGCGGUUCUCGAGUCUAAGCCCGUCAUAAGUGUUGUGGCAACGGAGGUGCAAGAAGUGCUGAAGGUGGGGUACUAUCGAUGUCAUGGUGAGCGGUCUGAGGACCGGCAUGUCAUUCGCCAGUGACAAGAGUUCCGAGGUGGUGUACAAGUCAUCCUUCAUGUGUUUCUUGGUGCAGGUUCGGAGCUAGCAAAAACACAAGGAUGCUGAACAAAAGCACCCCAUCUCAUAUGAGCUGGCGCUAGUCCAGCCUCACCGUGCUGCCGCCACCACCUAUGUUAUUUGGCUUCGCAAUCCCCUCCUCCACGGAGAGAGGCAUGGGUUUACUUGGUGUGGAGUUCGACGUCACCUGCGGCGAGAGUGGAUGUCACAUAACUUUACAAGUGGGAUCCACCAAGAUACAGUGCCAUGUAGGCAAAGUUUGCGGUUACAUGCGAGAAAUGCACCAUAUUAGCCAACUGAUUGUACCAGAAAUCGAUUUCCAUCUUUUGGCAUGAAAAUGAACAUGCAAGCCAAGUUUAGGGACCACGGGUAAAUUCAUCUCUUAAAUAAUACAAAAGGCUUUUUCAUCCUCCCACAUCCUCCCUUUUACUCAUUGGAUAUCCACACACUACAGAGGAGCUUAGUAGCAGCGCUUUUUAUAAGAAAGCGCUGCUGCUAAAGAAUGGUAGCGCUUGUCACCGAAGAGCACUGCUAAUAUCCAUCUAGCAGUAACGCUUUUGUUACAAAAAACGCUACUACUAUAGUUGCCAACGGUUGCAUGGCAGUGUAGGUAUACUAGUAGCGCUCUUAAUUAAAAAGCACUACUGCUAUUGUACAUAGCAAUAGCGUUGUCCUCUGUCGAGCGCUACUGCUAUUUUUUCAGGUGUAUGUGUGGGCUGAUAUAUAACUGUACAACUUUCUCAUGUUGCGAGUGAAAGACAUUGUGAGUUUUCCAUGAUCUUGCUUAAAUACAGGUACGACUACUGAACUGAAAUUAAUCUUAUCGUGCAUAUUCACUUGCAAUUGGUAUUCGUAAAUCUACAACACAUGUCAUUAAUGCAACACAGCUUGAUCAUGGAUAUAAAAAAUGAUUAUUGUUCUUUGUAUGCACAUAUGUAUUGGUGGUUCAUCAAUGCCAUAUGCAUCUUGGCUAUAGAUAUCCAAAUUGUUAGUGUUUUAUCUCCACACAAAUAUGUUGAUCCUCCUAUUGGACAUGCUGGUCUUAGUGCCCUCUCUAUUCACAAAUAUGUUAAUGCUCAGUUUAGAUCUUCUCGUAUUAAUACACUUCUAGCUUCUAUUGGAUGGUGAAUGCAACAUUUCAUUUGUAUUAAUAUGUCUACUUGUUAUUGCGGGGAAUAUUAAUAUGUCUAAUGUAGCUUCAUUAAUGCAACUCAACUUGAUCAUGGUUUAAAUGAUCAUUGUUCAUUUUAUGCCCUUGCAAAAAAAAGAAGGGUUCAGUGUAUGUAUAGAUAUAUUGACAUGAUACAUGUUUUAGAUAACCUUGCAUUAAUAUGUCUAAUUUCCAUUUCUGUUCUCUUUCCUCGUUCUACAGAUUUCAUAUUUGUAUUCAUUUUAAGAGUUCUUCAAGAUGCACAUAAUUUAGUCACUGGUUACAAUCUAAAUGUAAGAAAGCACAUAAUCUGUAGAACGUGCAACCUAUGUGUUAUCCAUGUGAUAAAAUUAAAAUCAACAUCCUAGAUCAAAUGUCCAAGUCAACUAAAAAGAGAUUUCCUUACAAGUAAUGUCAAGCCGCAUUUUCAAAUCACAAACAGUUUUGAGCAAUGAAUGAUCUCAAAAAAAAAUCAUCCUGCCUGCCACCGUUUAUCUCUUUGGAUGUCCACAUAUUGUGUUUUUUUUAUGGUGAGCGUCUGUGCCAAUAGAUAAACUAACGAGUUUUUCAUCUUGUGAUCGAGUCAAAGAUAUUCGAUUCUGUGUUUUUCAUGAUCUUGCUUGUACGUACGACCAUGAAACUACUAUUGUUAUCGUGUAUGAAUACUUGCAACAGGGUGCUUCAGCGCCAGCACCGACCAUGGAUGCACAUGAGUAUGCAUGGAUGCGUGCAUGUAACGACCUGAUCGCUCCUGCAGGUGAAAGUACAUGUUUCUCUUAGGUCUGUGCACCAUCAAGGCCUUGAACAGUUCCUUCAUGAGUGUCAAGUGAGACUUCAUGUCUCUAUGGUGAACAGACAAACUUCAGCGGAUAUGUUGCUCUCAUGGCACGGCAAAGACAAGAACAAUAGAUGGACUCUUGCCACUAGUAGUAUUGAUCCACGCUUGACACAUGACUACUCAUGGAGAAGACCCAUUCCUUUAUAACAUUUCCCUUUUAUUCAGUCUGUUUUGGUGAAUCAGCAGUUAGAAGAACUUCUUCUUCUGUUAAAAAUAGGUUUUCUAACCCAAAUUAAAGUUAGAUUUCACAAGGAGUGAACCAGUGACAUUGUUGUAUCCCCUUGAAGCAGAGAAGACAUGGGUGCGACAAUCAUAUUUCCAAUCAUCCAGCUGGUCUUUUACAAGUAUCCCUUCUUGAAUACUCGGUUCAAUAAAUAAGUUGUUCACACUUCACAGCCAUCCAUGUGCAUAUAUAGUAAGUUAAUAACACAAAAUCCGAGUAAAUUUAUGCGACAAUAAGGUUUAUUAUUGUUAUUUCAAAUAACUGAUGCGACAACAAAUAAUAUUAAUCACGGACAUCAUAUGAUAUUAGUAAGGUGUUGUUGAGGAUGAGAAGCAUGUACAACUCCUCGUUUUCUCUGAUGAGCGCCUCCGCACCAGGCAUAUCUGGAAGCUCUAACCAACACAUGAUGAUAGGGUUGUAAUUAAUAUCCACACAGUCGGGCAGAUGCAAGAACUGCUGCCCACUCUUGUCACCUUGGUAGUCCUUGAUCAGGCCGUGGCACACGUUGAGGCGUCUCACCACACCUUCAUACUCCACCUCACAAUAACUGAGAACAUGCAUUGCCACUGUUCCCUUCUUGGCAUCUUGCAGCUUUUGCUUGAUCUUACGACUAGCGGCAGUGACACGGCUCUUAAAGAUGUCGACAGUGACAAGCACUAAGUCACGGAGGUCCUUAGCCUCAGCACUUCGAUUGUCCGACUGAAGGGUGGACAAGCAGAAUUCUUGCGUGAUAGAUUUGUUGUAGGGGUUGUUGAUCGAGGCCUUCUUGCAUGUUUCCACCAUGAGCUUGGUCGCCUUGGGCUUGCCAGUGUCAGAGCCACUAGCAUGAGCGGAAAAAAGGAAGAAGAUGAUGGUGGAGAGGACGAUGGUAGUCCUUGGCAUUGCUACCAUUACUACAGGGCUAGCUAGAAGCCUUGAAGUACUGAAGCGCUGAGAGGGAGGUGGAGAAAAAUAGACAGAGAAGG